CAAGUCAAAAAGUCCUUGUACUUGCAUCCCAUUCCAUCAUUCCUUCCAUCACGGUUAUCUUGCCUAACUAUUGGUGGGUUGGCUGGACCAACAGACCCACUGAAGUUUCCUCCUUCUGAGUGCCCUUCAUUUAAUUCAGGCUCUUCUACUUGAAUUGACAGUUCUUCAUAAUUUUGUUGAAGCAACUGCCUAGUCUCCUCCAUCUGAUGAUCCAGCAUUGUUUGAAUCAUCAUUUGUACACCAGCCAUCGUUAUCGGCUCAGGUGGUGCUGCUACGACAGGUAUUUGCUCAAUCACUGGUGGUUGAUUCCUGUUUUCAUCAGCAUUUCCAACUCCACUCCUCGUUCUCACCAUUUUUGAUCUAUACACCGAAUAAGGUGAAAUUAGAUCCUCAUUCACGAUAGAUAUUCAAAUCAUCCUUAUCACUCGGAAACAUUUACAUGCUACUUCUAAUAUCGUAGACGUACGCUUAGAAUCCUAAACACAUAAGGUUUCCAGAUUCGGUCGGCAACAGACCAUAGAUCCGAACAAAUAAUAUCAUAUAUGACAAACAUAUAACAUUUAGCACAUAAAAACAUUUUAGGCAAUUUUCCUAAAAUAAAAUAGUGCACGUAUCUAAAAUAUAACAGACACACAUCUCACAAUUACACUUAGCAUUCUAAGUUUAAGUCUAGAAAUCCUACAAAUUCCUAGUUCGCUUAAACUAAUGCUCUGAUACCAACUGUGACAUCCUCAAAAUCACGGCCAUAAAAGACUGAUUUAAUUUAUGCUUUUAAAAUGAUUUCAGAGUAAUCCUUUGAUUAAAAGAGUUGCAGAAUUUGUUCCCAAAACAAAAUAUGAUAAAAUAAGAUUUACCAAAGCAUUUCUUAAAUAAAUGUAUUUUUCAUUAUAUUACAAUACUCGGGAUGUCAUGUUCCGAUAAACAGACCAAAAACAUAAACAUUUCAAUACAGACCUUACAACAGUUAUAUACAACAACAGGUCUAUAAUCCAAAAAUAACUUGACAAGUCAUCCAACUUAUGCUUUGGUGCCACUACCUGUAAUACAAAGAAACUGAGUGGGUCAGGCUUGGGAGCCUGGUGAGCAAUAAAAAAUUAUAUUUAAUUCCACCAACCAACAAUAACCCAAUUACCCAUUCCCGUUAUUCUCACUUUACGUCCCUAAAACAAUGAACACAAGGGACCUAGUAUUAGAAUAUUUCAUCAGGACGACAACACAUGCUUCGGGGGUUUCCUAACAAUAUAUGUCAAAUAAGGCAACCAUGAGGGGGAUGAAGUACAACGAAUGAACACCAAAGUUCAUUAACACCUACAGGUGGCGAGCCUGCUAGCGUUCCACAGGACUGUCUAGAAAAGUCUGUGGUCAUCAUCUAAACUCCGCUAGAUGACUGAAUCAAAAACAACAUCGAGGCCUCACAUCUGUUUAUCACGCAUGAACUAUCUACCCAUGUUCUACCCAACAUAAUAGUAGAUAAAAAUAUAUAUAUUUUUAUACAUAGUUUAAAACCUGUAUACCAUUCUCAUUCAAUACAUAUUCCAAACAAUAGAUGAAACACAUACAUAUAACACGUAUUUCAUAGAGAAUAAAUCAUACCUAUGAGAUAGAAGAAAGUGAAUAUACAUUCAAACAUAUAACCACAAAAUAUACACAUAACACGUAUUUCGUAUAAAAUACUUCAUAAUUAUGUGUUAGAAGAAAGUGACUACACACUCACUUGAUCAGAAGAUGAUCUGACAGCACUACGGCUUGUAGAAGUAGUAUUCUUCGGUAGAUCUGGAAGAUCUUCACAAAAACCGGGUUCCUCGCGGGCAAAGCUUCGGCUCAGAAAUUUUACUUCUCGGGAUCUUCGGGGCUUCGGGACUUGCUUUGGGUCUCGGGAAUGAUACAGGGGCUUCGGGAUAAUUCUUACAUGAAAAACGAGGUAAAACGGGAGAGAGAGAAGAGAAAAGGAGCAAAAAGGCCGGCUGCCCUCACAUCCUUUAUAUAGGGGCAGAAGCCUUGCAUUACGUUGGACAUAAUGCUCAGUACGUGGGGCGUACGCUUCGGAUCGUCACUGCUUACGUACUUCGGAGCACUCGAGUACGAGGCGGGUCAUGCUUCGCUGUAUGCUGGGCGUAGUUCGGAUAGGAUCAGUGACUCCUUUGGAUAUUAUCCGAAAUUCUUAAUUAAAUAUAUAUUUUAAUUAUUUAUUAAAAUUUCAGAAAUUCAUAUAUUCCUCAUACGAACUCCAUUUCCGACGUUCUUUAUAUCCACGCAUAGGUGAGACUACGCUCUACAACUUUCAUUUAGACUCCGUCGGCUAAUUUUGACUUUAUUUUUAUUAUUUAAUUUUAGUAGAUUGGGACAGGAAAACUCCAUUAUAAAUUCAUAACUUCUUCAUCUGACGUCCGUUUUCGCCUGUAUUUUUCUCGUUUCACUACUAUUAAUGAGAUCUUCGAUUCUCGUUUAGAUUAUUUCAGCUAAAAACCUAUCGGUCUCAAAUCGAGUAUUCGGACUGCAUACUGCUAAGUCGAAACUUCGGAAAAUCAUAAUUUCCUCAUACGAAGUCAGAUUUGGGCGUUCUUUUUAUGCACACUCUCGGUUUAACGAACUCUACGCCUUUCGUUUAUAUCACUAAGGCUAAAUAUCGCUCUAACGUAAAUUUCACUUUUUACGUCGUUCAGCGAUGCCGGUUCUGUUGCGUAACUUCGACGAGUCAUAACUUCUUCGUUAUAACUCGGAUUUUGGCAUUAUUUAUAUCUCCGGAAUCCUUGUUUCAACCACUACAUAUUUAUGCAAAGAUAUCAGGCUUAUCUCACACUUUAAUUUUGACGCUCAUUUUAUUCUUAAUUCAUUAAAUUAUAAUAAUUAAGAAAAUAAACACAUAAUUCACAUAAUACUCACAUAUUUCAUCAUUAAUACUUCAAAAAGAGUUACAAGGGUUAACCUAGACUAUUACAUCAACGAUAAUGUCUAGCCUGGAAACGCGGGCGUUACAGUGGUGGUGUGUGGUGUUCUAUCAUCAGACUUGAUAAUGGAAAAGAAGAAAAAACAGGAGCGUGAUCUAUUGUUUGCUGGUGUUCUAGUCUCCUUGGAGUUUUGGUCUUGCCGGAGGGAAGAGAUUUUUCGACGGAGAUGGUGGCGUAUGGUGGUUCACCAGAGAGGUGAGAAUUUGGAAUUGAUUUCCAUGGUAGUGUUAGGGUUAGAAGUGUUGAUGAUAGGGAUGUUAAGUGUAAGGAUAUAAUUAGGUUGGACCCAUUUAAUUAAUUAAUUAAUAAUAUAAAUAGAAAAGGGUGUUAUAGUCUAUUUAUGUGUAAUAGGGAUGAAAGACGUAAUAAAACCAAAACCUAGGGACGGUCCGAAUGCAAAAAAAAAAUAGGGACUAAACUAGUAAUUUUUACCAAACCAUAGGGACGAUUUCAGUAAUACGUUCAAACAAGAAUUUAAACUUAAAAGGUUAAAUUUUAAUUUGUCAAAAUCAUUCUUUCCCUUAGGCUGGAGGGUGUGAGGGUGCGGUUUAGUUGCGGUUUCAGUUGAUGUGACACUGAAACACCGCCCCCUCCAUGCGGUUUUGGAAGUGCGGUUAGGGAGUGCGGUAAUGGGAGGGAGCACUCCCUUCCUUUCUCUCUUCCUCUAUCUCUCUCUAUCUCUCUCUUCUUUCUCUCUCUUCUUUCCACCCCUUUGGUGUUUUAGAAAACUGCGGUAAUGGGAGGGAGUGCGACACCACUCCCUCCAGCCUUAUAAGAACUCAAAGUGUGAUCCCUUUUUGAAAGGAGUCUGGCAAAAUGUUUCUCGUCUUGGAGAGGGAAUCUCCAUUCGAUGCUUCCUCUUAUAUCCCCCUUUACCACGGCUUGCUCCGUAAUUAUGAUCUAUACUAAAAAAAUACCCGAUUAGGCCCUAACUAGGACGCCUUCCCCUCGGAGGACUAAGAGAUAUCAAAAAUAUAUACUUUUAUCAAUAAGUUGCAAACACAUGCAAUAUAGUGUAUAAAGAGGCAAUCUCACUAAUAAUUCACACUGAUAAUUUGAUAAAAUAUCAUAUUUUCCAGUAUUCCAUCAAAUAUAUCGAUUAAAAGAGAAAUCAAUCACUGAUCUUUCCCGGUUUAUACUGCGGCUUUUGAUUCAAUUCCCUUAGUAUUUUUCCAAUUUUGGUUUUGGGAUAUACUGUUACCUUUGAUUUACGAUUUCAACGAAUGAAGUUUUUUCAUAUUUAUUUUAGUUAUACUACAUGAAUCUCAUUAUGGGUAAAAUCAAACCUUAUUUUCCCUUUGAUUUGUAUUUGGAUUUAGACUUGAGGGCACCCUUUGGUAUAAAGAUAUGAUCAUAAUAUAUUACCUUGUUUAAUUUUUAUGUUAAUUAGAUCGUACGUCACUACCUCUAAGAUGUAUUUAGAUUAAUAUGUCGACUCUCUUCAUAUCUCUUACUUACGUACCAAACAAAGUGACUUCCAAAUCUUGAACUUCAAUUUAAAAACGGAUACAUUAUAUUAACUUGUAACUAUCACUACUCUACAUCAAGAAUGAAAAUUUGUUAUUACAAACAUAUAAGUAUAUUCGUGCAUAUCUUAAUAUAAUAUUAUUAAAUCAUAUUAAAAAGUCAAAAGAUAACCUUUUUAAUAUAAUUAUUGAUGCGAAAUUGAAGCAGAAGUUGACGCCCACACAGACCACUUUCUCUCCCCACAUACUUCACUAAUCACUAUUCACUGCUGUGCCUGUGCGAAGACCACAAUGUGUCCGUUUUCUUGCAAUAAUCAAACUUCACGAGCACUAUCUCCCUAGAUUCCUUUCUCUUGCUGGAUCGAAGAAUAAUCAUCACCCUCGCAUUUAAUUACAUCACCUUUUUCGCAUUCUCCACUUUCCCAAAUCUCCUAAUCGAUUAAAGACGAUAUCAGGAUCAAACUUCGAGAAAAAAAACCCCCAAAACCAUUGUCUCCGAAUGCCCAAAUUUUAUCCUAACUGUAACUCCUGAUGUUUUCAUCAAUGGAGAACGCCGUUAAACCCUUGAGAAAGAAAACAUGGUUUCUCCCUUUGAUCUUGUCUCUCCUCACUUCAUCAAUCCUCGUAAUUUUCUCCCUGUUCUUCACUUCAACUUCGAAUCCUUUUCAUCAAACCCCUUUAAAGUCCAAAACCCAACAAAACCCAGUUUUUGUUGAAUCAAAACUGUACAUCUCACCCACGAAACCGGUUUCAUCCAUACCGAAACUUGCGUAUUUGAUCUCGGGUUCGAGUGGUGAUGUUGAGUCGUUGAAAAGGACGCUCAAGGCAUUGUAUCAUCCAUUGAAUCAGUACGUUGUGCAUUUGGACCUUGAAUCUCCCGCUGAAGAACGAUUGGAGCUGGUUGAUUUUGUGAACAACGAGGCUGUGUUUCAAGAAGUGGGUAAUGUCAGGGUGGUGUCUAGGUCUAAUUUGGUAACUUAUAGAGGACCUACUAUGGUUACGAAUACGCUUCAUGCUGCUGCGAUUUUGUUGAAGGAAGGUGGUGAUUGGGAUUGGUUCAUCAAUUUGAGUGCCUCUGAUUACCCUUUAGUCACCCAAGAUGGUACGUGAUCCUCAAUUUAACUAUCUUUGUCCAUUCAGGACUUUCGUCGAACAAUUGUCCCGCAUGGUAUUUUUUUUUUGGCAAAAUCUGUACUAUUUCCUAACUUCGUCUUGAAAAAUGUCAAUAAAAUCGAUACUUAAAAUGGGUAAGGAUUAUUUCCUAUGUCUUUUCUGAUUCGUGUUGACAUGAACCGAAUAAGAAAGCCCAACUUUAUUGCUUCAAUGAUCAUAUAAGGAAACAUCCAUCGUUAAAAAUGUGUAGCGAUUAGUUAAAAUAUCCCCCUUUUGGUGCUUGUUUCUUCACUCAAGGCUCAUAUUGUAAUUUUUGACAGAUUUGCUUCACACAUUUUCAACUGUGCCUAGAGACCUAAACUUUAUCGAGCAUACAAGUGACAUUGGUUGGAAAGAGUAUGUCCAUCUUCUUACCUUUUUACUACUACAAUUCUUUAUAUCUUUCAAUAUAAAAAUACAAUUUUUUAGGGUUCUUCAUCUUUUCUUUUUCCGAGUGUUGUAGAUACCAAAGAGCAAAACCUGUUAUAAUUGAUCCAGGGCUAUAUAGUCUUAAAAAAUCAGACGUAUUUUGGGUCUCCCAAAAAAGAAGUGUUCCUACUGCUUACAAGCUCUUCACAGGUAACUUAUUAACACAUUUUCUUGAAAAUUGAUUUUAAUAAUAAAAUUGAUUUUAAUUUUUAUAGGUUCAGCAUGGAUGAUGCUUUCAAGACCCUUUAUAGAAUACUGUUUAUGGGGAUGGGAUAACCUUCCAAGAAUUGUUCUUAUGUAUUAUGCAAACUUUCUUUCAUCUCCAGAAGGCUAUUUCCACACUGUAAUCUGCAAUGCUGAUGAAUUCAAGAACACAACUGUAAAUCAUGAUCUUCAUUUCAUUUCAUGGGAUAAUCCACCAAAACAACACCCCCAUUUUCUCUCCAUUGAUGAUUAUCAAAGAAUGCUGGAAAGCAAUGCCCCUUUUGCAAGAAAAUUUGGUGAAGAUAAAGAAUUGCUUGACAAAAUUGACUCUCAACUUCUUGAAAGAGAACCCAAUGGCUUUGUCACAAGUAAUCUCAUUCUCUUUAAACUAUUUUCUUAAAUUCUAAUCAAGAAACUCAGUUUUAUCAAUAUAUAUAUAUUUUAAAUAAUAUAUGCAGGAAGUUGGUUGGAAAGAAGUGAUACAAAUAGAAGCAUAGCUGAAAGCAUAGCCAAGAAUGUAACUGAAUUAAAACCAGGUCCUGGAGCUGAAAGGAUUAAGACACUUAUAGGUGGUAUGCUUUCAGACAAAGAUUUUGAUGCAAAACAUUGUGUCUGAUAAAAAGAAUGCUUAAGAUUGUAUGUAUGCAGUAUGCUCUCCAAGAUGAAUUCUUCUUGGAAUAUAUUACUGAAAAGAUAUCAGAUUUAAAUAUAUAUAUAGAUAUAUUAGAUAUUAUUAGCUCAAAACUUGCAAUAAUAAUCUUGGAUGAGAUCUAGUUCUUGAAACAGGAUCCAAGGUUCACUCCAAACUUCUGUUAAUUAACUCAGAACUGGCUGUCAUUGGCUUCCAUGGUUGAGUUUAUUAUUUUUUUUUUCCAUUUUUACCCCUGAGGAAGGUACGGAUUUACUGCAGUUUAAGGUGAUGACAAGUUGCUAAUGUUGCUUGAUACAUGAUGUUAAGUAAAGAUUCUUGUAAAGUAUGUUUCUUGUUUUGAUGAUGUUUUCCUUGAUCAUUUAUAUGGAUGUUGGAUGUAAAGUCUCUUGAUGAAAUGUAGUCAUCAGCUGUUGGUGACAGGGGCAAACUUGUCAAUUCACUUGUGUCCUGUCUACUACACAUUAUUGUUGAAAUUGAAAUAGAAAGUUUUAUGAUUGGUAAGAGAGUUACAGACAUGUCACAGUUAUUGAGUUGGUAAUUUUGACAAAAUGAGAGUAGUGGAUGUGAAUGCCAUUAAUUCUAUGGGAUACUUUUAUGAGAUUAGAUAUAGCAUUAUCAACAUUCAACCCUUUGAUAAAAUAGCAUUAGAAUAUCUUACUAUAUUUCAACAUAUAAAGAAAUUGGAUGAUCCAAAAUCCAAAUGAGAAAAUGGGUUAUCUUGGUGUUGGAGAAGGUACUAAAUGACACCCAUAAUUGUUUGACCCACAAAAAAGGAAGCUAUAGAAAGCCGAGAUGUGGUGUUUUUUUCAUAGGUAUUUUGUAGCUUUUGUAGUUGUGAAAUAUGUAAUCACCAAGUGGGGAUAUUUCAUUCCUAAAAUGUAUGCCAUUCAAGAAAAACUUUCAUUAUAAUAUAUAUUAGUAAUAGCAUCCUGGAUUUAUAAAGAUACAUGCCAUAAUAUUUGUGAUGAACUCAUGAACCCUUAGUGGAUGAGAUCUAGUUCCUUAAACAUGGUCCCGGAUUCACUUCAACUUCCGUUCCUUUAGCAUUUGUGCAAUUAGCAGUCACCGGGUAACCUUGUUGAACCGACACCAAGUUUAUAUUGUCCAUUGUAAUCCUUGAGCAAGGUACGGAUUUACUACAGUUUAAAUUGAUAGCAAUCUUGGUAGACGAUGUGCCAUAAAGAUGCUUGUAAAUCACAUCGCUUAUUUUGACGCCGGUUUCCUUGAUCAAACACAAAAAUUAGAAUUUUAUGAUCAUGAAUAUAUGUUUAUGCUAAAACCACCCUAAUUAAUGGUUGUUACCUCUUCUUUGCAUCUACCACGAACGUCACAAUAGUUUUGGUCUAUGAUGAUUGGGUUUUUUACGGCAUCAAAUUCAAGAUUCUCGAAUGUAAUAUUUCGAACGUUGCCUUGACCUCCUUGCCAAGUCUUGAUUCGAGCUCCAUUUGAGGUUCCUUUCAAUGUGGAAUCUCGUAUGUGUAUGUGCUCAACAUGAACAACUUCUCUAUUCUUUCCUAAGCUCCCAAUACUGUAAAUAAAUGAUAGAAAAAAGGAGUUGUGGAGUCACAAGCCAACUUGCAGAGUUUGUUACACAGGACAAGGCAGAGCAUAUAUAAUAGUGUUGUACUACGUCAGAGGUGCAUUGGAUUAGCACUAAGAUAAAAAAAAAAAUUAAAAAUUUUGGUUCCGUACAAGAAGUAUAUAAUAUAACUCGCUUUCUCAUGUGUGGAGAAGAUGUACAUGCUCUUUUUAUCAUUAUAUUAGCUCUAGAAAUUAAGUUUGUCUAGUCGCCGUCGAAUCCAUCUUUUAUUCUAUCUCAUGUAACUAAGACAUUCUAUAUGUUACUAGGGUAUGAUAACUAUUUCAUGAAUAUUUUUCGUAUCUUUUUUUAUAAGAGGGUGUAAGGGGUAAGGGGUUGCUUACCUUAUACCAUGUCCUGGUCCACAAUGUAUAUCGGCUAUAUCUAUGUUUGAUAUGUAGUCCCCUAUUGAAAUGCAGUCAUCACCUGAUAGUGACAUGGAUAAAGUUGUCAAUUCACUUGUAUCUACACAUAGUUUUCUAUAAAUUUUAUGACAUUUAAAACAAACCUGUCCCAAUUAUUGAGUUGGUGAUUUUGACAAAAUGAGAAGAGUGGAUGUGAAUGCCAUCAGUAUUGGGGCUAUGUUCAGGAGAUUGGAUCGUCACAUUAUCAACAUUAAACCCGUUGGAAUACUGUAUGAGUACGUGAGUUUGUGGGCUAUUAACUAAAUGAAUGUCUCUUAAUGUGCUCUCCUUGCAUGAUAUAAACUUGAAGAUCUACACCAAUUUUAGCUAACAAAUUUGAUUAAUUGUAAUGUACAAACAUUGGAUGAAACAUGGUUGGGGUCAAACUUACCGUUGGUGCUAGUUUGGUGCACCCCUCCUAAAAACAUGAAAAAUUUAUGUCAUGUAGGUUAUGAAAACUGUAGACUAAUGAAACUUUGAUUUGCAAUUAAUUAGUUAGCAAUUUAAGAUACCAAUUCUGGAUGAUAUCGACAUGACUGGUCCCACCAACGCAUUCCGUGUCCAUCUAUAAGGCCAGAUCCAUACAAAUUAAGGCCUGUUACGUUUUUAAAAGCUAUCCAUUGACUUGAAUCACGACCAUUCCAUGCUUCUGGUUCACCUGGAGCGAUAAUUUUUCCAAAAAUCUGAAAGAAGAAGUGAUGUAUGUAGAUAUUACAAUGAUUGUUACUGGAAUUUGUUAUGAGAUUACCAAAUGAUUACAUGACAAUACUAUUAUUUAGACUAGUCACAAAAAUAACCCAAACAUAAGGUGGUUGACUGGUUUCCUCACUAUUUGGCAAUCUUUUUUAAAUUUGUUUGUGAGGCGUUGUAACAAAUGGGAUCUUAUAAAAUCUAACUUUUUGUAUGGAUGAUCCUUCUUAUCCUAACUAGAGAUAAUUUGAAUAAGAGAGGUGCUCAUAUCCCCUUACUCUUUGCCAUAUGAGUCUCUUUAUCUUAGUCAUUUAAAGGGUUAUUGUCAAUUCGCUUCCUAGAUUUUAAAGAAAGUUUUAAGUGGGUCACCCUCGUGGGAUUAUGAAUUUGGAUUCGAUUCACCGUAUUUAAGCUAUGUUGGGCAAAUCAAUUGAUAGCUGAAAAGAGCUCAUAAAAAUAAUGUUUGGUAAAACUAGUUGAUAAGCUAAUUGAAAUAUAUAAACUAACUGGAAAAUCAUAUAAAAGUUUGAGAUUUUUUAUAAUUAAUAAAAUAUAUAUUUGAUAGAAAAUUUUAAAACUUAAUAAGCUGGUUAAAACUCUAGUCUUAAUAGCUUUUCAAAAAGUUGAUUUAUAAGAUAUUUUUUAGUUUGUCGAACAUGAUAAAAAUAUAUUUUAAAAAAUAAGUUAGCUGUGGCGUGUCAAACAUAACCUAAAAAUGUUACGAAUCCAUGAUUAUUUUGUCUUAUUAUCAAAUAUGGGAUUCAUAGCAGAAGAAAGUUAGAUUGUCUUUGUUUUCGCAUUCAUGAUCUUAUCUCAUUCUUUUUUCGAUUUAUUGUCUUUGCGCCUAGCCUCUUCCCGGUCUUUCUAAUGAAAUUAUUGUUCUAGAAAAAUCAUUGACCGCCUUUUAAAUUUUAUCACAAAAAAUACCUCUAAUUUCGUGAAUUUAAUAAUGGUUGUUCUUGUCAAAAGAGUCUCAACAAUUAAGGAAUAUUACCUUCUCUUAACUUUUAGGCAUUCCAUUUGGUCUUUUUAGGAAGCAAAUAAACAAUAUAGAUCAUUUUUAUAACUUUGUCUAUAUUUUAUGUUUAUGAGUUUAUGUAUUUUACGAUACAUACAUAAAAAAAACAAGUGAUUUUUUUUUAAAUUAACAAAUGAAAAUUCUAAAUUUAAGUCAUAUAUUCUAAAAUGUUGACCACCUUGAACCGUUACAUACAUAAAAAUAAUCAUAUAAAAAUUUAGUUUUUUUUAAGUUAACUACCAAAAGUUAUUAUAUGUGACAUGAGUCAUGCUUAGUAAACAUACGUAAAAUUAAGCACACGAACGUAAUAUAUAUAGCAGUGAUAUAGCGUUUUUUAUAUUAUUUACAAUUUAUAUAUACUAGAGUAUUAAUCAGUAAAUCAUACUUUAAAUUAAAUCAUGAUUUGCAUAUCAUAUUUAGUUAAUCAUACUUCACAUAUCAUAAUUAGUUAAUCAUACUUCAUAUACCGGUUACCAAUGCCCCGAUAAAUCAUACUUUAACACAAUUAACAAGAAAACAUAUUCAAUACUUACUAUUUUAUCAUACUUUAAUACAAUUAUAGUUAUCAAAUAAAAUGAUUAAGUAAUUUGAUAGUUAAUCAUAAUGUAGUACUUCAAGUAUUCAAUACAAUUAGCAACACAACACAUACAUGGUUUCAAUGGAACUCACAAUAGUCACAAAAUUACAAUUUUAUUUAAUGGAAUGACACAAAAGUUUUGGUUUGGGUUAAGAAAAAACAAUUUUAUUGAAUGGAAUGGCACAAAAAAAUGUUUUUUUUAUGUAAAAUAUCCCAAAAUGGAAUUUAUUCAAAUAGCGGUUAUAGCGCCGCUAUAGCGGUGACCAUAAUCGUGGUAAAUCGCAGUGUUAAUAGCGUCACCGUUAUUUUAAAAUAAUGUUUCCUUACCCCCGCAAACCGCUAUAACGCCGUUAUUUACUGCAUAGCAUACCACCAUUUAAUUCAACUAUUACAUCUACCUUUUUUGUCCAUGUAGGGAUGACUUUGAAACAUUAAUUUUUUGAAGGCAAGUGAUUUGUACAAAACACUUUUUCUCCGUACACAAUAAAUUAUGUUUUACAAGAUUGUAUUGUAUAAUAUUUUAAAGCAUCAAUUGUUAUGUAUGGAAAAAUAUUAUUAUGUACGGCUCAGCUCCAUUUUUUAAACCUUUUGAAUAAAUACACAUUUCCCACGUACAUUUAAUACUCCUAAGCGAGAACCUUUUUGGUGUUCUAGAAAGGAUUGGUUUUAAACAAUAACAACUGUUUGGUUUUAUAUAAAUAAAAUUUAUAUUUAAGAGACUUUAAUGAAGAAUUAAAUAUGACGAUCUCAUAGUGUGUUUGUUUGUUACCUCAUUAACCCAACAAAUACUUUAAUAUUUGAACUUUAGAUGUUUAGCCAAACGUGGAUCUUAAUUUAUAUGAACAUCAGCAAAAAAAANUAUAUAUAUAUAUAUAUAUAGGUAAUAAUAUGGAUGAACAUCUAUUCUACGGAUGUGUGUGGACAGUGCUAUUCUAUAAGAAUGACUAACAUAAUAGGUUGUUUGGUAAUAUGAAUACUUUUAACCUGACACGACUAUCGUCAUUAUCAUGUAUUCUCACUAAUUCUUAUUCAUUUUUGUUUUCACGCGUUGUUAUUCACUAAUUUUCAUUUUUACAAAAUCGGAUUAUCAAUAAUACAUUCUGACAAAAUAGGAAUUAUAAAAAAAAAGUUUAUAAUACCCGUAUACAAGGUUCUAAAUGGCGUGAGGCGUAACGUGGCGGCAAGGUCAAGCCUCAAGCUUAACGAGACAUGACGUUUUUCAAGGCGUGAUGUAAGGCGACGAUUUUGUAUUAAUUUAAAAUUAUACUACCACAUAAAUAUAAAUUUAUAUUAAAUAUAACUACUUUUUAGAAGUGUUAGAUCAAUAAGUAGUAACAAAAAUUUAACAAAAACCGCAAUACUUGUAUCUCCGAUUAGAAAAGACAUAACAAAGAGCAAAAAAGCGUGUCUUAAACGAAAAAACACGCGCCAUAACAUGCCAUAACGCGCCAUGGCACGCCAUAUCACGCAUUGUCACGCGCCACGCCUAACAGCAACGUUAUGAGACUUUUCGUAACGGCGGAGCCACGCCUUACACCAUGGCGCGCCUUUUAGAACACUGCCCGUAUAGACGAUUUAGUUAGUAAGAAUGUGUGAUAAUGACAAUAGUUAUAUAAGGUUGAAUGUAUUCAUAUUACUAAACAACAUGUUUUCUUAGCCAUUCUCACAGAAUGACACUAAAAUAGCACUGUCUACAUAUUUUGCACAAUAGAUAUCCAUCCAUAUUUGGACCUACUCCUANNNNNNNNNNNNNNNNNNNNNNNNNNNNNNNNNNNNNNNNNNNNNNNNNNNNNNNNNNNNNNNNNNNNNNNNNNNNNNNNNNNNNNNNNNAUAUAUUAAAAAAAUCAUUUCUUACUUUUUUCCUCUUUUUUUUUUAUAUUUUAAUCAUUAAAACCGGGAAACAUUUCCUAAAUGUGAGACAUUAAUAAACACAAAUUUGGAUUUAGGACAUAACCAUACAUUUCAUGUAAAUAGGAGGACUUUUAUGGCAAUAACCGUAAUAUAAGAGCUAUAACAGUUAUAAAAAAAUAUGUUAAAUACAAUUAAUAAGACUUUUGUUGAUUUGUCGUAUUGAGUGCGUUAUAGGCCACACAUAUAUCAUGGAACUCUAUAUAAGAAUUGUAUUUAGAUGAUAUAUUUAUGGUUAUAGUAAUGAUAUUUAUUAAAGAAAAUAAAAAAAAUCCCAAAAUGAUAAAUUAUCAUUAUUGUGUUUUUUAAUAAAAAUAAAUAAAUUUUCAGUGAAAGGGAUGUUGAUGAUAUCUUUAUUUUAUGCUUUUUAAUAAAUAAAUUGUAUAAGUUUUCUUUAAAUAAAAUUUACUAGAUAUACAAAAAAAUUCAGAAACGUAUUUAAAUUUUAACAUUAUUAACUAAAAAGUUUUAUAUGAUUUUUUGUAAUUUAACCUUUAAAACAUGCACUAAGCAGGUAUAAAGAUUGUUUUACAAAGUUUACUGGUUUUAGCAGUUGAAAUUGCGACAAAAAAAAUUAGAUGUGACUUUUUUGUUAGUAGAGCCAAAAUAUAGAGAUUUUUUACAUAUUUCCGUAAUGUAUACAAAUAAACUUAAAUUUAUAUCCGAGAGCUCGUAAAAACGAAUUAAAUAUGGACAUCUCAUAUAGUUUGUUUUUACCUCAUUAACCAAUCAUAUAGUUUUCUUUUUGUUUUUUAGCUCAUUGACCCAACAUAAAUGCUUUAAAUAUUUGAUUUCAUAUUGAGGUUUCAUAUGCAUAGAAAAACAAUUUGUUGUGUAGUUAUAAGUUUCCAACUAAUUUUCUUUAAGAUAAAAAGUCUUUAUCGAUCACAUCUUCAUUUUGGAAUAAAAAAAAUAUAUGUUAAAAAAUCAAUGAUCCUUCUAUUUUUUGUUCAUAUGCAUCUUCUUACUCAUUUGAUCGAAAAAAUAUCAAAUUUUAGAAAAAUGAAUAAGAGAAAGAAUUAGUGAUGUCAAAAUGUCAUUAUUCUAUAUGAAAAAGAAAAUGAGUGGAAACAAAAUAUAAGAAGAUAUUUAAGUUUUCAUAAAUAAAGGAAUAUAAAGCAUAAAAAAAAUGUUACCACGAAACGAAUGAUUUGGGGGUUGCACGGUCCAACAAACAUGAGAGGAUUCAACAAGAAAGUCCCUUUAGGAACUAUCACUCUUGCGUCAUGUGUUCCUACAUUGCACGCAUCUCUCCAUGCAUUCACAAAUGCCUUAGAAUCAUCAACUUCUCCAAAACCACUAGCUCCAUAAUUAAAGACGUUGAAUUCAUCAAUAGGCCAAGCAACGAUACCACUAACCAAACCAAGAAGCAACAUCAAUGGAAACAUAUUUUUCUUCAUUAUAAAAUAAGAGAAAGAGAGAGUUUCGUAUGAAAAACUAUAUCAUAGAGGUGAAUAUGUGCUAGAAAGAUGGUGUAAAUGCUUAAGCUAACAUGUAUUAAAUAUAUGAGGAGUUUUAGUACAAUGUAACAAGCAACAAGUACAAUGGUAAUGUAAACUUAACAUCUGACCAUUCAAGAGUUAAAUUGUACCAUAUGACAUGAUCUAUUUGUUUGAUUAAUGUCUAAGUCCAUAACUAUAAUUGGUAAGACUUGACCCGACCCGACAUGGUCCAUUUGGGUUGCAUGACAUCAUGCAUUUGGAUAGACUAUAAUGAGAGAAAUAACACUUAAGGUUUGUUAAUAUAUUAUAAGUUGUAAUAUAUUAAUAAGGUUAUUUAAUUAGUAUUGAUCAAGAAUUAAUUAAGUGAUCAAAAGGAGACUAAUUAAAUAUAUGGGUUGAUUGUGUAAAUCAUUCAUUCUUAUAUACGUUGGCUUGUGAUCCAAGAUUCCUUAUGUUGGACUAAGUCCAUGGGGUGACCCAUGGAUACUCCAUGGAGGUUAAAAUCCAUGGAGCAUAAGGAAUGGGUAAAGUUAUGAGUUACAUGGUGUAACCCUAAUAGUCACCAUAUAAAAGAAUCCCAUGGCUCAAAAAAUCGGGCACUAGUGUGUGAAUAUGAGGGCUAGACGAUUUUAAGGAGUGUUCUAUUUCUCUCAAGUCAUUCCAUGUGCACUUGAUGUUGUGUGAACCAUUUCAGGUGUCACACUUGGGGCACUAGGCACUCAAGCUUCAUGAAGACAAGCUACAUCAAACAAAGGUAUGUAUUCUAUCCAUUUGAUUACCCAAGUAUCAAUUAUUGUAUGAUAGAUAGGGCAAUACCUUGGAAAGUUCAUAUUUGCAUGUAUAGUAGAGAAAAAAUAGAUCCAAGGUAUUUAGGGUUGCAUGUACUCUUAAGAGUGUUAGAAUGCUCAAAACCCAACAGUGGUAUCAGAGCCUAGGCUUGUUUUCAAUUAUACUUGAUGCAAAUUGCUGAAAAAUGCUAAAAAAAUCGAUUUUCUGGCUUUCUGGGCACUGGACUCGCCGAUUCCACUGAUGAACUCGCCGAUUUCAUGAAGNAAUUGUUGUUUUCAAUCCAAAUUAAUCUAAGAGUUGAUUCUAAAAUGUGUUUUUGUAACUUGUCCUCAAGUUAUAUGAAAAGUCACAUUUAAGUUUCAUAAAACUCAUAAAAGUUGGCAAUGGUUACAAAAAUGAAGAGUCUUGUCCUCAAGUUAUGGAGGUUCAAGAGUCACUUCAUUAAGUAAUAAAAUGUGUAACCUUAAUUAAUCCCAUAAGUUACAAAAUAAAUAAAAGUUACAUUCUUUUAUUAGUUUAAAGUCUUCCAUAACUUGUCCUCAAGUUAUGGAACUUGAAGAGUCUUUUAAUUAAAACUACUUUAAACACAUAAGUUAUGGAAUUAAUUAGUUUCGAAUGGUUUCAAAACUUGCCCUCAAGUUUUGGAAAUUGAAAAAGUUUUCACUUAUGAAUACUUUAAUUCCAAGUUAGCCCUUAGAAUUUUAAAAGUUAAAAUUCAACCCUUAUUGUCACACCCAAAACCGGAACGACGGAAACGUUCUGGGGUGGAGGACGUCAUNNNNNNNNNNNNNNNNNNNNNNNNNNNNNNNNNNNNNNNNNNNNNNNNNNNNNNNNNNNNNNNNNNNNNNNNNNNNNNNNNNNNNNNNNNNNNNNNNNNNUCAGUGCACAAGAAUGUGUACUUGAUCCCUUAGUCCGUUACUUGAAUCACACAUCCAUGUGACCGAGUAAUUAGUCUUAAUCUUUUCAAUACUUGAAAGUUCUCAUUCAUCAUGCUAUACAACUUGCAUGAUUCCAAGUUUCGGUCCAAUUGAAACUUGGGUGAUGAGAAUCUUUCCUCAUUUGGUAAAUUUAGACAUUACCACAAAUGAAAGAAUCAAUUUCAUAUUUCCACUCUUGCUAUUAAUGGAAUCUUAUAAGCAACAAUUUUUCCUCAAAUGCCAUUGUAAGGAUAUUUUAAAAUAAAUAAAAUCAAAAAUUUUCUUUUAUUUUAAAACUUUGCGGAAAAACUUAUCCUUACAAUCCAUAUGAAAACUUGUUGUUAUCUAUUCCUAAGCAAUAUCUCAUAACUCCUAAGAAGUAGCUCAAGAAUCCGAUCUUCAAACUAUGCGAUAGAAAUCCAUCUACGCCAUCAGAUUCAGCAUAUUCUUUCUUUAAGUUUCUUCACUUUUCUUUGAUUCUUAAAACAUCACCAUGUGACCCAGUCACAUCAUGUAUCAAGAAUCUCAGAAUAGAAACUUAACAGAGUUAGAUAGUGGACUUUACCUGAAGUAGAGUCAAACUUAUUGACUUUAACAUCCUUAGGUAAAUUUGGCAGCUUCGCAACCAAUGCCCCUUCCUUUGGCAAUAUAAACAUAUGGACCCUUUGAUAAUGGUACACGGGACUAUCACAGACUUAGCUUUUCUCUUUACCAUUUGGUCAACCGAGUUGACUAUGGCCGAUCCCUUUCCAUUGGGAAGAGAAUGCUUUACUGGAUAUCCAAUGUCAUCAUUGUCAAUGUCCAUAAAGUUUUAGGAAGUUGAUCUUAGCAAAUAGAUAAGAUCAUUAAGGGUCUUGUCAUAGUCUGUUUCAUAGGUGUCCCAAAGGAACUCACUAUGUGACUUAGAAAGUGAUUGAACCACCAACUUUCUCAAGACUUUGACACCCAACUCUCCCGGCUUGUCAAUAUGUGACUACAUCUCCAAGAUGUGAUCACACCUAGACCUUGCCUUGCCAAUAGGGCUUGAGUGACCUUAAACUUUUCAAGAACUUGUGGGUUAGGGAGAAUAAUUGGAGGAGGUGAAAGAAGUAUGAUUUCCAAAGGACAUCAUCUUCAUUUAGGAAACCUUGUUUCACUAGAUUUGGGAAGAUCAUAGGUGUCUAUUACAGACAUCUUUUGGGAGAUAUUCAAGAUAGUUGAUUUAAAGUCCUUAAUAUGACACCCAAUAUGAAAUAUUAAGGCUAGGACCCAACAAACUAUUUUAUAACUUAGAAGAGGUAUGCCGUAAUCCAAGCUAUAAAAUAUUUGAAGGUAGGUGAAUGACGAUUCACCAAUUUCCACCAAGAUAAACGAAAUGUAUUAUUAGGUUUUAAUUGGUUUUGAAACUCCUAGAUCUUUGAGAUUCAUUGAACUGUUCAAAGGCAUGUUUCAAUCUCGAGUGUGCCCUUCAGGUUUUGUGACUGGGAUGCCGAGGAUCACAAAACAAGGUGUGAAGUAACCAUGCAAAUUACUUGGUACCCUUAAGUGUUUACCCCUCAAUCGAUGUGCCGGUUAACCACACACGCUCCAUCGAUACUAUGAUAAACAUUAAGUUACCCUUUGCCUACCUUGUUAAAUACGAGUUAGUGUGCCGGUUAACCACACACGCUCCACUAACCGACUUAAACAAAGUGCAAAGUGUAAUUUCAUGGAUUAGCACCUUAUUCACAUUUUCCUAAGUAACUAAGAUUGGGUAUUAUUAAGAGUUUAGUUACUUAGUAUUUAUCAUUAAUACUUUUUGUCGUGUCGUGUCAUCAAUUGCCACCAACCCGUUCGGCUAACGACCCUCCACCAGUCAAGCAAGCGGUGGGUGAGAGUGGACACCCAUUAAGUUGCCAUUUUAUAGGCAACAACCUUAUACCCACCUUAUAGACCGGCUUCGUGAAUGAGGCGUACUAGCGGUAAGACUGACUUUACUCUUAUACAUAUAUAUAUUAUUAACUUAUAAUAUUAUAAAGUAUAAGGGUUGAAUUUUAACUUUUAAAAUUCUAAGGGCUAACUUGGAAUUAAAGUAUUCAUAAGUGAAAACUUUACAAAUUCCAAAACUUGAGGGCAAGUUUUGAAACUAUUCAAAACUAAUUAAUUCCAUAACUUAUGUGUUUAAAGUAGUUUUAAUCCAAAAACUCUUCAAGUUCCAUAACUUGAGGACAAGUUAUGGAAGACUUUAAACUAAUAAAAGAAUUAACUUUUCUUUAUUUUAUAACUUAUGGAAUUAAUUAAGGUUACACCUUUUUUUNNNNNNNNNNNNNNNNNNNNNNNNNNNNNNNNNNNNNNNNNNNNNNNNNNNNNNNNNNNNNNNNNNNNNNNNNNNNNNNNNNNNNNNNNNNNNNNNNNNNNNNNNNNNNNNNNNNNNNNNNNNNNNNNNNNNNNNNNNNNNNNNNNNNNNNNNNNNNNNNNNNNNNNNNNNNNNNNNNNNNNNNNNNNNNNNNNNNNNNNNNNNNNNNNNNNNNNNNNNNNNNNNNNNNNNNNNNNNNNNNNNNNNNNNNNNNNNNNNNNNNNNNNNNNNNNNNNNNNNNNNNNNNNNNNNNNNNNNNNNNNNNNNNNNNNNNNNNNNNNNNNNNNNNNNNNNNNNNNNNNNNNNNNNNNNNNNNNNNNNNNNNNNNNNNNNNNNNNNNNNNNNNNNNNNNNNNNNNNNNNNNNNNNNNNNNNNNNNNNNNNNNNNNNNNNNNNNNNNNNNNNNNNNNNNNNNNNNNNNNNNNNNNNNNNNNNNNNNNNNNNNNNNNNNNNNNNNNNNNNNNNNNNNNNNNNNNNNNNNNNNNNNNNNNNNNNNNNNNNNNNNNNNNNNNNNNNNNNNNNNNNNNNNNNNNNNNNNNNNNNNNNNNNNNNNNNNNNNNNNNNNNNNNNNNNNNNNNNNNNNNNNNNNNNNNNNNNNNNNNNNNNNNNNNNNNNNNNNNNNNNNNNNNNNNNNNNNNNNNNNNNNNNNNNNNNNNNNNNNNNNNNNNNNNNNNNNNNNNNNNNNNNNNNNNNNNNNNNNNNNNNNNNNNNNAAAUCGGCUAGCCCUCUCUAGAAUGAUACUAGUGGCCGAUUUUGUCAAGAAUAAGAUCUUUAUAUAGUGUUACAAUUAGGGUAAACCCUAAUUGUCAUGACUUUCCAUUUCCUUGGAUCCAUGGGUUCAAAUACACCAUGGAGCAUCCAUGGACCAUCCUAUGGGUUUUAGCCCAACUUGAUUAUCCAUGGAGCAUUAGCCCACUAUACAAGUAUGGAUGAUUUACACAAUCAACCCAUAUAUUUAAUUAGUCUUCUUUUGAUCACUUAAUUAAUCCUAGAUUAAUUCUGGAUCAAAAUUAAUUAAAUAAUCUUAUUAUUCUUAUUAUUAAUAUACUAGAACUUAUAAUAUAUUAAUAACCAUAAGUGUCUUAUUUCUUUCCUUAAAGUCUAUCCAAGUGCAUGAUGCCAUGCAACCCAAAUGGACCAUGCCGGGUCGGGUCAAGUCUUACCAAUUAUAGUUAUGGACUUAGACAUCAAUCCAACAGUAUAGUAACCAAAGUACAACAACCAUUGAAUUAAUAGUAAUAAUUUUACAUAGGUUACAUUUAACAAUAAUAUCAAAGUGGAUAUAGGAAAUAACAUAAGCUGCAGCUUGGUACUAGGCUGACUUCGCAAAAGCUCCCAGAUUGUACCUGUCUAUUUAUGACCUGAGAAUACAAGUUAUUUUGAAAGCGAGUAUCAACAUUUUAAUGUUGGUGAGUUCAAAAGUAUUUAAUGGCAUUGAUAUAAAUACAUGUUUUUCUUCAAAAUAAUCUCAUAAAAGAUGGUGGUUUAGAAUUUACAGAAUAUUAGAAUUUCUUCCAGAAAAUCCUAUAUUUUCUAACAAAAGUAGUCUUCUACCAAGGCCCUAUUGUUUUAAGUUUAAAGAGUAAUUUCCCCUAAAGGUAACUAUCUUUAUCAAAAUAUAGUUUUUACUUUAAAGAAUAUGUGAGGAAAUCACAGGCAAAAGUAAUAGGGAAAAUAAUAUUUUUCCUCAGCAGUAACACUGCUGGUUAAAGGUAAAUAAAACAUAGACUCUGGGCGGGACGCCUCGAAAAGUCUAAAAGAAUGAAUUAUAGACUCCAGACGGUAUUGAAUGAGCAAUACGUCUCGUAAAGUCUAAAAGGGUGAAGUAUAGACUCCAGACAGUAUCGAAUGCGCAAUACGUCUAGCAAAGUCUAACAGAAAGAAGUACAGACUCCAUACAUUAUCAAAUGAGCAAUACGUCUAGCAGAGUCUAAAAGGCUGAAGUACAGAAUCCAGACGGUAUUGAAUGAGCAAUAUGUCUAGCAAAGUCUAAAAGAAUCUUUAAUCCUAAGUAGGUUUAUUUAAAGAUAUAUAUAUAUAUAAGGAUUAUUUUAUAUAUAGAAAAUACCAUGAUGACACUUAUUACCUUAAAUCCAUGAAUUAUAAAGUAACUCUAAAGACAUUCGUAACCUACUGAUUGACAAUCAAAUACUUGACGACCUACUAGCGUCGGAAUGAAUAUGACAUUUGUCACCCUUUGGCUUGGUCAGCCAGGACUGUAGCUAGCAGUCAGGAUGUGAGAGUGUCUAUCUCAUAUAGAUCUAUACACACAAUGCCCGCUUUCCCUCCAGGAGACUCUGGUUACCACUCGACAACUGUGAAAUCCGCAUCAUAAGGAUGUAUCUCGUGUUCUGAUUUCUAUAAACCUUUCUUUUAUUAAAAAUACAAGUUUUUAGAAUAUAGAUAUAACUAAGUUCUCCUUUAUGAAAGUUAUGGUUGGUUUCUAAACUAUGCCUAUUAUAGUUUACUUGAGAGGUUAUCUGGACGCCUUUGCUACCCAAAGGUGAUGAUUUGCUUGAUGGAACUUUUAUGACUAUAUAUGUAUACAUAAUAUAUAACUAAUAUUUAAACGACCUUCGGACAGAUAACCGUGACUCUAAAGCCACAUCCAAACAAGGAAAAGGAAUUAAAGCGAGUUAGCCUUCCUAAGUCCUUUAAACAUUACUUAUAUAACUAUACAUAUACAGGCAUGCAUUUGACAAUAUAAAAGUUUAAAAAGAAGUUUUUGGUAAAACCUUUGGAAAAUCUAUAAAUAAGAAUUUAUGACUUGAUGUCAGUUUAUAAAAAAAAGAUUUGAAAACCUUUAGCUGGAUAAAAUCAGUUUAACAUGCAUAAAUCUAUUUGCUAGCCAGUUAUUAAUCACAUGUGAUUGAUGUAAUAACUUACUAGUUCAACUUGUAUUCCCCCCCCCCCCAUAAAAGCAUUUAAAAUCAUUUAAAAAGGUCGAUUAAGGGGUAUGAACUCACAUGACAUGGGUGAUUAGGAUGAACGGAUGGUAUAGGAUGCUAAGUGUAAAGUGAGGACUUGAACACACACACGAAUCCUAUUUAACAUGUAGUGAUACACUUAAGUAUCUAAUUAGUCAUUUAAUAACUAAUUAUGCAAGUAAAGACAUCCUAAUACAUGAAAACACUUUGCUACAAGUGCUAGGAGUACUAAGGGUUGAAUAUAAAGAGAGUAUGGCCUCACAUUGGAGUUUACUCCUCAAAUGGUGGCCCUUAUGGGUGUUUAUGGUUUCUGGACCACUUCCCCCAUGAGUUUACGACAGUAAACUCAUGGAAGUGGUGCCAUUGGGUGUUUAAAGGUCCUAAACCACUCAAGGAAUUAAGCUAGGCUCGAAUCAAGGGCUAAGGAAGUGACUAGGACUCAAAAUGACCCUUCUUUGGAGUUUACGGUCCUUGGAGCACUCCUUGGGAGUUUACGGUCAUAAACACAUGGGUUUACGGUCGUAAACACAUGGGUUUACGACCGUAAACUCAUGUUUACCCAUUCCUUUCGUGUUUUGGUGUUUCUAUCUUAUGCAUGCAAGGUUCUAGUCACUUAUACAAGCCAUAGAAGGUGUUAAGGGCACUUAAACACCAUUGGAAGGUGUUUACGGUUUUGGGAGAUCUCCCCAAACCGUAAACACAUGUUUUCUUGGGGAUCUUGAUGUUCUUCACGGGUUUAACAUGUAUUAUAAGUGAAUAACUUGAUAGGAGGAGUGUACUUACUUAUAGGAAGCUCGAAANAGAACCCCAAGAACACUAGUGUGUGUUCUUGGUGUUUUGAAGAACACUUGAAGAUCUAAGAAAAGAUGAGAUUUCCAUGGAUGAAAUCGAGUAUAAACACUAGAUAAGGUGUUAUAUGAACGAAUCUAGGAAGAAAGCACUUACAUUUUGACGGAUUUGACGGAAAAGUGAUAUGAUACUUGAGAGAGAAUUCUUGGUGUUCUUGAGUUGGGAAGUGAAAAAUGAGCUAAAAAUGACUAAGUGUCAAAUUUAUACUCUUUGGGGUUUACGGCCGUAAACUCCAUGUUUACGACCGUAAACUCCAAACUUUUGGAGUUUCGCGGCUUACGUGACACAUGACAAACUCUAAAGUAUACCUCCUUUUAUUUGUCCGCUUGACGAAUAUAAAAUAAAAUACUCAAACGGACUUAAAACCAGCCAAAAAUGUUUUGAGAUGAAUUUGGCUAAUUUUUGAUGUGCUUGAUUGCGGAGUUUAUACAAAUGAAAAUUUCGGGUUGUCACACUUAUACUUUAUAAUAUUAUAAGUUAAUAAUAUUUAUAUAUAUGUAUAAGAGUAAAGUCAGUCUUACUGUUAGUAGGCCUCAUUCACGAAGUCGGUCUAUAAGGGGGUAUAAGGUUACUGCCUAUNAUAAGAGUAAAGUCAGUCUUACCGUUAGUAGGCCUCAUUCACGAAGCCGGUCUAUAAGGGGGUAUAAGGUUACUGCCUAUAAAAUGGCAGUUUAAUGGGUGUCCACUCUCACCCACUGCUUCCUUGACCGGUGGAGGGUCGUUAGCCGAACGGGUAGCACAAGGACUAGAAUUCUCCCUUCAUUAAAAGUAUUAAUGAUAAAUACUAAGUAACUAAACUCUUCUUAAUACCCAAUCUUAGUUGCUUAGGAAAAUGUGAAUUUGGUGCUAACCCAUGAAAUUACACUUUGCACUUUGCUUAAGUCGUUAGUGGAGCGUGUGUGGUUAACCGGUACACUAACCUGGAAUUAACAAGGUAGGCAAAGGGUAACUUAAUAUUUAUCAUAGUAUCGAUGGAGCAUGUGUGGUUAACCGACACAUUGAUUAAGGGGUAAAUAAUUAAGGGUACCAAGUAUAUUUGCAUGGUUACUUCACACCUUGUUUUGUGAUCCUCGGCAUCCCAGUCACAAAACUUGAAGGGCACACUCGAGAUUGAAACAUGCCAUUGAACAGUUCAAUGAAUCUCAAAAGAAUCUAGGAGUUUCAAAAACCAAUUAAAACCUAAUAAUACAUUUCGUUUAUCUUGGUGGAAAUUGUUGAAUCGUCAUUCACCUACCUUCAAAUAUUUUAUAGCUUGGAUUACGGCAUCCCUCUUCCGAGUUAUAAAAUAGUUUGUAGGGUUCUAUCCUUAAUAUUUCAUAUUGGGUGUUAUAUUAAGGAACUUUAAUCAACUAUCUUGAAUAUCUCCCAAAAGAUGUCUAGUUCAGACAUCUAUGAUCCUCCCAAAUCUCUUGGAACUUCACUUCCUCCACCUCCUCCAAUUAUUCUCCCUAACCCACAAAGUUCAAGGUCACUCAAGCCCUAUUGGCAAGGCAAGGUCUAGGUGUGAUCAUAUCUUGGAGAUGAAGUUACAUAUUAACAAGUCGGGAGAGUUGGGUGUCAAAGUCUUGAGAAAGGUGGUGGUUCAAUCACUUUCGAAGUCACAUAGUGAGUUCAUUUGGGACCCCUAUGAAGCAGACUAUGACAAGACCCUUAAUGAUCUUAUCUAUUUGAUAAGAUCAACUUCCUAAAACUUUAUGGACAUUGACAAGGAAGACACUGGAAAUCCAGAAAAAGCAUUCUCUUCCCAAUGGAAAGGGAUCGGCCAUAGUCAACUCGGUUGACCAAAUUGUAAAGAGAAAAGCUAAGUCUUUGAUAGUCCUGCAUACCAUUACCAAAGGGUCCAUGUGUUUACAUUGCCAAAGAAAGGGGCAUUAGUUGCGAAGCUGUCAAAUUUUACCUAAGGAUGUUAAAGUCAAUAAGUUUGACUCUACUUCAGGUAAACUCCACUAUCUAACUCUGCUAAGUUUCUAUUCUGAAAUUCUUGAUACGUGUUGUGACUGGGUCACAUGUUGAUGUUUUAAGAAUCAAAGAAAAGUGAAGAAACUUAAAGAGAGAAUAUGCUGAAUCUGAUUGCAUAGAUGGAUUUCUUUCGCAUAGUUUGAAGAUCGGAUUCUUGAGCUACUUCUUAGGAGUUAUGAGAUAUUGCUUAGGAAUAGAUAACAACAAAGUUUACAUGUGCUUUUGCUCUGUAAGGAUAGUUUUUCCGCAAAGUUUUUAAAAUAAAAGGAAAAUGUUGAUUUUAUUUAUUUUAAAAUAUCCUUACAACGACAUUUGAGGAAAAAAAUUGUUACUUAUAUGAUUAAUAGCAAGAGUGGAAAUAUGAAAUUGAUUCUUUCAUUUGUGGUAAUGUCUAAAUUUACCAAAUAAGGAAAGAUCCUCAUCACCCAAGUUUCAAUUGGACUGAAACUUGGAAUCAUGCAAGUUGUAUAGCAUGAUGAAUGAGAAUUUUUUCAUCUUUGGAAAAUUAAUACUAGUUACUUGUUCACAUGUAUAUGUGAGUCAAGUGAAGGACUAAGGGAUCGAGUACACAUUCUUGUGCACUGGUCAAGUCCACCACAAAAGAUCGAUAAGAUUAUUCGUCAUAAUUUACUAAAGCUCAGUAAAUAUGGUUGUACUUACAAGCUUAAGUUUAAUUCUGAGACAUUGGAAAAGGUUCCAAUGUAUGGCAGAGCGAAUAAGAAGAAUCAAAUUAGGUAAAAGGAUAAAAGUUUCUCAAAUCUGAAAAGAUGGGAGAGUACUUUAGUAUCAUGUCAUAUGAUCAUCUUAAUGAUUAAGAGACCUUAUCACAAUUCAUCCUCUAAGUGCAUUCUGAUAGCUAAGAAGAGGAGCUAUGAAUUGUUGAAGUGGGUCAAAUCAAGAAGAUGAGUCAUACUUUGUUCCAAAAUAAGUCUUAGAGUCAUAUUCCAAGACUAUAAGUUGAGUGACAUAUCUUAAAGGAAGGUUUCUUAACACUAGUCAAAUGUAAGAGUAAAAGUUUUCUACUCUUGUACAUUUGAAAUUGGUAAGUUGUGAUGUUUUGGAUAAAACAAAGACCAACUAAGGCCAAUUGUGUGAAGUGUUUGUCUUGAUUAGAAUCCACACUAUCUCUUGAAUAUUUGACAAGAAAGUCUUAUAUGUCAAGAGGACAGUGGGAGUCUUAAAGGUCUUGAAAGUCUCAAGAACUAAUCAAGAAUAAAACCUGAAGUUCUUCACUAGCACACGACUUGAGGUUUAUAACCUAUCGUGUUGACAUAUUCUGUGCCCAUUCCAGUUAAAGUUGGCUUUGCAUAUGAGUUCUUAGAGUUCUCAAUUGGUUGCACAACAACUUGGAAGCAAUGGCAGGCCCUUGAGCUGCCAGGUGGCAAGAAAUUAAGAUUGAGUUCAGUCCAUAUGAGUUUGGAUUUGUCAUUAUCCUUGUCUUGUGACUAUGGUUUUGACAAUUCACAUGGAUAAGAACACAUACACCAUUAAAUCUAAGUGUCAUAAGGUUUCUCUCCGAUUCAUGAAAAUGAUGGUGAGGAAACACUUUCACUAAGUAGAUUUUAACUAGAUAGCAAUUGUGAUAUUUGGAUUCUCAAAGUCGUUAGUGGAGCGUGUGAGGUUAACCGCCACACUAACUGGGACUUGUAAGAAGUGGCAAAGGUCUAAAAAAUUGAGACUGUGAUUACGGCAUCCCUUUUCAUAGUUCUUAAAUUGUUUAGACACACCUGUGAGCNAAGUUGGCUUUGCAUAUGAGUUCUUAGAGUUCUCAAUUGGUUGCAUAACAACUUGGAAGCAAUGGCAGGCCCUUGUGCUGCCAGGUGGCAAGAAAGUUAAGAUUACACAAGUUCAAUCCAUAAGAGUUUGAAUUUGUCACUAACCUUAUCUUAUGAUUAUGGUUUUGACAAUUCAUAUGUAUAAGAACACAUACCCCAUUAAAUCUAAGGGUAAUAAGGUUUCUCUCAAAUUCGUGAAAAAUGAUGGUGAGGAAACACUUUCACUAAGUAGAUUUUAACUAGAUAGCAAUUGUGAUAUUUGGAUUCUCAAAGUCGUUAGUGGAGCGUGUGUGGUUUACCGGCACACUAACCUGGACUUGUGAGAAGUGGCAAAAAGGUCUAACCAUUAUGAUUACGGCAUCCCUCUUCAUAAUUGUUUAGACACACAAGUGUGCUAUCUAAGGGAAGGUGUAUGAUUUUGAUAAAGUCUUAUCAAAGCAAUCUAGUAUCAAAAAUCUGAACUCUGGUAAGAAAGUCAAUAAAGUAUUGAUUUCUAGAAGUCCAGCUGAUUUCUGAGUACAUGUCAAAGCUAGUGGGAGCAUAAGUGUUAUGCUAAUAAUCAUCAUGUUAGUGGGAGCAUGAUAAUUAUGAUAAGUAUUGCAAGUUAGCAAUGUUAAUUAUAGAAAACAAAAGUUUCAAUUGGGAAAAAGUUGUUUUGCUAUAAUUAAGGGAGAGGAAAUUAUGCUUCAUCUCAAAUCUAUAAGCUUAGAUCGUGAGGUUUUAAUCAUUUAGUCAAGGAUAUAUAUGAAUUUCAUGUUGGAAUGGCUCAACAUAAGGAAAUUCUGUAUAUGGGUCCAUUAUUUGCGUUCUAAAAUUCGAUUAUGAUUACGGCAUCCCUUUUCAUAAUCUGAAUUAUGAGAACUUGGCAAAUUGAAAUGGAAAUAUUAUAGCAAAAGACUGGUUUAGUCUUUAUGUGAGACAUCAUGAAUCGUGUCCCAUAUGCUUCGGAUAUAGGAUCGAUUACAUGUGCUAUAUUCAUCCUUUCUAAAAUUUUCCAAAUGCCUGGGGCAUUAAGAAGGGAAAAGGUUUAGAACUGGAUAUGACUAAAAGGAUUAAGCAAUUGUCGAGGACAAUCUAAGGUUUACCAAAGAUUGGUUGCUCAGGGACAGUUGGAAGUAUAGUGUUAAUUGUUGGAAGGACCAUAUUGACAUAUUCUGAAAAGAGGCAACUCUUGUUCAGAAGUGAUAGUCAAAAAGGGAAUGUGNGGAAAUGUUUCAAAGUUAGAAUUUUCAAUCUGUUUAAGAUUAGGAAACUUAAUGCAAGAAGGAUGUUUCCAAGGAGUUGAUCUCCUUUGGAAUGCUCUGUAAUGUUUGUUGUCAAGUCUUUCUGACUUUGUGCAUAAUCAUUACAAGAGAAUCAUUGCAUAUAAGUUUAGAAUCUAACAUAUUUCGGUAAAAUGGCAUGAAUUUGGAAUUCCUGCAUUUGCCAUAAAAAGUCGGAAGUGUGAAAUUAGAAUCAUUGAAAGUUUGGUCAAUUGGUUUAUUUCACAAAGUAAGAUUCAUAGACAAACAUAGAGUGCAUACUUAGUGUAUGGCAAAGCUAUUGUUUAAAAAAACAUAGUGUAUAUGCUCGGAGCAUGGGGCAACCAUCGUUUUAAAUUCAAGAAUAAAGUUGAUAGUUGAAACAGUAUGCAAUGAAUAAUGUGUAAUCAUAUGGUGAUAAAUAAAAGGUGUUUUAUUUAUGUUCAAAGGGUUGAUACCAUAUUGGAUUCAAUUAUUAUUGUGUUUCACUUUGCAUGUUUUGACUUCCCGAAUAAACUAGGUUAUUCUUCCGGAAUGACUAAGUUAUUCAAACCAUCCACAGUCGGUCAUAUGUUGGAAGUAGAUAUGAAUGACUUUCAUGGGUUGGCUUGUAGAGGUCCAAGUUGGUGGACAAAGUUGUGCUACAACACUCAUGAGUGCUCAUAAGUUAUGAGUAUUGGAUUCAACCCGCGCUCCUUGGAAUCACUACAUGGCUUUUAUCACGAGUGAUCAUGAGACGAUAAUAUCUUAUAUUCUUCAAACCUAGAGAUAUGAGUUGUUACUAUGAGUUGGUUGUACAUUGAUUGCACGAAAACGCAUUUGGUAACUCGGUGCUAUAAAACGUGCCUUUGUGUAUGAUUCAACAAGUAGUAGAACAAGCCAUAUGAGUCGAAGUUUAUCCAUUCCUUUUACCUUCGGGAUAAAAGCGAUAUCUGUGGGCCCCUCGAUGAUUUGAUGAUGACAAAUGGAAGUGCUCGGCCGGGCCAGGACUGAUUUGAUUUGUUCAAUUAGUCAGUCGUCAUAAAUCGGAAAUCGGGAAACAACAAAUGGACAGAGAGAAUGAUUAUAAUCCAUGUCUCAGUCCAUAUGAUAUCUAGAAUGGAGGAAUAUAUGAUCCCUUAUCUAAUGGACAAGUCAUUGACAAAGGUCAGAGUUCAUCGACAAGGUCAGAGUUCGACAGAAGCUUUUGAGAGCUACGAUUGCCAGUCGGUUCUUGAAGUCAUACGCAAUAAUAGUUUUAGACUUAUCCAAGUGGGAGACUGUUGGAUUAAUGUCUAAGUCCAUAACUAUAAUUGGUAAGACUUGACCCGACCCGACAUGGUCCAUUUGGGUUGCAUGGCAUCAUGCAUUUGGAUAGACUAUAAUGAGAGAAAUAAAACUUAAGGUUUGUUAAUAUAUUAUAAGUUCUAAUAUAUUAAUAAGGUUAUUUAAUUAGUAUUGAUCAAGAAUUAAUUUGGAAUUAAUUAAGUGAUCAAAAGGAGACUAAUUAAAUAUAUGGGUUGAUUGUGUAAAUCAUUCAUUCUUAUAUAUGUGGGCUUGUGAUCCAAGAUUCCUUAUGUUGGACUAAGUCCAUGGGGUGACCCAUGGAUACUCCAUGGAGGUUAAAAUCCAUGGAGCAUAAGGAAUGGGUAAAGUUAUGAGUUACAUGGUGUAACCCUAAUAGCCACCAUAUAAAAGAAUCCCAUGGCUCAAGAAAUUGGGCACUAGUGUGUGAAUAUGAGGGCUAGACGAUUUCAAGGAGUGUUUCAUUUCUCUCAAGUCAUUCCAUGUGCACUUGAUGUUGUGUGAACCAUUUGAGGUGUCACACUUGGGGCACUAGGAACUCAAGCUUCAUGAAGACAAGAUACAUCAAACAAAGGUAUGUAUUCUAUCCAUUUGAUUACCCAAGUAUCAAGUAUUGUAUGCUAGAUAGGUAAUGCCUUGGAAAGUUCAUAUUUGCAUGUAUAAUAGAGAAAACAUAGAUCCAAGGUAUUUAGGGUUUCAUGUACACUUAGGAGUGUUAGAAUGCUCAAAACCCAACACUAUUACCAUAUGUAUGUCAAGUUCUUGAAGUGUGAGUUUGGAUUAUGAGAUGUUCAGUUCUUAGGACAUCUUGUCAACCAAAACGAGAUUUUGGUUGACCCGACCAAGAUUAAGGUCGUGAUGCAGUAGGAUGUUCUAAAGUCCCCUUCGGAGAUCAAGAGUUUCUUGGGUUUAGCAAGAUAUUAUCGGAGAUUUAUUCAGGAUUUAUCCAAGAUCGUAGUACCCUUCACCCGUCUGACGAGGAGGCGUGUGGAUUUCCGUUGGGGUCCUGAGCAACAGGUGACAUUUGAGACUCUGAGACAAAAAUUGUGUGAGGCCCUAGUGUUGAACCUCCUUGAGGAUGUUGAGGACUUAUAGUAUUUUGUGAUGCAUCCAUGACAGAUUUGGGUGCAGUGCUUAUGUAGUGUGGGGGAGUCACUGCUUAUGCUUCUCAGUAGCUGAAACCGCAUGAUGUCUGUUAUCUGACUCAUGAUUUGGAGUUGCUGGCAGUAGUGUUUGCUCUCAAUAUUUUGCGGCAUUACUUGUAUGAGGUUCGAUGUACUAUCUACAAGGAUCACAAGAGUUUGAGGUAUCUCAUGGACCAGCUAAAUCUGAAUAUGAGACAACGUUUGUAGCUUGAUGUGGUCAAUGAUUAUAAUUGUGAGAUUCUGUACCCUGGGAAAGCGAAUGUGAACAUUGAUACUUUGAGUCGUAAGAUGUCUAGCUCUGCUAUUGGGAGUCUAUGUAUGAGAAUAUCGAUUGACUCUCUACUUCCUGAUCUGAAUAGGGAGGCUUGGGCCGAGGGAGUUAAGAAAGAGAAUUGGAAACAUGAGAGACUCAGGGGUGAGAUUGACAGGUUUACUACUCACAGUCGUGGAUUAUUAACCCGGUAUGAACGGGUUUGGGUGCCAGAUUUUCGUCGGGUCAGACAGAUUGUGCUUGAGGAGGCACACAAGUCUAGGUUUUUGAUACACCCUUGAGCCACCAAGAUGUAUCGGGAUUUGAGGCAUAGGUACUGGUGGCCGUGCAUGAAGAGGAAGAUAGCAUGGUAUAUUAAGAGGUGCUUGACAUGUCGGAUGGUCAAGGCCGAAGAGACCUCUUGGCAAGUUGCAGCCACUGGAGGUUCCCAUGUGGAAAUGAGAACAUAUUACUAUGGAUUUCAUCACCAGGUUACUUUGAAAGGCUAAGAGGCAUGAUGCAAUUUAGGUGAUAAUGGAUCGGUUGACCAAGAGUUCCUAUUUCUUAGCCAUCCAAGAGAGCUCGUUGGCUGAGAAAUAGGCUGAUUUAUAUGUGCGAGAUUGCUGCUCGGCAUGGAAUUCCAGUCUCUAUUGUAUCUGAUUGAGAUGUUAGGUUCACAUUUCAUUUCUCGCAGAAGUUUCAUGAGGAACUGGGUAUAAUCUUACAUCUCAACACUACUUUUCAUCCACAGGAACUGGGUAUAAUGUUACAUCUCAACACUACUUUUCAUCCACAGACGGACGGUUAGAGUGAGCAGAUCAUUCAGACACUUGAGGACAUGUUGAGAGCUUGUGUCAUAGAUUUCGGUGGGAGUUGGGACUCCUACCUUCCUUAGGCUGAGUUUUCUUACAAGCUCCUUUCGAGCUCCUCUAUAGGAGGAAGUGCCACACCCCAGUGUGUUAGGGAGAGGUAGUCCUUCAGACGAGAGAGCUCAUCCAACAGAUUAGACAUAGACUUCAGAUAGCUCAGAGUCGGCAGAAGAGUUAUGCCGACAAGCAUCAAUCCGAGUUGGAGUUCCAGGUCAGGGACAUGGUUUUACGGAAGGUAUUUCCUUAGAAGGGUGUAAUACACUUUAGGAACAAGGGCAAGUUGGGGCCCUAAUAUAUUGGGCCGUUUCAGGUGAUAGUCAGGGUUGGCAAGGUAACGUAUAGAUUAGAUUUUCCUGAGGAGCUUAUCCAGAUCCACAACACCUUCCAUGUGUCUCAGUUUCGGAAGUGUAUGAGUGACGAUUCAGUAGUGAUCCUUUUGGAUGAUGUUCAAGUUGAUGAUCAGCUGAAUUACAUUGAGAGACCAGUGGAGAUCUUGGAUCGGAAGUCGAAGACUCUGCGCAACAUGGUAGUGGAUCUUGUUCAGGUGCAAUAGCAGCACCGAAAGCGUUCGGAGUGGAAGUGGGAACCUGAGUCCGAGAUGCAGGAGCAUUACCCCGAGUUGUUCACAACAACGGACUUUGAGGACGAAGUCUGAUUCAAGUGGGGUAGAAUUGUAACAUCCAGAUUCUUGAGGUACAUAAUUCCUUGAAUUUAUAGCNGGGGGGGAGGAGGGGUGUUGCUGUAACGGCCCAAAAAUCAGGGGUAAAAUUUUCAUUUUUCAAUACUGUCAAAACACAUAUAUCUUUUAAAUCCAAGCUUUCCAAAAACAUUGUUAAUUAAAAACGUUUAUCAGAGUUCACCCCAAAAUAAAAUAUUGCGGAAAACACAGGUGUGUGCACUACGAUCAAGUCGGGCCCUUCCUUUCAAUCGAUGGUACCUGAAACCAUGAACAAAACUGUAAGCACAGAGCUUAGUGAGUUCCCCAAAGCAUAUCCCACACAAUCCACAUAACCACAUAAUCCAUAUUAGCUAUAACAGCUAUAUAAACCAUAUCAGUCACAUAAGCCAUGCAUAUAAACAUAUAAGGAUGUCAUGGGCUCCUCUUAGGAUCUUACUCUAGGAUGCCAUGGGCUCCCCACAUGGUCUUAUACCUAAGUGUCAUAGGCUCCCCCAUGGUCUUUAAUUGGAAAGCCAUGGGCUCCCCACAUGGUCUUGCAUCCAAGUGUCAUGGGCUCCCCCAUGGUCUUUAAUUAGAAAGUCACGGGCUCCCCACAUGGUCUGACAUCCAAGUGUCAUGGGCUCCCCCCCACCCCGCCCAUGGUCUUUACCUGAAAAGCCAUGGGCUCCCCCACAUGGUCUUACUAUUGGGUUUUGAGCAUUCUAACAGUCUUAUGGUGUACAUGCAACCCUAGAAACCUUGGAUCUAUGUUUUAUCUAUGAUACAUGCAAAAUUGUUUUUCCAAGGUUCUUAACCAAUCUAGCAUACAAGGGAACUUUUAAUCAUAAAAGAUAGUAAGAAAACAUACCUUGUUGUAGGGGUGAGCAAAAACCGCACCUCAACUAAAAUUAACCACAUAAACCGCAACCGCAUUAAAAACCGGUGGUGAGGUUUUCUGUUUUUCAAAAACCGCAAAUUUGCAGUGCGGUUAUUAAUUUUCAAAAACCGCACCGCACCACAUAUACUAUAUACAAUUUUUUUAAUUAAUUAUUAAUAUGUUAAAUAUUAAAAAUAAGACAAGUUUAAUAGAUGAAAGAUGGAUAAAAUACUAAAAGACAAAAGUGUUGGUUUUUUAUUAUGUUUAACUUUGAAAAAUGAUGAAAUUGGACAAUUUUAAGAUAUUUAUUGUUAAUUACUAUUGAUUUGACGUUUUUAAUAUAUUAGUUGUUUGUGAUUUAAGUUAAUUGUCUUAUACCUUAUAGUUUUUUUAUUAUUACAAGUAAUAUGUUUGAACUCCUAAAACCGUUUGAGCUCUAAACUAUGGUUAAAAACCAUACAAAAAUAACUGCACCAAAUCCAUGCGGUUAAUAACCGCAACACAAAAAAACAAAACCGCACCACAAAAAUAACCACCGAACCACACCGCAAAAAUAACCUCACCAAGCGGUUUUGAAAAUGGAUUAACCGCAUUUGCGGUUAGUGGUGAGGUUUUGGCUAAUAACCGCACCGAACCGCACCGCGCUCACCCCUACCUUGUAGUACUUUGGAUUCCUUGAGAACCUUGUGAGCCUAGCACCCUAAGUGUGAUGCCUCAAAUGUAAGUCCCUAAUUUGCCUGUGUAUCAAUCAUAUUCGUUUAAUGGUGCGGAAUCCCAAUCAAACGGAUGAUGUUAGAUCAAAUAGAAGAGAAGGAGAAGAAGAAUAUGUUGAAUCUUGAAUGUAUUGAUGAUAUGAAUUAAGUUCCUUACACAAGAUUCACACACACUAACACACACUAAAGUUCCUCUCUUCUUCUCUCUUGGCCGUACACUCUCUUAUGUUCAUCAAUCUGUUCCUCACACCCUAACACCUAUAUUUAUAGUUGGAGAAUAUGGGCUUGGUGAACAUGGGCCGUAAAUGGGUUUACGGCCGUAAACUCAACCGUAAACCCCACCUGGCUGUAAACGAGACUGUUAGCUCAUAAAAUAUUACACAAAAAUAUAAUUGCCCAAAAAAGUAAAGUAUAAACCAUAUUUUGACCCAACAAUCUCCCCCUUGGUUUAUAGCUUUCUUUUCUUAAUGACCCAACAAGCUCCCCCUAAAAAGUAGCUGGCUCUUCUUGUCAAUCUUCAAUGGGAGCUUUACUUUAGGUUUAACCUUUGAUUUCUUCACAGCAUCAGGAUGAACAUAUGAAUCUUCCAUGAAUGAAUUCAUCUUGAGACCUUGAGCUUUUCUUCAGAAUGUGGCAUUGAAUGCACAUUGGGUGAGGAGGCUUCUUGUACUGAUUCUUGAAAGAUGGCGCUUUCAGCUUGAGAAUAUUCAGAGAGAACAUCAGAGAGAAAUAAUCUUCUGGAUCGCUUCAGCAGGUUUAAGAUAGCAGCAGACUGAUUGAGGAGGCUUCAAUGCAAUCCGUCACAUAAUAUUCAAUUUCAGCUUCACCUUGCUUCUAGGGUUGAAAGAUUUAAUUUGAAAGAAUAAUCUUCAUUUCUUGCUCCUUUGAAUGAGAAUUCUUCGAUGCUCAUGGACGAAGCCUUUGGCUUAGAAAUCUUCAACACAAACUCCAUGAGUUUCAUCUUCACCUGAAGUCACUUUUCAAGACAAAACAAAACUAAAAGAAAACUUAGAACAAAAGUAAAACAUAAAUAACACUAUUUUGAUUUUGAAUUUUUUUGAUUUUUGUUUGUUUUUUAUUAUUUUUAAUUCCCCCAUUUUAUUUAAAUUAGAAGAACACUAUGAGCAAACUUAACAAAAACAAAAAUAAUAGCUAACUUUAAGAGUGAUUUGGGAUCAAUGUUGUUGGACAACCUUAUUCCACUUGUCGGUACCCUUAUCUUCACAUCUUCGUCUGAUCGAACGCCAGUAUUGUGGUCCACUUAAACACAAAACAUUUGUAACAAGAUUUGGACAAUUUACCAAUGACAUGAUACAUGCAUAUAUCUAAUUGUAACUUUAUUAUCAUGAUUGGCCCUAAUUCUUAAAUAAAUUUUUCUUAAGACCAUUUAACUGACUACAACCAGGGAUAUUAUUGUCCACCUAAAUCGAGUAGCGAGAUCUACAGACAAUCUGCACGUGUUCAAUUUUAAGUGUACUAGAACGUGUUUCCCUCUUCCUUAUAUGCCCCAGCCAUCAAGAACUUCUAGAGUACUCCUUACAUCGGAUGAGCAGAUAAUCAUUCAGAGAGAGGACGGAUUCAGAUUGCUAUUACUUAACAUUUUAGAGGGAUUAAGAAGUAGAAGGUUGCAUAUGCUGCGUACCAGGUCGGAUUGGAAGUCACGCAAAGGAGACAUCAUAUGGCUAACAGAUAUGAGGAAUUUCAUAUAUAUAACACGCAGAGAAAUAGAGUUGCAUAUGUUGUGUACCAGGUCGGAUUAGAAGUCAUGCAAAGGAGACAACAUAUGACUAACAGACAGAAAGAAAGAAAACGAUUUUCUACAGACCUAAUUUAUCGGAAUUUACCAGUCGCCCCAUUCAACCGGAAUUAAAGACAGUAUCCGCACAUGGAGGAAAAGUGAAUCCACAAUUCUAGAUACGGGUUAUUUAAUGUGACCGGUAGAUUCCCAUGUAUAUCUCCCUACUCAACCUAUCCGAGCGGCGUGAAAUCAAGUUAAACGGAUCUAACUAGGUCAAAGUUUGUCAAGUCCUUAAAUUUAUUAGGUUCAACUUUCCCUAGUCAAGUCCAUUUAAAAUCUUUCGUGCCUACCAGUGCAUCGAGAACAGAGCGUAGAAGAUUCAACUUAGGUACGUUACGCUGAUUCAGAUUGCAUGUUAUCACUUGCUAAUUUCAUUUCCCAAAACAUCUCCUGCAAGCACAUUCCAUUAACACCACAUUUUUGAUUUUCUGAUUUUCUAAUGUUUUUGGAUUUUUUAAAAUUUUCUAAUUUUUGAUUUGUUUUUAUUUCUUCCCCUAAAUUUGUGCAUAGGAGAGAAAUGAAAGUAAAUGCGCAAAUUUAAACUAUGCUAAAACAAAAAUUAGUCUUUAAAGCGAAUCAGCUUAAGAAAAACUCAGGAGUAUAGAGAAGAAAACGCAAACCGUAAUUCACCGAUUGAAUCUGCAUUCAGAAGGUUUGAGAACAACAAGCAUAAUCUCAGAACAGAUCCGAAAAUUCUUCAUAUCAUUAAGCACUAACCCCAUUUGUGAUCUCUUCCUUUCUUCCUUUCCCGCAAAAGGACACAUACUCUCAACAAAGGUCUGAAUGUUGUACCGUUGAGAGAUGUCCCCAAUCAUAUGCCAGGAGCAGCCACUACCAACAAACCGAAGAAUGAUGAUAUGCCUCCAUAGUUGCUCCAACAUAGAGCGGGAUUAGUUGGUCUUUGGAAUCCAGUACAUUUUAAAACUGGGUCGACCUUUGUCAUCAACGCACAAUACUCUCUCCCAUGACAUAUCCUGCUUAUCACAAACAGAAGACGUAGAAACGUUAGAAGCAUUAGGAGAUUUGGGAGAGUGAACCUUCAGAACCCAUCUGUAGUCGGGUUUAACCCAUUUCUUUUUUGAUCGGAUGGGUGGCUCAGUACUUGAUUUGGAACUUGAAGUCAGCUGCUGAGAUGACUUUGACCUAAUGGGUCUUGGCUUCACUGGAGCAUCUCUUGGAUUGGACUUCUUGGCCGACGUUCCCUCCUUGCCCUUGGGAUUCAGAUUCUUUGCCUUGUGGGUUUGAUUCUUGGCCUUCUGCGCCUUCCAGUCACCAUUGUCUGAACGUGAACUGGAAGGAUUUCUUUUAAAGUAUCUCCCACUUGGCGCGUUUUGGCAUCCUUGUGCGCAGUAGGAAAAGUAUGCGCGAUUUUGACAGUUUCGGGCAAUGUGUCCAGGUGUUCCACAGUGAAAACAUGUCUUUUUCUUCAUUGUAAAGUUAUUUCUUCCUUCCCCUGGUGGCGUAUCCUUGCCUUGUCUCUUAUUGAUCCCAGAUGCACACUUGCAAUAGACACUCUGUUGCGCUGGAAUUGGAGGCCUAUAUUUCUCAACGGCAGGUUUGUUAGGAGUAACAGAAUUCGAAGCAACAAAUUCUGAGUUCAAAGAGUCAUUGGUUUGUUCAUUAGUGCUCUCCUUGUUCUCAUCUUCUGCUACUUUACCUGCACAUGAAGUAGAAACAUUAGUAUUUUCAACAUUAAUAACUCCUCCUGACACAAAUCCAUCUCGUUUGCCAUAUUGAAGAUGUGCUUCCCUGGCAAUUUCUUCCUGUGUCAUAGGGAUGGAUGUGUAGUUAUGAUUGAAAGGUGGAGGAACACUAUCAUACCCUAGACCCUUGUUUUGAUUAUCUUUGAAUUUUAAUUGGGUUUCAAAUAAUGACUCGACGGCCUGACUUGACGCAGAAUAAUUUUUGAAACUGACAUUUGUUUUUCCACACUUAAUAUUCAAUGUGUCAAGUUCUUCAGUUACAGCAGCAAGUUGUCUCUUAAUAUAGUCAUAAUUUUCACACUUAUUGCUAUACUCUUCCUGAAGCUUCCUAAAGUCCUUGGUUUUUGCUUCUAAUUCAGCCUUCAGGGGUUUCUGUCCUUUCUUCAGUUGAUAUCCUUCAUAUCUCAGGUCCUCAACUUCUCUUUUUAAUAAAUCAAUUUGUUCCCGAAGAAAUUUAAUCGUAGCUUCACAAGCUGGAGUACAUGUAACUUCAGUGACCGGAAUGUUUUCAGAACUCAUUGUUUCUCUACACUUCAAAGCAUCAAGUUCUUGAAUUACAUCAGCAAGACUAAGAUGAUUGAGAUCUUUUGUCUUCUUGAUAAUAGCCACGUUCAUAUCCCACGAUUUUGGAAGUGAAUUCAGUAGCUUUUUGUUUAUCUCGAACUUAGACAAGAAGAUCCCAGCUAUAUUCAUCUCAGUAGUAAGUGUAGUAAAGCACUGCAACUGAGUUUCGAGGGUUUCUCCAGGGAUAUAAUAGAAAAUGUUGAAAUUUUGUCUUAACAUAUCCUGACGACUCUGUUUCAUGUUUUCAACUCCCUCGUAGACCUUAAAAUCAAUUAAAAGACACAACUAAAAGCCAAAAUCAAACUUAAAAGUCAAACCCUUUGAUUGUAAACCUCAAAGGUCAACCUUAAAAGUCAAAUUUAAAAAGUUAAACUCAAAAGCCAAACCGANAAAUUAUUUUAUUAUUAUUAUUAUUAUUAUUAUUAUUAUUAUUAUUUAAUUUUAAUUAUUUUUAUUUUGGAUGAAAAAGGAAUUUAAAAUUAAAAGAAAUUGAGUUUUGGGUUAAAAGUGUCAAAAUAGGAAAACUUGUUGUGAGAAAGACGGGUUAUAGUUUAAAUUUCGAAGGAAAGGAACAAGGAUUCGGCUAGUUGAGUUGGAUAAGGGGCACACUUGUUGAUUUGGAGGUCACGGGUUCGAAACCCGGCACCUGCACCUUCGCUUCCUUUUUAUUUGACGCUGCUGUGCUGCGAGGCUUGCUGAACGAGCUGCUGAGUGCAAGGCUACUGAAGUGCGAACCAGAAACGAUGCUGAGCAGUAAACUCCGAGCCACAAGCUCGGGCCAUAAACGUUCGAGGCCUCGGACCGUAACCUAUGACCGCGAACUCCUCGGACCACAAACUCUUCGGAACCCUAGCCGCCGGCCGCAACCUCCUCGCUGAUCACGACAAAAAACAACAAUUUUAUGACUUUGAAGCUCCAAAACUCGAUCAAAAACCCUUUUUUAUGAAAAACACGAAGAACAAACCCCCCUUAUUUUUCAGAGAUCUAUCCAAAAGCGCAAAAUUUUUUCGAAAAUAAGAUCAAAUAAUGCUCCAAAUCUGACAAAAUUGACUGAUACAACCUUGCUCUGAUACCAAUUGUAAGUCCCUAAUUUGCCUGUGUAUCAGUCAGAUCCGUUUGAUGGUGCGGAAUCCCAAUCAAACGGAUGAUGUCAGAUCAAAUAGAAGAGAAAGAAAAGAAGAAUAUGUUGAAUCUUGAAUGUAUUGAUGAUAUGAAUUAAGUUCCUUACACAAGAUUCACACACACUAACACACACUAAAGUUCCUCUCUUCUUCUCUCUUGGCCGUACACUCUCUUAUGUUCAUCAAUCUGUUCCUCACACCCUAACACCUAUAUUUAUAGUUGGAGAAUAUGGGCUUGGUGAACAUGGGCCGUAAAUGGGUUUACGGCCGUAAACUCAACCGUAAACCCCACCUGGACGUAAACUAGACUGUAAGCUCAUAAAAUAUUACACAAAAAUAUAAUUGCCCAAAAAAGCGAAGUAUAAACCAUAUUUUGACCCAACAUCAAAUGUCUCACACAACACCAAAUGCACUUGGAAUAAACUUGAGAGACAUGUCACACUCUUUGAAUCGGCUAUGCCCUCUUAUUUCUUAAACUAGUGCCGAUUUUGGUCUACAACAUAUUUCUUAUAUAGUGUGUCAUAAUUAGGGUUACACCAUGUAAACCCCAAUUUGACAUGGCUCUUCAUUUCCAUGAUCCAUGGGUUCAAAGACACCAUGGAGCAUCCAUGGAGCUUCCUAUGAGUUUUAGCCCAACUUGAUAAUCCAUGGAGCAUUAUCCCACUAUACAAGUAUUAGUGAUUUACACAAUUAACCCAUAUAUUUAAUUAGUCUUCUUUUGAUCACUUAAUUAAUAUCAAAUUAAUUCUUGAUCAAUACUAAUUAAAUAAUACUAUUAAUAUAUUACAACUUAUAAUAUAUUAAUAAACCAUAAGUGUUAUUUCUCUCAUUUUAGUCUAUCCAAAUGCAUGAUGCCAUGCAACCCAAAUGGACCUUGCUAAUCGGGCAAGUACAUCCCAGAAUAGUAAUGAACUUAGACACCUAAUCCAACAGUCUCCCACUUGGAUAAGUCUAAUAACUAUAUCUGCAAGAACAACUUUAGGAACUGAUCAACAAUCGUACCUCUUUCAAGGUCUCGUGGAACUGAGAUGACGAUGAUAUUCCAUUUAAGUUUUGUGAUCAUAUAAUCCUCUGUUCUAUAUAUCAGCUGGACAAAUACAUGGAACAAUGUCUUACUUAUUGUCUAGCAGUUUGUUUCCUAAUUUCCGAUUUGUUUGACAUAGAACUUCAGUAAACAGAUCAACUUAGUUCUGACUGGGCCCGGUACAUGGGUCAACACAAAAUCAUCGAGGGGCCCAAAUAUCUCUUCUAAUCCAAGAAGGAACAGAUAAACUUCGACUCAUAUGCUUGUUCUAUUACUUGUUGAAUCAUACACAAAGGCACGUUUUAUAACAUCGAGUUACCAGUGCGUUUUCGUACGAUCAAUGUAUAACCAACUCAUAGGCAAUAAGUCAUAUCUCUAGGUUUGAAGACUUGUAUGAUAUUACCAUCUCACGAUCACUCGAGAUAAAUUCCAUAAAGUGAUACCAGUGAGAGUGGGUUGAAUCCAAUACUCAGAACUUAUGAGCACUCAUGAGUGUUGUAGCACCACUUUGUCCAACAUCUUAGACCUCUACAAGCCAACCCAUGACAGUCUUGAUUCAUAUCUACUUCCAACAUAUGACCGACUGUGGAUGGUUUGAAUAACUUAGUCAGCCAGGAAGAGCGACUUAGUUAUUCUGGAAGUCAAAACAUGCAAAGUGAAACACAAGAAUAAUUGAAUUCAAUAUGGUCUCAGAACUUAUGAAUAUAGAUAACAAAUCUUUUAUUUAUCACCAUAUUGAUUACCCAUCACUCAUUGCAUACUAUUUCAAACUAUCAACUUUAUACUUGAGUUAAAACAAUAGUUGUCCCAUGCUCCAAGCAUGUACACUAUGUUUUUCUAAACACUAGUCAUGCCAUACACCAAGUAUGCAUACCAUCUUUUUCUAUGAUCUUUACUCUGUGAAAUAGAUCGAUUGAACAUAAUUCCAGUGAUACUCAUUUCACAAUCCCAAAUAUUUACCGCAAAUGUAAGAAUUCUAAAUUCCUGCCAUUUACCUAAAUCUGUUUGAUUCUAAACUUAUAUGUUUUCGUCCUCUUGUAAUGAUUAUGCACAAAGUCACAAAGACUUGUCAACAAACAUUACAAAGUAUUCCAAUGGAGAUCAACUCCAUGGAAACGAUGUCUUAUAUUCAAAUUUCAUUGCCUUUGAACAUUCUUCUUGCAUUAAGUUUCCUAAUCUUACACAUAUUUAAUGAAUAACUUCCACCUAUGAGAACAUUUCCAUAUUCCCCUUUUGACUUUUACUCCUGAAAAAGAGUUGCCUCUUUUCAGAAUAUGUCAAUAUGGUCCUUCCAAAAUUAACACUAUACUUCCAACUGUCCCUGAGCAACCAAUCUUUGGUAAACCUUAGAUUGUCCUCAACAGCUGCUUAAUCAAAUUAGUCGUAUCUAGUUCUAGUAAUUUUUCCCUCUUAAUGCUCUAGGCAUUUGGAAAAAUUUAGAACAGAUGAAUAUUAUAGCACAUGUAAUCGGUCCUAUAUCUAAAGCAUAUGUGACACGAUUUAUAAAGACAUGACAGUAGACCAGUCUUUUGCUAUAAUAUUUCUAUUUCUAUUUGCUAAGUUCUUAUAAAUCAGAUUCUGAAAAGGGAUGCCGUAAUCAUAAUCGAAUUUUAGAAUGCAAAUAAUGGACCCAUAUAUAGCCUUGACUAAAUAUGAUUAAAACCUCAAUCUAAGCUUUUAGAAUUGAAGUGAAGUAUAAUUUCCUCUCCCUUAAUUAUAGAAAACCAACUUUUUCCCAAUUGAAACCUUUUUUUUUCUAUAAUUAACAUUGCGAACUUGCAACACUUAUUAUAAUUAUCAUGAUCCCACUUGCAUGAUGAUUAUUAGCAUGAAGCUUAUGCUCCUAAUAAUUUUAACAUGUACUCAAAAAUCUGCUGGACUUCUAGAAAUCAAUAUUUAUUGACCUUCUUACCAAAUUUCAUAUUUUUGAUACGAGAUGUUUUGAUAAAACUUUAUCAAAUCAUACACCUUUCCUUAGAUAGCACACAUGUGUGUCUAAACAAUUUCAGAACUAUGAAAAGGGAUGUCGUAAUCAUAGUCUCAAUUGUUUAGAGCUUUGCCAUUUCUCAUAAGUCCAUGUUAGUGUGCCGGUUAACCACACAUGCUCCACUAACGACUUUGAGAAUGCAAAUAUCACAAUUGCUAUCUAGUUAAAAUAUACUUAGUGAAAGUGUUUCAUCACCAUCAUUUUCAUGAAUCAGAGAGAAACCUUAUGACACUUAGAUUUUAUGGUGUAUGUGUUCCUAUCCAUGUGAAUUUGUCAAAACCAUAAUCACAAGACAAGGUUGUUGACAAAUCCAAACUCUUAUGGAUUGAACUUGUGUAGUUUUAACUUCUUGCCACCUGGCAGCACAAGGGCAUGCCAUUGCUUCCAAGUUGUUAUGCAACCAAUUGAGAACUCUCAGAACUCAUAUGCAAAGCCAACUUUAACUUGAAUGGGCAUAGAAAUAGGAAUAUUUCAACACGAUAGGUUAUAAACCUCAAGUCAUGUGCUAGUGAUAAACUAUAGGUUUUUCCUUCUUGAUUAGAUCUGGAAGUAUUUCCAAGAUCUUUAAGACUCCCAUUGCUUUCUUGACAUAUAAGACCCACUUGCCAAAUAUUCAAGAGAUAGUGCAGAUUCUUUAUCAAGACAAACACUUCACACAAGUGGCCUUAAGUUUGUCUCUGUUUUAUCCAAAACAUCACAACUUACCAAUUUCAAAUGUACAAGAGUGGGAUACACUUUACUCUUACAUUUGACUAGUGUUAUAAACCUUUCUUUAAGAUAUGUCACUCAAGUUACACUCUUGGAGUAUAACUCUAAGAAUUGUUUUUGGAACGAAGUUUGACUCAUCUUCUUGAUUUAACCAUUUCGGCAAUUAUUGAUUCCUCUUCUUAGCAUAUGAAUACACUAAGAUGUUUUUAGAGGACCAAUUGUGACAUGGUUUCUUAAUCAAUUAAAAUGAACACAAAACAUGAUACUAAAGUACUCUCCCAUCUUUUCAGAUUUGAGAAACUUUUAUCCUUCUGCCUAAUUUGAUUCUUCUCAUCCGUCUUGCCAUACACUGAAAAUUUUUCAAUGUUUCAGAAUUAUACAUAAACUUGUAAUUAUAACCAUAUUUACUAAACCUUUGUAAAUCAUGAUAAAUAGUCUUAUCAACCUUUUGUGGUGGACCUUGAUCAGUGCACAAGAAUGUGUACUCGAUCCCUUAGUCCUUCACUUGAGUCACAUAUACAUGUGAACAAGGAACUAGUCUUAAUUUUCCAAAGCUGAAAGUUCUCAUUCAUCAUACUAUACAACUUGUAUGAUUCCAAGUUUCUAUCUAACUGAAAACUUGGGUGAUGAGAAGCUUUCCUUAUUUGGUAAAUUUAGACACUACCACAAAAGAAAGAAUCAAAUUCACAUUUCCAUUAUUGCUAGAAACAUAUAAAGAUCAAUUUUCAAUAAAAGUCAUUGCAAGGAGAUAUAAACUAAAAUAAAAUCAAAUUUUUAUCUAUUUAUAAAAAUGCGGAAAAAACUUUUUCCCUUACAAUGUAGCUUUAAAUGAAAACUAUGCUAUUACAUAUUUCCUAGGAAUCUAUCUUAACUCCUAAGUAGUGGCUCAAGAAUCUGAUCUUUGAUCCAUGCGAUUGAAAUCCAUCUUCGUGAUCAGAUUCAUCAUACACUUUCUUUAAGUUUCAUUCCCUUUCCUUGAUCCUGCCAAACACCAGAAUCAUCAAUAAGGAAAUUAACAAAGUUAGAUAGUGGACUUACCUGAAUCAGAGUCAAACUUUUUGAUUCUUCUUCCUCUCAGAUCCUUUAGGUAGCUAGGGUUAGCUUCGCUUCCAAUGCCCUUUUUCUUCAUAAUGAAAACAUAUAGACUCUUUGGGAAUGGUACAAAAGGCUAUUCCAAACUUAGACUUUCUCUUUACCUUUCGGUCAACUGGGUUGACCAAGGCCGAUCCCUUUCCAUUGGGAAGAGAAAGCUUUUCUGGACUUCCAAUGUUACCAUUGUCCAUGUCCAUGAAGGUUUGAGAAGUAGACCUUCCACCCAUAUUUUCUUGACUAUUGCGCCAAAUCAUUUCUGAUUCAGCAGCAAUAAGCAAAUAAGAAAGAUCUAAUAGGGUCAUGUCGUGAUCUGUCACAUAAUAGUCUUUAAUAAACUUACUAUAUGACUCAGGAAGUGACAGAAGGACCCAGUCAAUAACAAAAUUCCUUGGGACAAUGACACCCAACAUUCUCAACUUGUCAAUGUGUAACUUCAUUCCUAAGACAUGAGUGCACAUAGGUCUUCUAUCUUCAUGUUUCAUUGUGAGCAGGGCUUGAGUGAUCUUGAACUUUUCAAGUCUUUGAGCUUGUGGGUCAGGGAGAGUAAUUGGAGGAGGAGGAGGAAGAGAAGUAUGAUUUCCAUGAGCCAAACUCAAGAAGUCAUCUUCAUUAGGAAAGUUGGUUCCAUAAGAUUUGGGAAGAUCAUUGUUGUCUGAACCAGACAUCUACAAAGGGAAAAAUUCAAGUUAGUUGAUUUAAUUCCUUAAUAUAACACCCAAUAUGAAAUAUUAAGGCUAGGACCCAACACAAUAUUUCGUAACUUGGAAGAGGGAUGCCGUAAUCCAGGCUAUAAAAUAUUUGAAGGUAGGUGAAAUACGAUUCACCAAUUUCCACCUUGAAAAACGAAAUAAAUUAUUAGGUUUUAAUUGGAUUUGAAACUCCUAAAUCUUUUGAGAUUCAUUAAACUUUCAAUGGCAUGUUUCAAUCUCGAGUGUGCCCUUGAGGUUUUGUGACUGGGAUGCCAAGGAUCACAAAACAAGGUGUGAAUAACCAUGCAAAUAUACUUGGUACCCUUAAUUUUUACCCCUCAAUCGAUGUGCUGGUUAACCACACGCGUUCCACCGAUACUAUGAUAAACAUUAAGUUACCAUUUGCCUACCUUGUUAAAUCAAGCUAGUGUGCCGGUUAACCAUACACGCUCUACUAACCGACUUAAGCAAAGUGAAAAGUGUAAUUUCAUGGGUUAGCACCAAAUUCACAUUUUCCUAAGUAACUAAGAUUGGGUAUUAAUAAGACUUUAGUUACUUAGUAUUUAUCAUUAAUACUUUUAAUGAAGGGGGAAGUAUAGUCUUUGUCCUACCCAUUCGGCUAACGACCAUCCACCAGUCUAGGAAGCGGUGGGUGAGAGUGGACACCCAUUAAACUGCCAUUUUAUAGGCAGUAACCUUCUACCCCCCUUAUAGAUCGGCUUCGUGAAUGAGGCCUACUAAUGGUANNNNNNNNNNNNNNNNNNNNNNNNNNNNNNNNNNNNNNNNNNNNNNNNNNNNNNNNNNNNNNNNNNNNNNCCGGCUGCGUGAAUGAGGCCUACUAACGGUAAGACUGACUUGCUCUUAUAUAUAUAUAUAUAUAUAUAAAUAUUAUUAACAUAUAAUAUUAUAAAGUAUAAGGGUUGAAUUUUAACUUUUAAAAUUCUAAGGGUUUAACUUGGAAUUAAAGUAUUCAUAAGGGAAAACGUUUUCGAAUUCCAAAACUUGAGGGCAUGUUUUGAAACUAUUCAAAACUAUUCAAUUCCAUAACUUAUGUGUUUAAAGUAGUUUUAAUUCAAAAAACUCUUCAAGUUCCAUAACUUGAGGACAAGUUAUGGAAGACUUUAACUAUUAAAAGAAUAUGGAUUUUCUUUAUUCAUAACUUAUGGAAAUAUUUAUGAGUUUUAUGAAUCUUAAAUGUGACUUUUCAUAUAACUUGAGGACAAGUUACAAAAACACAUUUUAGAACCAACUCUUAAACUAAUUUGGAUUGAAAACUACAAUUUCACAUAACUUUUCUAUUAAUCUAAGCAACUCUUAAGAACAAGAUAACUCAAUCAAACUUUUUCAUGUAAUUAGCCUAACCAUUAAACUAAUACAAAACAUGAAUCUAUUGACAAUUAUCUUUGAAAUUGGAUUAGCAUGAAUAUUACCACAUCAAAAAGAGGUUUAUAAGUUGAAAAACAGCUUAGGGUAAUGUUCCUAGUCCAAUUCCAGCCAAAACAUUCAAAAAUAUGUUGUCUGGGGGUCUAACUAGUCAAGUGCAAGAACCAACUCGGGGAGUUGGAUGAGUUUAGCCUUGGACUCGUCGAGUCCCUUCAUGGACUCGGCGAGUCUACUGAGCAGACAACAACAAACUUUGAUUUUCAGCCAAUUUUGCAAGUAUAACAAGAAAACAAGCCUAGGAUUUGAUACCACUAUUGGGUUUUGAGCAUUCUAACACUCCUAUGGUGUACAUGCAACCCUAGAAACCUUGGAUCUAUGUUUUAUCUAUGAUACAUGCAAAAUUGAUUUUCCAAGGUUCUUAACCUAUCUAGCAUACAAGGGAACUUUUAAUCAUAAAAGAUAGACAGAAAACAUACCUUGUAGUACUUUGGAUUCCUUGAGAACCUUGUGAGCCUAGCACCCCAAGUGCGAUGCCUCAAAUGUCUCACACAACACCAAAUGCACUUGGAGUAAACUUGAGAGAAAUGUCACACACUUAGAAUCGGGUAUGCCCUCUUAUUUCUUACACUAGUACCGAUUUUGGUCUACAACAUAUUGCUUAUAUAGUGUGUCAUAAUUAGGGUUACAUCAUGUAAACCCUAAUUUGACAUGGCUCUUCAUUUCCAUGAUCCAUGGGUUCAAAGACACCAUGGAGCAUCCUAUGGGUUUUAGCCCAACUUGAUAAUCCAUGGAGAAUUAUCCCACUAUACAAGUAUUAGUGAUUUACACAAUCAACCCAUAUAUUUAAUUAGUCUUCUUUCGAUCACUUAAUUAAUAUCAAAUUAAUUCUUGAUCAAUACUAAUUAAAUAAUACUAUUAAUAUAUUAGAACAUAUAAUAUAUUAAUAAACCAUAAGUGUUAUUUCUCUCAUUUUAGUCUAUCCAAAUGCAUGAUGCCAUGCAACCCAAAUGGACCAUGUUGAUCGGGUCAAGUACAUCCCAUAAUAGUUAUGAACUUAGAAACCUAAUCCAACACUUACAUCCAAGUGUCAUAGGCUCCCCCAUGGUCUUUACUUGAAAAGCCAUGGGCUCCCCCACAUGGUCUUACAUCCAAGCACCAUGGGCUCCCCCCAUGGUCUUUUAUGCAAGUACACCACAUAUACAACUUGCAUACCACCUAGCAUAUAACCAACUAACAUGCCAUCUAUCACUACAUCAACCAGUGUACCACAUAUCAAAAAUGGGUCGGCCUUGGUGCCUUCGACCCAUUGGUAUGGUGAGGAGACUCACCUUGAAUGCAUAAGCUUCCCAAAUGACAUCCUUAGCUACUGCCCUGCCGACUUCCCGAGCUGCCAAUACCAAUUAGUAUACCCAAUUAGCAAUUAUGUUCCAUACUAUAAUCCUUAAUCCAUACAUGGGGUAAAAUAACCAUUAUACCCCUGGUGCAGUAUGAUCCAAAACCGAGGCUCAAGCCCAAAACAAAAGCCCAACAUUAUCAUGUCCGUAAAUCCAUCAAUGGCCCAAUUUUCCAAAUUGGGCCCCAACCCCUUACGGGCCUUACUCUAAUCCCAUAAUAUCCUUCAUUAUAAUUUGGUUUACUCCAAACACCCCUUGGGACUAACUUGCCCAAAUUCAAAGUCAACAGUCAAGGUCAACAGUCCAUGUUGACCCAACUCGUCGAGUGCAUCUAGCAACUCGUCGAGUUCCUUCAGUGUUCAGAAAAUCGGGAAAAACCCUAGCCAACUCGCUAAGUUAUCUCAUUGGCUCAUCGAGUUUGCUCAGUAUCCAAAAAGCAGGAAAACCCGACCCAACUCGUCAAGUUGCCAGGGAAAUCCCUCAAGUUUCCCUUGUCUAAACAUAUUCAGCCCCUUUCCAAUCAAAUCUAAAUCCCCAAACUACAGAUCCAAUGUGACAUCCCUAUUUUCACAGCCAUAAAAGACUGAUUUUUGUUUAUGCUUUAUAAAAAUCAGAGUACCUCUUUUAAUACAAGUGUUGCGGAAUUUGUUCCCAGAAAAACAUGAUAAAUACGCUAUCAAAGCAUUUCAUAAGAAAUGUAUUUUAUUCAUUUUAAAACAUUUGGGAUGUCAUCAUCAAGACUGAAACAUAAGCAUAAACAGAACUUACAUUUAUUUACACUAGUGAUCUACAUCUUUUUAAUCUCUCAGUGUAAUGUAACUUCAUAUCGACACAUGUGAUACAAAUAAGCUUGAGUGGGUCAGGUUGGGAAAUCGGGUGAGGGCAUAUAUUUAAUACUUCAAUCAAUACUUGUUAUAAAAUCAUGUUCAUGAAAGGGACUAUGCACUCACUUGUUAAAGUGAUGAUUCCACACCCGGGCAGCGCUUCGCUUCUAACAAUUCUAUUUUCCUUCAACGAAACAACGAGUUUUUCUCAAAACCGGGAUUCUUUGAAGCAGCGUUUCUGAGCCAAAAAGAUCUUUUCUCGGAGCCUUCGGGAGCCUCGGGGCUUCCUUCGGGUGCUAGGGGGUUUUCCUAGGCAUUAGGGGGGUUUAGUGUGGGGGGGGUUAGAGAGAGAGUUUAGAGAGAGAAAGUGAAGUUGGAAGGUAUGAGAAGAAUGCUUCACCCGACACCUCUAUUUAUAUGCUGGAUGGAAGCCUAACUCGUCAAGUAGGAGGACCUACUCAUCGAGUCCAUGGCCAGGUGUCACCAUCUGGUGGCUAGCCUUGGGGAGGAAGCAACGACCAAGAUUUCGCCACCUCACCCGAUUUCGCACAGCUCAAUCCCGACUUAGAAAAAUCAUAACUCUUGCAUACGAGCUACGUUUUUGACGUUCUUUAUAUCCACGCUUAGGUAAAGACAAGAUUUACAACUUUCCUUUUGACUCCCUUGGCUAAUUCUCGACUGAUUUAAAUUUAACUGUAAGAGAAGAUUAUACUAUUAAAUGACCGCGUAAAAUUCAUAACUUCUAUAUACGGACUCCGUUUUCAUCUGUCUUUUUAUCGUUGAGCUCCUAUUAAUGAGAUAUUCAAUUCUUAUUUAGCUCGCGUUGGCCAAAAACCACUCGAUCAAAAAUUCUAAUUCCAGGUUGUGCACUGCUAUGCCAAAUAUUAGAAAAAUCAUAACUUCCUCAUACGAAGUCAGAUUUGGGCGUUCUUUUCAUGUAUGUUCUCGGUUUAACGUAUACUACAACUUUCAUUUAUAUCUCUAAGGCUAAAAAGUAGUUUAUAAAAAAAUCACUUUUUACGAUUCUCGGUGCCGUGCCGGUUUUGCCGUAAAAUUUCGACAAGUCAUAACUUCUUCGUUAUAACUCGGAUUUUGACGUUCUUUAUAUGUACGGAACCUUUGUGACAUAUACUAUAACUUGGUUAAGAUUAUUUAUUCUAAAUAAUCUUCUAUUAAAAAAAAUCAUUUUUGACACUCAUUGUCUCUAAAUUGACUAGCCUGAAGCUAUACGCGUUAUUGUUAUCUCCCCUUAGGAUGAUUACGUCUCGGAAUCAUCAACAAAACAGGGCUUGUAUAAUGAGUCCAUACGCUAUCUCUUCAUCCUAGAUAAUAAUUGUAACUUCUAUAUGAUGGGUUUUGGCCAUAAGAACUUUCCUAUGUGCGCAUGCAAAACCCUAAUGCUUAGAUCUAGGCUUUCUAAUUAAACAUGCUUUGAAUCCAAGACUUCUAAUGACUAAUUAGGUAUAAGAACAAUACAAAAUCAGAUCUAGAAGUUUACCUUUGAAUCUCUUGUUUGAUCUUGUUGUCUUGGAGCUCUAGAGUCACAAUUGUCACUCCUUUAAUGGCUUACAAACACCAACUAGCAAAGAGGAUGAUUUGAGAGAGAGGUUAGGAAGAAAUCGGCCAGGGGUUCUUUUCUUUUUAAAAGAUGCCAAUUUCCCUUGCUCAAGAGGUCUAUGUAUACUUGUAGACUCCUAGGGUUUCACCUUUAAACCCUAACUGGAUAAUCUUUCCUUAAAACAAUCCAAAUCCUUACCUUAGAUAAGCCUUGGACGAUUUUGAGCUAUCCUAAGCCCUAGAAUCCAUCCAUCCCUUAUCCCUUAAGGAUUUACAGUCUAAAGUGUAACUAUCAAACAAUUGACAGUUUAUACCCUCUUAUUUAAUUAAUCUCUUUAAGUCACCAAAUUAAUACUAAUUAAUUUAUGACUUAUAUUAAUCAAAUAACAAUAUUAUUAUUCCUUAUAUUAUUCUCAUAAUAUAUUAAUAAUAUUUAUUCUCUCAUAAUAAAUCAUCCUAUCAAGUUGCUAUGGUGAAGGCAACCCAAAAGGACUAUGCACAAUCGGAUCAAAUACUUGCCUAAUAUAGUUGUAGCCUUAGACACUAUUCCAACAGUCUCCCACUUAGAUAAGUCUAGUAACUAUAUGCACAAGUACAAUCCGAUUCGCAAUCGUAGCUUUCAAAGACGCUAUCAAACUCUGAUCUAAUCAAUCUUGUCCUUUAGAUAAGGGAUCGUACAGUCCUCUGUUAGAUAUCAUGCUGACAAUUCUAUGGAAUGAUUAGUCAAGCAUUUAGGUUUCUCGAUCUCUGAUUUAUACGACAUAGAACUUCAUUGAACACAUCAAUUGAGUUCUGACCGGGCCCGGCACAUAAGUCAAAUCAAAUCAUCGAGCGGCCGAGAUAUCGCUUUUACCUUCUUAGAUAAAAGUUACAGAUAAACUUCGACUUAUAUGCAUUUACUUAUUCAUUAACCAACUAUACACAACAAUACGUUUUAUAACACCAAGUUACUGAUGCGUUUUCGUAUUAUCAAUGUACAAUCAAUUAACAAAUAAUAAACCAUAUAUCUAGGUUUUAAGACUAUAUGAUAUUAUCGUCUUGCGAUCACCCUUUUUAUCUUAUUCCAUAAGGUGAUUCCAGCAAGCGCGGGUUUAUUCCAAUGCUCAAAACUAGUUCAUAAGCACUCAUGAACGUUGCAGCAAUCCUUUGCUAUGUCUAACACCAUUUAGACAUUCUACACACCAAUUCAUGACAAUCUUCAUUCAUAUCUACUUCCAACAUAUGAACGAUUGUGGACCAUUUGAACAAUUCGAUUAUUCCUAAUAAACUCAAUUAUUCUGGAAGUCAAAACAUGCAAAGUGAAACAAUAGCUAAACAAUUAACAUAAGAUAGUAACAUUACUCAUAAAUAAAACUCCUUUAUUUAAUCAUCAAAUGUCAAUUACAUUUAUCUAUUACACGUUUCUAAUACUAUCUAAUCUAUGCUAAUAUCAUCCUUCAGCCCAAUACUCCUAGCAUGCUGCAAGUGCUUAACCCUACUCAGUCCCUUCGUAAGCGGAUCUGCUGGGUUAUCUUCUGAUGAUAUCCUCUUCACUACGAGUUGUCCUUCUUCUACACGAUGUCUAAUGAAGUGAUAUUUUCUGUCGAUAUGUCUUGAUCUACCAUGAUCCCUCGGUUCCUUGGUCAAGGCAACCGCACCUUCGUUAUCACAGAAAAUCUCCAUUGGCUCCUUUAUGGCAGGUACAACUCCAAGAUCACCGAUGAAGUUCUUUAGCCAUAUUGCCUCCUUCGACGCUUCGCUCGCUGCAAUGUACUCUGAUUCGCACGUUGAAUCAGCUACGGUUUCCUGCUUGGAACUCUUCCAUGUCACUGCUCCUCCAUUUAGGGUAAAGACCCAGCCCGACUGCGAACGGUAGUUGUCCCUGUCGGUCUGAAAACUGGCGUCACUAUACCCUCGCACCUUCAAGUCAUCACUCCCUCCGAGGACUAAGAACCAUUCCUUCGUCCUCCGAAGGUACUUAAGGAUAUUCUUCACCGCAAUCCAAUGUGCUUUGCCAGGAUUCCCUUGAUAUCUGCUAACCAUGCUCAAAGCGAAGGCUACAUCAGGGCGAGUACAAGUCAUAGCGUACAUGAUUGAGCCAACUGCGGAAGCGUAUGGUACUCGGCUCAUUUCUGCUAUCUCAGCUUCGGUACUCGGACUUUGAGUCUUACUCAAUUUGGCAUUACUUUGUAUCGGUAGUUCUCCCUUCUUUGAGUUUUCCAUACUAAAACGUUUUAGUACCUUCUCUAAGUAAGUAUUCUGACUAAGUCCAAUUAGUCUCUUACUUCUUUCUCUUACUAUCCUUAUUCCCAAAAUGUAAGAAGCCUCUCCGAGGUCCUUCAUAGCGAAGCACUUCCCGAGCCAGGACUUAACUUCCUGCAGAGUCGGGAUGUCGUUUCCUAUGAGUAAUAUGUCAUCGACAUAUAGAACGAGGAAGCUUACUAUACUCCCACUGGCUUUGACAUAUACACAAGAUUCGUCUUCGCUUCGUACAAAUCCAAACUCUUUGACUUUCUCAUCGAAGCAAAGAUUCCAUCUGCGAGACGCUUGCUUAAGUCCAUAAAUGGACUUCUCAAGCUUACACACUCUAUUCGGAUGCUUCGGAUCCACAAACCCCUCUGGCUGAGCCAUGUAAACAUCCUCAGCCAACUUUCCGUUAAGGAAAGCGGUCUUGACAUCCAUUUGCCAAAUCUCAUAAUCAUGAAAUGCGGCAAUUGCUAGCAUCACUCUAAUAGAUUUAAUCUUCGCAACUGGUGAGAAGGUCUCAUCAUAGUCAACUCCGGGAGUUUGAGUAAAGCCCUUCGCAACCAAUCGCGCUUUAUAUGUGUGUACGUUUCCAUCCACGUCGGUCUUCUUCUUGAAGAUCCAUUUGCACCCAACGGUCUUACGUCCGGGCACAUAAUCAACCAAAUUCCAAACUUGGUUAUCAUACAUGGAUUGGAUCUCGCUAUCCAUUGCCUCUUUCCAUUUUGCAGACUCCGGGCCUGCCAUGGCUUCCUUAUAGCUAUUAGGUUCAUCAAGAUUUAUUAGUGUACCAUCACUAAUAUACGUGUCCCCUUCGGUAGUAAUAUGAAAACCAUAAAACUGGGGUUGAACUCUAACUCUAUCGGAACGUCUAAGAGGUAAGGAUUCGUCAAUCGGUUCAACCGGAGUUUCCUCCUCGGGUUGAGUGCCAGCGGUAGAGGUUCCUUCAUCUAUCGACUCUUGAAUCUCUUCAAGCUCGAUUUGCCUCCCACUGUCUCCUUGGCUUAUGAGUUCUCGCUCUCGGAAAACUCCUCUCCUCGCAACGAAGACAACAUUGUCCUUCGGUCUAUAGAAGAGAUAUCCAAAGGAUGUCUGCGGGUAGCCGAUGAAAAUACAUCGCUCACUUCGAGGUUCAAGCUUGUCGUGAGUAUCUCGUCUUACGAAAGCCUCGCAACCCCAAACCUUGAUAUGUGCCAACGAGGGAGCUUUCCCUGUCCACAUCUCGUGAGGUGUUUUGGCAACCUUCUUAGUAGGGACUCGGUUAAGGAUAUGGGCGGCAGUCUCUAAGGCAUACCCCCAAAAAGAGAUAGGUAGUGAAGCACGACUCAUCAUAGAGCGAACCAUAUCCAAUAAGGUUCGAUUACGCCUUUCUGCCACACCAUUCAACUGCGGUGUCCUAGGAGGCGUCAAUUGCGAAACUAUUCCACACUCCUUGAGAUAAUCGUGGAAUUCAAGACUUAGGUACUCUCCUCCUCGAUCGGAUCGAAGCAUCUUGAUUUUCCUGCCCAAUUGAUUCUCCACUUCAUUCUUGAACUCUUUGAACUUUUCAAAGGUGUCUGACUUUUGCUUGAUUAAGUAGAUAUACCCAUAUCUACUAUAGUCAUCGGUAAAAGUCACAUAGAAGCGGUUCCCAUCCUUCGUGGUUGAUCUAAACGGUCCACAUACAUCGGUAUGUAUUAGGUCCAAUAGACCCUCGCCCCUUUCACAUGUACUCGUGAAGGGUGACUUAGUCAUCUUUCCAAGCAAACAAGACUCGCAUGUGUCAUCUUCCCUAAGGUCGAAUGACUCCAACACUCCAUCCUUUUGGAGUUGGGCUAUGCGUUUCUUGUUGACAUGUCCAAGACGACAAUGCCACAAGGAUGCUUUAUCCAUACUAGUGGAAGAAUCAAUAUUCAAAACAUCAUUUCCUAAGUUAUCAACAAUCAUAACGGUUUCAUAUAUUCCAUUACAUGGUAUAGCUUCAAAGUAAAAGACACCAUUUAGAUAAGCCAAAAUAGAACCAUUCUCAUUAUUAAAAGAAAAUCUAAAUCCUUGUCUAUAUAAACCAUGAAAUGAAAUGAUGUUUCUUGCCAUUUCUGGCGAAUAGCAACAAUUGUUCAAAUCUAAAACUAAACUAUUCCUAAGCACUAAGGAAUACACUCCAAUCUUGGUCACAGGCGACGAUCUUCUGUUCCCCAUGAUUAGAUUGAUCCUUCCUUGCUCCACAUCCCUACUUCUUCUUAGUCCCUGCACAUUAGAACAAAUGUGAUAACCACAACCGGUAUCAAGAACCCAAGAAAUAGCAUGAUUAGAAUCGUUAGAUUUGAUUGUAUAUAUACCUGCGAAAGAUGGCUUGAUCUUUCCUUCUUUGAUUGCUUGCAGGUAAUCCGGGCAGCUUCUCUUCCAAUGUCCUAUCUUGUGGCAGUGGUGGCACUCUGCCUCCUUCGGGUUAGAGCAGGGCUUGGCGGGAUCAACUUUGGUCCCACUAGAAGAGGCACCAUCUCGGGCUUUCACCUUGCGAUAGUUCUUCGAUGAAGCUUUCCUCUUCUUUCCCUUCCCUUGUCCAAUAGCCAAGACAGGAGCAGCGGGCGGAUUGGGAGUAGGUGCAACAGACUUGUCUUUGAAGUUGCUCUCAGCAACCCUCAAGAGACCUUGGAGCUUGCUUAGGGUGACCUCUUCUUUGUUCAUGUGGUAGGUCAUCCUAAAUUGGUUGUACAUCGGAGGCAAAGAGUGAAGCACCAUGUCGAUCGCCAAGUCUUCACCGAAGUCAACAUUUAACUUGCGAAGGCGGUCAACAUACCUUUGCAUCUUUUGCAAGUGCACGGUAAGAGAUUCUCCAUGACCCAUCUUCGCGGAAAUCAUGUUAGUGAAAAUCUCGUACCUCUCUUGUCUCGCGUUUUGGUGGUACCUCUCCAAUAAGUCUUGAUGCAUCUCGUACGGGUACAUGUCCUCGUAGGACUUUUGGAAUUCGGAGUUCAUGGUGGCGAUCAUGAUGCAAUGUACCUUCGUUGCAUCUCGCUCAUGAGUUUCAAAGGCGGUGAUUUCGGCGGGAGUAGCAAUUUCGGGGUUGAUUUUCUCGAGCUUCUCAUCGAGGACAUACUCCUUAUCCUCAUAGCGAGCAAUGGUGCGAAUGUAUCUUAUCCAUUCGCUAAAGUUCGUUCCAUCGAAGGUGACCUUUUGGCAAAGGCUCAUCAACGUGAAAGAACUAGCAGCAGCGUUGUUUGCGUUCGACAUCUACAAUUAGAAAAGGACAAAGAUAGAUUAGAAUAAGAAUCCCUAAUUAUCACCCAAUAAGAAAAUUAGGGCUAGGAUCCAACAAUAACAUUUACAUACUAGAAAAGGGAUGCCGUAAUCUAACAUGCAAAUAAAUUGAAGGUAAGUGAAUGACGAUUCACUAAUUCUCCAUCACAAAACUUAAACUAUUAGUCCUAAGUGUUUUUGAGAAUUCCUAGGUUCGGAUGAGAUUCAUUGAAACUAUUCAAUGGCAUGUUUAAAUCUCGAUAUGCCCCUCUUGUUUGUGACUGGGAUGCCGAGGAUCACAAAGCGGGUGUGAAUUACCAUGCAAAUUCACAUGGUGCCUUCAUUGUAACGAUCACCUAUUCGAUGUGCCGGUAAACCACACACGCUCCAUCGAACUAUGAUAAACAAUGAAUCACCCUUUGCCACCUUCGCUUAGAACCAAUUAGUGUGCCGGUAAACCACACACGCUCCACUAACAUCUUAGCAAGGUGCAAAGUGUAAUUUCAUGGGAUUGCAUCAAUUCACUUUUCCUAAAGUAACUAGGAUUGGGAAAUUUUAAAAAAAUAUGUAGUUACUUUAUAUUUCUUAUUAUACUUUUAAUGAGAGGAUGAGGUUGCCCUAUCCUACCCGUUCGGCUAACGACCCUCCACCAAUCAAGCAAGCGGUGGGUGUGAGUGUACACCCAUUAAGCGCCAUUUUAUAGGCCGCAACCUUAUACCCACCUUAUAGAUCGGCUUCGUGAAUGAGGCCUACUAACGGUAAGACUAGCAUUUAGUUAUACAUAUAUAUAUUAUUCUAGUAAUAUCAUAUUAGUAUAGGGUUGUAUUUUAAAACUUUUAAAAUCUAGGGUUUGAAAUUUAAGUUGUCUAAAUUAAAACUUUUAAUCACAAAAGUAAAUUUCAAAACAUGAGGGUAGGUUUUAAACAUUUAAAACAUGGAGGAUCAAAUAACAAAUAAUUCCAAUUAACAAUUAAUAUCCUAAUUAUCUAUAUUUGAUUUAUUCAAGAUUUCUUUUAAAGAUAAUUACCAAAAUAAUCAAAAUAAUUAAUUAAUUAUCAUAUAAGGAAAUUAAAUAUUUAAUUAGUUGAUAAUUACCUUUAACUAGAUCAAGAUAAUAGUUAUAUUUAUCAGAAAAACGAAUUAAUGUUGAUCUAAUUAGUUUAUGGUAAGUUAAGAUAAGAUAAACACAAAGAAAUCCCGAAUCUGGCCAUUCCUGACGCCUGGACUCGCCGAGUGCACAAAUGGACUCGCCGAGUCAGGCCUACUCGCCGAGUCCACUUUGAGACUCGCCGAGUCCAUGACUCAGAAACCAAAAAUUCGAAUUUUGCAGGUUUGUUUCAGUUAAUCAAGCAACAAUUUACAGAAAACCAAGCUAGGCUCUGAUACCACUGAUGGGUUUUAGCCAUAAGAACUUUCCUAUGUGCGCAUGCAAAAACCUAAUGCUUGGAUCUAGGCUUUCUAAUUAAACAUGCUUUGAAUCCAAGACUUCUAAUAACUAAUUAGGUAUAAGAACAAUAUAAAGUCAGAUCUAGAAGUUUACCUUUGAAUCUCUUGUUUGAUCUUGUUGUCUUGGAGCUCUAGAGUCACAAUUGUCACUCCUUUAAUGGCUUACAAACACCAACUAGCAAAGAGGAUGAUUUGAGAGAGAGGUUAGGAAGAAAUCGGCCAGGGGUUCUUUUCUUUUUAAAAGAUGCCGAUUUCCCUUGCUCAAGGGGUCUAUUUAUACUUGUAGACUCCUAGGGUUUCACCUUUAAACCUUAGCUGGAUAAUCUUUCCUUAAAGCAAUCCAAAUCCUUACCUUAGAUAAGCCUUGGACGAUUUUGAGCUAUCCUAAGCCCUAGAAUCCGUCCAUCCCUUAUCCCUUAAGGAUUUACAGUCUAAAGUGUAACUAUCAAACAACUGACAGUUUAUACCCUCUUAUUUAAUUGAUCUCUUUAAGUCACCAAAUUAAUACUAAUUAAUUUAUGACUUAUAUUAAUCAAAUAACAAUAGUAUUAUUAUAUUAUUCUCAUAAUAUAUCAAUAAUAUUUAUUCUCUCAUAAUAAAUCAUCCUAUCAAGUUGCUAUGGUGAAGGCAACCCAAAAGGACUAUGCACAAUCGGAUCAAAUACUUGCCUAAUAUAGUUGCAGCCUUAGACACUAUUCCAACACUAUAUUCUUUCGAAUCAGUAUCUAUCUCUUAGACUUAUUGGCUGCAAGUAGUACUCGAUCGUGCACCCACUCUCUAUCUCACGUUAGUCUUCCAAUCAUGACCUUCGAGUCAAAAUCUAGAUGCCUUAUUGGAGACUCCUUCUUCUUAACAAACUUAUGAUAAUUCUUUGAUUACCACCAUUGACCAAUAUGUCAUGUUCUAAUGACAUCUCGUCAUAUGAUGCGACGCUUAGACUCAGGUCUUUUAGAGUCAAAUUCCAGACUUGAAGACAACUUCCUUCAUGGUCUAAUGUGAUAUAAUCAUAUUCUAAAAAGUAGCACUUCUAGCUACAAGCUCUUACAAUGAUCGUGAUACUUCUAUAGAUCGCUUCGAUUUUACUUCAAUCUUGUGGCUUAAGUCAGAUGCUACAUCGAUCUUGGUUCUCUGAACCAUGUAACACACUCAUCCUAGUCGGACUCGAUAUGAUAUGACCUCUAGGGUCGGAAUAACAAUCAUCUUCUCAGUCAUUACCAAAACGAUGGUAACGGCAUACUUGAAUAAACCAGAAUCAAUUACUAGCUUCUUGGUAACCUUGUGACUUUCCUGAUCCAAGUGUGAAUCAUGUGCUUCCGGUAGUAUAGGCCUCUACUACCAUUCACACCUACUCAUACUCGUCCCAAGUAUUGUCUUGCAGUUUUUCCAAGUCACCAUACAAGAAAAUCACACAAUAGCUUAACACAUCAGAUAGCAAAACGAAGGUUUUAUAUUAUUCCUUGAAACAAUUACAUAGGUGUUCAAGUUCACCCUAGACUAUGCCUCUAAUAGGCUACACCUCGUGAUACUAACUGCAUGACUACUUUAUAACUUGAUCUUCAGAUAUCAGUUCUCAUUCCUGAUUCCUUGCAUUGUCAUCUGUUUCGUCAAGGAUCAUAUGGAAUGCUCUUGCCUUCGGCUUUGGCGGUACAUUUGGCUUUGCGACUUCUUCUUUCCUUGGGCAGUAUUGCUUGAAGUGUCCUUCCUCACCACACUUAAAGCAUACUUCUCUCUUGGUUGUGCAUUCGCUGGCAUAAUGACCAAUCUUCUUGCAUUUGAAGCUUGUCAUUUCUUUAGAGCAUCUCCCAAUGUGAUUCCUUCUGCACUUGUCACACCAUUGUGCUCCUUCCCCAGACUUCAAGAAUUUUCUCUUCUCGUCAAACAUUGUGGAUCCUUCAAACUUUCUCUUAUCACCAACUUCAACCUUGUUGGCGACCCUUCCCUUGAUCAUAUCUUCAACAGACUUGACAGCCCAGAUAGUUGCCUCUAGAUUAGGUGCUUAACGUACCGACACUGCAUACUCCGAGGGAAGUCCCUUUGCGUACUUGUUGACUUUUGUCAGCUCAUCUAGGACAAGGCGCAAAGCAAACUCCAUUUUGUCCGUGAAGUUGUUGGUGUAUUCAUCGAUGGACAUCCUUCAUUUCUUCAAUGUUAGGAAUUGGUUCUCUAGCUCGAGCAGGUUUUGGGCUGAGCAGUACUUGCACUUGAAUUGCACCAAAAACUCUACCCAAGUCAGUUUCAGGGGCUCAUUGGGGCUUAGAGUCUUCCCCAGGGUGUUCCACCAGCAAACAACGCCUCCUCUGAACUGUCCUACUGCAAAGGUGGUUUGUAGCUUGCCUUUGCAACCACAUGUCAUGAUGGCUAAUUCCAUCUCCGAGAUCCAAUCCAUGACUCUGAUCGGAUCUUCCUUCCCAGUGAAAGUCGAUGGCUUGCAAGUUAGAAAAUCUUUGUACUUGCAUCCAUUCCUCUCGACUCUGUCAUCUUGAUUGUUCCUCCUAAUCACCGGUGGAUCAACUUGACCAACGGUCCUGCUGCCGUCCCCUUCCUCAGACUGCCCGUCAUUCAGCUCGGGCUGUUCAAUAGGCAUCGUAAGUUCCUCUCAAUUUUUUUGAAGUAAAUGCCUUGUUUCCUCUAUUUGACAGUCCAACAUCAUCUGGAUCAACGCUUGCACUCCGACCAUCGUGAUUGGCUCAGGAGCGACUACUACAACAGGUAUUUGCUCAAUCACUGGGGGUUGAUUCCUGUUUCCAUUUGCGUUCCCGACUCCACUUCGGGUUCUUUCCAUUUUGAUCUAUACACCAAAUCGGAAGUUUGGUGUGUAAUGAAGAGAAUUAAGAUACGAUAGGUUUUAUUUACGAUCGACGUGUAAAACUCCCCAUGACUCCUAAAAGUUUUAUGCCAGUUCUAAUAUCGUAUUUAAACGUUUAGAAAUUGGAACACAUAAAGUUUCCAGAUCCGGUCGGGAACAGACCAUAGAUACGAUCAUACAUUUAGCAUCAUAAAUCAUUUAGCACAUAAAAGCAUGUUAGGCAUUUUCCCUAAAUUUGCUAGUGAUUGUUUCUAUUCAGGUGUAUUACCUAAAUUUUAUUAGACACACUCCUCACGAUCAUCGUUUAGCAUUCUAAGUUUAAGUCUAGAAAUAAAUUCAUAUUCUCGGUUCGCUUAAACUAAUGCUCUGAUACCAACUGUGACAUCCCCAUUUUCACGGCCAGAAAAGACCGAUUUUUGUUUAUGCUUUAUAAAAAUCAGAGUACCUCUUUUAAUACAAGUCUUGCGGAAUUUGUUCCCAGAAAAACAUGAUAAAUACGCUAUCAAAGCAUUUCGUAAGAAAUGUAUUUUAUUCAUUUUAAAACAUUUGGGAUGUCAUCAUCAAGACAGAAACAUAAGCAUAAACAGAACUUACAUUUAUUUACACUAGUGAUCUACAUCUCUUUAAUCUCUCAGUGUAAUGUAACUUCAUAUCGACACAUGUGAUACAAAUAAGCUUGAGUGAGUCAGGUUGGGAAAUUGGGUGAGUACAUAGAGAUUUAAAUCCCACAAUGUUAUAUCAUAUAUAUAAUUUAUAACUCACAAAAUAUACAAUUUCCCCAUAGUUAUAAUCAACUCUUACCCCACCCCGUCAAUCCUCACAAUGAGACUAUCCAUACUUUCGGACCUUAAAUUUUACCUCUUACUCCCAGAUCUAAUCCAUGUUCUCGGAUCAAUACUUGUGCCCAUUCCAUACUCUUGAAUUAGGGUCAAGUGCCUACAUCUAAAUCCAUACUUCCGGAUUAAUGACGGAUAACUAUGUCCUGUCUAUACUCCCAGACUAAGGACAAUUGGCUAUCUCUUAAUCCAUACUCCCGGAUUAAUGACAUUUGACUAUGUCCAAUCCAUACUCUCGGACUAGGGACAAUGACUAUGUCUAAUCCAUGCUCCCGGAUCAUUGACAUAUAUUAAAGUUCUAUUCUCUGAGUAUAACUCACUCGUACUCGUAAGAAGAUACUACCCAAUAUUCCUCAUAAUUAAUUUAGGUUUACUCUUUAUCCUAAAUCAUCAUAUAUAAUCAGGUAUGUUCUUUAACACAUAUUUCAGGCAACAUCGAAUAAAUCGCACAUAAACAUAUAUUUAAUACUUCAAUCAAUACUUGUAUUAAAAUCAUGUUCAUGAAAGGGACUAUGCACUCACUUGUUAAAGUGAUGAUUCCACACUCGGGCAGCGCUUUGCUUCUAACGAUUCUAUUUUCCUUCGACGAAACAACGAGUUUUUCUAGAAAUCGGGCUUCGUUGAAGCCGUGUUUCUGAGCAGAAAAUAUCUUUUCUCCGAGCCUUCGGGAGCUAGGGGGUUUUCUUAGGCUUUAGGGGGGGUUUGGGGGGGGGGGUUAGAGAGAGAGUUUAGAGAGAGAAAGUGAAGUUGGAAGGUAUGAGAAGAAUGCUUCACCCGACACCUCUAUUUAUAUGCUGGAUGGAAGCCUAACUCGUCGAGUAGGAGGACCUACUCAUCGAGUCCAUGGCCAGGUGUCCCCAUCUGGUGGCUAGCCUUGGGGAGGAAGCAACGGCCAGGAUUUCGCCACGUCACCCGAUUUCGCACAACUCAUUCACGACUUAGAAAAAUCAUAACUCUUGCAUACGAGCUCCGUUUUUGACAUUCUUUAUAUCCACACGUAGGUAAAUACAAUAUCUACAACUUUCCUUUUGACUCUGUCAGCUGAUUCUGGACCGAUUUUAAAUUUAACAGUAAUGAAGAUUAUACUAUUAAAUGACCGCGUAAAAUUCAUACCUUCUACAUACGGACUCUGUUUUCGUCUAUCUUUUUAUCAUUGAGAUCCUAUUAAUGAGAUCUUCAAUUCUCAUUUAGUUCGCAUUGGCCAAAAAUAGCUCGAUCUAAAAUUCGAAUUCUAGGCUGUGCACUGAUAUGCCAAAUCUUAGAAAAAUCAUAACUUCCUCAUACGAAGUUAGAUUUGGGCGUUCUUUUUAUGUAUGUUCUCGGUUUAACGUAUAAUACAACUUUCAUUUAGAUCUCUAAGGCUAAAAAGUAGUUUAUCAAAAAAUCACUUUUUACGAUUCCCGGUGCCGUGUCGGUUUUGCCGUAAAACUUCGACAGGUCAUAACUUAUUCGUUAUAACUUGGAUUUUGGCGUUCUUUAUAUGUAUGGAACCCUUGUGACAUAUACUAUAACUUGGUUAAGAUUAUUUAUUAUAAAAAAUCUUCUAUUAAAAAGUCAUUUUUGACGCUCAUUGUCUCUAAAUUGACUAGCCCGAAGCUGCGGGCUUUACAUCCAACCCCUAGGGUUAAAAUACGACGUAAAGUUGUUAACUUUACAUCCAUGUAAGGCAUAAAAGGCUAAAAACACUUAAUCAAAGCUUUUUAAGGUACUUAAAGCAUGAAGGAGGGCCAAACCUUGAUAAAGUUAGCAACUUUAUGACCCCAAAGGCCCUGAGAUGUCCAGAUCUAAAGCCAUAUCUUCAUAUCAUGCUGAAAACCAAGAAUGGUACGAAACUAGGCUAAUAAUGGCUAUAAAAUUUCAUAGAAGGAGAUCUAAGAAAUGGAAGGUCAAGGUUUCGACUUUAUACAUUUGGAUGGUUGCCACAACAGAGUAAACACAAGAUCUAUAGCCUCUCCCUUCAGCUAUACACCAACCACAUCAAGCUUCUUCACAUAAACACCAAAAAGGCACUCCUUAAGCCCUUACACACAUAAAACGGGAGAUAAGACACGAUUUAGGGUUUCUCUGGACAAAUGGGGGUGAUAAGGGAGGCUACAAGUGAGUCUUAAGGCCUUUAAAUAGGGUACAAACCGUGAAAAUUAGGGUUUUCCUUUCCAGUGUCUACUCGUCGAGUUGGGGCCUUCCAACUCGUGGAGUAAACCCUUCAUUCAGGUCGUGAAUAUUAGUUGACCAAGUUGAACACAUUUUUGAGUCUCACGGCAUCAGGACAAAAUGACGACUCAAAACCCUAAUAUUACGGGUAUUUAAAAGAAUGAGAGGAUGGGGUUGCAAAUUCUUAGCCUCUUUCACCCUCUAAGCCCUCUGGAAACCCUAAAUUCGACCCUCUUUGAGAUCCUCAAUGUUUUGCUUUCUUGAAGAAGAAGAAAGAAAAAGAAGGAGAACCAUUGUGAAGGUAGUUGCAAGGAAGCAUCAUUGUCAUCGACUCUUAUCUUGUUUGGGCCAUUAUAAGUAUCAAUACUCAAGCUUAAUUUCAUUUCAUGGCUAGAUCUAGGUUUCUGGUCCCAUUUCCUUAUGUUAUGUCUUGUGGGAGUGAAGAAGAUUCAUAAAGUUAGCGACUUUAUGGAUUCAAUUGGUCUUUUGAGUCUUAUAUCAUUCAGAUGUAGAAGUUGGUAGAGUAUUAGAAGCUUGCAUGAGAACUUAAGGCCAUAUUUCUACUUUUGACCUGAAAUGGUGUAGAGACAUGCAUGGUGAAUGCUUGUCCAUAAAGCAAGCAUUUUUAUGGACCAUUAGAGUCCCCUUAAGCUUCUGUAAGAGUUGAAAUUGAAGGCAUAAUAGAUUAAGAAAGUUGAAUCAUUGGUUUGAUGGGUUUUGGACAUAAGAACUUUCCCUAUAUGCACAUACAACCCUAUAACUUGGAUCUAGGUUUCUCUAAUUGAACAUGCAAUAUAUCCAAGACUUUCAUGGCUAGAUCUAACUACAAAAUCAUAUGAAAACAGAUCUAGAAUAAUACCUUGAGUUACUUGCUUGAAACCUUCUUCUUCUUGGAGCUUAGAGUCACAAAUGUCACUCCUCUAAUUGCUUACAAACACCAACUAGGAAAAAGAUGAUUUAAGAGAGAGGAUAGAGAGGGAAAUCGGCUCUAGGGUUACUCCAAUAACUAGGAUGCCAAUUUCCACAACCCAAAGGGUCUAUUUAUACUUGUGAGCUCCUAGGGUUUCACCCUAAAACCCUAAUUGGAUAACAUAGCCUCAAAGCAAUCCAAUAUCCCUUCUUGAUAGGCCUUGGACGAUUUCUAGGUGAUCCAUAUCCCUAAAAUCGUCCAACCCAUAUCCAUAAGGGUUAUCAGCUCAAAGUACAACUUUCACACAUUUGACAGUUUAUACCCCUUUAUUCAAUUUAUCUCUUUAAGUCACCAAAUUAAUUCUUAAUUAAUUUAUGACUUAUAUUAAUCAAAUAAUAUUAUUAUUUCUCUAACAUAUUAUUCUUAUAAUACAUUAAUAAUAAUAUCUCUUCUCUCUAAAUCACCCUAUCAAGUUGCUAUGGUGAAGGCAACCCAAAAGGACCAUGCAAAUCGAGUCAAGUACUUACCAAAUAUAGUUAUAGCCUUAGACACUAAUCCAACAGUUUCCCACUUGGAUAAGUCUAGUAACUAUAAAUGCAAACACAAUCCGAUUAGCAAUUGUAGCUCUCGAAGACGCUGUCGACUCUGAUCUUAUCAGUAACCUGUCCUUUAGAUAAGGGAUCGUAGAGUGCUCUGUUUUGAUAUCGUGCAGACGAUCGUCAUACUUGUCGUCCAGCAACUAUUUUCUCGAUCUCAGAUAUAUUCGACAUAUACCUGACCGGGCCUGGCACAUAAGUCAAAUCAAAUCAUCGAGCGGCCGUGAUAUCGCUUUUACCCUCUUAGGAUAAAAGUAACAGAUAAACUUCGAUUUAUAUACAUUUACUUAUCGACUAAUCAACUAUACACAACAAUGCGUUUUAUGACAUCAAUUUACUGAUGCGGUUUCGCAUUAUCAAUGUACAACUAAUUAAUAAAUAAUAAACCAUAUAUCUAGGUUUUAAGACCAUAUGAUAUUAUCGUCUUGCGAUCACUCCAAAGUGAUUCCAGCAAGCGCGGGUUUAUUCCAAUGCUCAAAACUUGUUCAUAAGCACUCAUGAACGUUGCAGCAAACCUUUGCUAUGUCUAAUACCAUUUAGACAAUCUACACACCAAUUCAUGACAAUUUUCAUUCAUACCCAGUGUUCUAGAAGGCGCCCCAUGGCGUGAGGUGCGGCGUCGCCGUUACGAAAAGUUUCAUAACGUUGUUGUUAGGCGUGGCGCGUGGCAAGGCGUGAUAUGGCGUGCCAUGGCGCGUUAUGGCGUGUUAUGGCGCGUGUUUUUUCGUUUGAGACACGUUUUUUUGCUCUUUUUUAUACAUUUUCUAAUCGAACAUACAAGUAUUGUGUUUUUUAUUAACUUCCUGUUAUUAGUUGUUGAUAUAACACUUCUAAAAACUAGGUAUAUUUGAUAUAAAUUUAUAUUUAUGCGGUAAUAUAAUUAUAAAUUAAUACAAAAUCGCCGCCUUACAUCACGCCUUGAAAAACACCAUGGCUCGCCAUAACUCGUUAAGCUUGAGGCUUGGCCUUGCCGCCACGCCACGCCUCACGCCUUUUAGAACCUUGUNNNNNNNNNNNNNNNNNNNNNNNNNNNNNNNNNNNNNNNNNNNNNNNNNNNNNNNNNNNNNNNNNNNNNNNNNNNNNNNNNNNNNNNNNNNNNNNNNNNNNNNNNNNNNNNNNNNNNNNNNNNNNNNNNNNNNNNNNNNNNNNNNNNNNNNNNNNNNNNNNNNNNNNNNNNNNNNNNNNNNNNNNNNNNNNNACUAUCUAAUCUAAACUAAUAUCAUCCUUCAGCCCAAUACUCCUAGCAUGCUGCAAGUGCUUAACCCUACUCAGUCCCUUCGUAAGCGGAUCUGCUGGGUUAUCUUCUGAUGAUAUCCUCUUAACCACGUGGUGUCCUUCUUCUACUCGAUGUCUAAUAAAGUGAUAUUUUCUGUCGAUAUGCCGAGAUCUACCAUGAUCCCUUAAGGCAACCGCUCCUUCAUUAUCACAUAAAAUCUCCAUGGGCUCUUUUAUAGCAGGCACAACUCCAACAUCACCAAUGAAGUUCUUCAACCAUAUUGCCUCCUUUGACGCUUCGCUUGCUGCAAUGUACUAUGAUUCGCACGUUGAAUCAGCUACAGUUUCCUGUUUGGAACUUUUCCAAGUUACCGCUCCUCCAUUAAGGGUAAAGACCCAUCCCGACUGCGAACGGUAGUUGUCCCUGUCGGUCUGGAAACUGGCGUUACUAUACCCUCGCACCUUCAAGUCAUCACUCCCUCCGAGGACUAGAAACCAUUCCUUGGUCCUCCGAAGGUACUUAAAGAUGUUCUUUACCGCAAUCCAAUGUGCUCUUCCAGGAUUCCCUUGAUAUCUACUGACCAUGCUCAAAGCAAAGGCCACAUCAGGUCGAGUACAAGUCAUAACAUACAUGAUCGAGCCAACUGCGGAAGCGUAAGGUAUUCGGCUCAUCUCAGCUAUCUCAGCUUCGGUACUCGGACUUUGAGUUUUACUCAACUUGGUAUUACUUUGUAUCGGUAGUUCUCCCUUCUUUGAGUUUUCCAUACUAAAACGUUUUAGUACCUUAUCUAAGUAAGUAUUAUGACUAAGUCCUAUUAGUCUCUUACUUCUUUCUCUCACAAUCCUUAUUCCCAAAAUAUUGGAAGCCUCUCCGAGGUCCUUCAUAGCGAAGCACUUCCCGAGCCAGGACUUAACUUCCUGCAGAUUCGGGAUGUCGUUUCCAAUGAGUAGUAUGUCAUCGACAUACAAAACGAGAAAUCUAACUAUGCUCUCACUAGCUUUGAUAUAUACACAUGAUUCAUCUUCGCUUCGUACAAAUCCAAACUCUUUGAAUUUCUCAUCAAAGCAAUGAUUCCAUCUGUGAGAUGCUUGCUUAAGUCCGUAAAUGGACUUCUCAAGCUUGCACACUCUAUUUGGAUGCUUCGAAUCGACAAAACACUCUGGCUGAGCCAUGUAAACAUCCUCAGCCAACUUCCCAUUAAGGAAAGCGGUCUUGACAUCCAUUUUCCAUAUCUCAUAAUCAUGAAAUGCGGCAAUAGCUAGCAUCACCCUGAUAGAUUUUAUUUUCGCAACUGGUGAGAAGGUCUCAUCAUAGUCAACUCCGAGAGUUUGAGUAAAGCCCUUCGCCACCAAUCGCGCUUUAUAUGUGUGCACAUUCCCAUCCACGUCGGUCUUCUUCUUCGAGAUCCAUUUGCACGCAACGGUCUUACGUCCGGGCACAUUGUCAACCAAAUUCCAAACUUGGUUGUCAUACAUGGACUGAAUCUCGUUGUCCAUUGCCUCUUUCCAUUUUGUAGACUCCGGGCCUGCCAUGACUUCCUUAUAGCAAUUAGGUUCAUCUAGAUUUAUUAGUGUUCCAUCACUAAUAUACGUGUCCCCUUCAGUAGUAAUAUGAAAACCAUAAAACUGGGGUUGAACUCUAACUCUUUUGGAACGUCUAAGAGGUAAUGACUCGUCAGUCGGUUUAACCGGAGUUUCCUCCUCGGAUUGAAUGCCAGCGGUAGAGGUUCCUUCAUCACUCGACUCUUGAAUCUAUUCAAGAUCGAUCUGCCUCCCAUUGUCUCCUUGGCUUAUGAGUUCCCUCUCUCGGAAAACCCCUCUCCUCGCAACGAAGACAACAUUGUCACUCGGUCUAUAGAAGAGAUAUCCAAAGGAUUUCUGCGGGUAGCCAAUGAAAAUACAUCGCUCACUACGGGGUUCGAGCUUGUCGUGAGUUUCUCGUCUUACAAAAACUUCACAUCCCCAAACCUUGAUAUGUGCCAACGAGGGAGCUUUCCCUGUCCACAUCUCGUGAGGUGUUUUGGCAACCUUCUUUGUAGGGACUCGGUUAAGGAUAUGGGCGGCAGUCUCUAAGGCAUACUGCCAAAAUGAGAUAGGUGGUGAAGCACGACUCAUCAUUGAACGAACCAUGUCUAACAAGGUUCGAUUGCGCCUUUCCGCCACACCAUUUAACUGCGGUGUCCUAAGUGGCGUCAAUUGCGAAACUAUUCCACAUCCUUUGAGAUAGUCGUGGAAUUCAAGACUUAGGUACUCUCCUCCUCGAUCGGCUCGAAGCAUCUUGAUUUUCCUGCCCAAUUGAUUCUCUACUUCAUUCUUGAACUCCUUGAACUUUUCAAAAGUUUCAGACUUGUGCUUUAUAAAGUAAAUAUACCCAUGUCUACUAUAAUCAUCAGUAAAAGUCACGUAGAAGCCGUUUCCAUCUUUUGUGGUGGAUCUAAAGGGCCCACAUACAUCGGUAUGUAUGAGAUCCAAUAAACCCUCACCCCUUUCACAAGUGCCAGUGAAGGGUGACUUGGUCAUCUUUCCAAGUAAACAAGACUCACACGUGUCAUCUUCCCUAAGGUCGAAUGACUCCAACACUCCAUCCUUUUGGAGUUGGGCUAUGCGCUUCUUGUUGACAUGUCCAAGACGACAAUGCCACAAAGAUGCUUUAUCCAUACUAUUGGAAGAAUCCAUACACAACACAUCAUUUCCUAGGUUAUCUACAACCAUAAUAGUUUCAUAAAUUCCAUUACAAGGCAUUGCCUCAAAGUAUAAGCAUAAAUAGAACCAUUCAUAUUAUUAAACGAAUAUCUAAAUCCUUGUCUAAACAAACCAUGAAAUGAAAUGAUGUUUCUUGCCUUAUCUGGAGAGUAGCAACAAUUAUUUAAAUCUAAACCUAAUCCAUUACUAAUAAAGAAUACACUCCAAUCUUGGUGACAGGUGACGAUCUUCUGUUUCCCAUGAUUAGAUUUAUUCUUCCUUGCUCCACAUCUCUAUCUCUUCUUAGUCCCUGCAAAUUAGAACAAAUGUGGUAACCACAUCCUGUAUCAAGAACCCAAGAAAUAGUAUGAGGUGAAUUAUUAGAUUUAAUUGUGUAUAUACCUGAAAAAGAUGGCUUGAUUUUUCCAACCUUGAUGGCUUGCAGAUAUUCCGGGCAGCUUCUCUUCCAAUGCCCUAUUUUGUGGCAAUGAUGGCACUCUGCCUCAUUCAGGUUAGGGUUGGGCUUAGCAGGAUCAACCUUGGUCCCACUAGAAGAGGAACCAUCUUGGGACUUUCCCUUACGGUGACUCUUUGACAGAGCCUUCCUCUUCUUGCCCCUUCCCUGCCCUAUAGCCAAAACAGGAGCAGCGGUUGGUGCGGGAGUUGGUGCAACAGACUUGUCCUUUAGGUUGCUCUCAGCAGUCCUAAGGAGUCCUUGGAGUUUGCUUAGGGUGACCUCUUCCUUGUUCAUGUGGUAGGUCAUCCUAAAUUGAUUGUAGCAUGAAGGAAAGGAGUGAAGAACAAUGCCAAUAGCCAAAUCUUCCCCAAACUUAUCAUUUAACUUGCGAAGACGAUCAACAUAUCGUUGCAUCUUUUGCAAGUGAACGGUUAACGAUUCUCCACUUCCCAUCUUGGCGGUGAUCAUGUUGGUGAUGAUCUCGUAGCGCUCUUGCCUCGCGCUUUGGUGGUACCUCUCCAUCAAGUCUUGAUGCAUUUCAUAGGGAUACAUGUCCUCGUAGGACUUUUGGAAUUCUUGGUUUAUAGUGGAUAUCAUGAUGCAAUGGACCUUCGUUGCAUCACGUUCGUGUGUCUCAAUGAUAGCCAUCUCUUCGGGAGUAGUGAUUUCCGGGUUGACCUUCUCGAGCUUUUCGUCGAGGACAUACUCUUUGUCCUCGUAGCGUGCAAUGGUGCGAAUGUAUCUUAUCCAUUCGCUAAAGUUUGUACCAUCGAAGGUCACCUUUUGGCAAAGAUUCAUUAACGUGAAUGAGUUAGCAGCAACAUUGUUUGCGUUCGACAUCUACAAAUAGAAAGAUUGAUUAGAAUUGAGCCCCUAAUUAAACACCCAAAAUGAAAAAUUAGGGCUAGGACCCAACAACAUUAUCUACAUAUUAGAAAAGGGAUGCCGUAAUCCAACACGCAAAUAAUCUGGAGGUAAGUGAAUGACGAUUCACUAAUUCUUCACCUUGAAAACAUAACCUUAAGUUUUAAACGCAUUGAGAAUUCCUAGAUUUUCUUUGAGAUUCAUUGAACCUUUCAAUGGCAUGUUUAAAUCUCGAUAUGCCCCUCUCGUUUGUGACUGGGAUGCCGAGGAUCACAAAGUGGGUGUGAAUUACCAUGCAAAUCUACAUGGUGCCUUCAUUGUUACAAUCAUCUAUUCAAUGUGCCGGUAAACCACACAUGCUCCAUCGAACUAUGAUAAACAAUGAAUCACCUUUUGCCACCUUUGCUUAGAACCAAUUAGUGUGCCGGUAAACCACACACGCUCCACUAACUUCUUAGCAAGGGUGCAAAGUGCAAUUUCAUGGGAUUGCAUCAAUUCACUUUUCCUAAAGUAACUAAGAUUGGGAAUUUUAUAAAAUAGUUUAGUUACUUUAUAGAUUCAUUAUACUUAUUAAUGAGGAGAGAGAGUUGCCCUAUCCUACCCGUUCGGCUAACGACCCUCCACCGGUCAAGCAAGCGGUGGGUGUGAGUGUACACCCAUUAAGCGCCAUUUUAUAGGCAGCAACCUUAUACCCACCUUAUAGACCGGCUUCGUGAAUGAGGCGUACUAGCGGUANUAUAUAUAUUAAGCCUUUAAUAAUAUAAUAGUAUAGGGUUGAAUUUUAAACUUGUAAAACUCUAGGGGUUGAAAUUUAAAUUCUUCUAAAUUAAACUAUUAAUCACAAAUUUCAAAUUUCAAAACUUCAGGAUAGAAAUUGAACUUUUCAAAAAAAUAGGGAUCAAAUAACAAAUAAUUCAAAUGAAACAAUUAAUUUCAUAAUUAUCUAUAUUUGACCUAAUCCAAUUUUAGUCAUUAGAUAAUUACCAAAUAAUAUUAAAUAGUCCAUAUUUAUCACAUAAAUAAUCAAUAUUUAAAAGAUUUGAAAUUAACUAUAUUUAUGUCAAGGAUAAUCAUUAAAUUAAGUUAAAAUUCGGAUUUUUACCUAAUAAAAUGAUUUUGGUGUCAAUCCAAGACAAAAUAGCAAUAAAAUCCCGAAUUAUCCUGUAUGACGCUCGGACUCGCCGAGCCAAGCUUUGGACUCGCCGAGUAGGGCCAACUUGCCGAGUCCAAAUACUGACUCGCCGAGUUGGGUCGAACAGAGGUGAAGAAAAAUGAUUUCCAGCAAGCAAAACAGUUAAGCAUCACAUUCAAUUGAAACCAAACAUGGCUCUGCUACCACUGAUGGGUUUUGGACAUAAGAACUUUCCCUAUGUGCACAUACAACCCUAUAGCUUGGAUCUAGGUUUCUCUAAUUGAACAUGCAAUAUAUCCAAGACUUUCAUGGCUAGAUCUAACUACAAAAUCAUAUGAAAAUAGAUCUAGAAUAAUACCUUGAGUUACUUGCUUGAAACCUUCUUCUUCUUGGAGCUUAGAGUCACAAAUGACACUCCUCUAAUGGCUUACAAACACCAACUAGCAAGAAGAUGAUUUAAGAGAGAGGAGAGAGAGGGAAAUCGGCUCUAGGGUUACUCCAAUAACAAGGAUGCCAAUUUCCACAACCCAAAGGGUCUAUUUAUACUUGUGAGCUCCUAGGGUUUCACCCUAAAACCCUAAUUGGAUAACUUAGCCUCAAAGCAAUCCAAUAUCCCUUCUUGAUAGGCCUUGGACGAUUUCUAGGUGAUCCAUGUCCCUAAAAUCGUCCAACCCAUAUCCAUAAGGGUUAUUAGCUCAAAAUACAACUUUCACACAUUUGACAGUUUAUACCCCUUUAUUCAAUUAAUCUCUUUAAGUGACCAAAUUAAUUCUUAAUUAAUUUAUGACUUAUAUUAAUCAAAUAAUAUUAUUAUUUAUCUAACAUAUUAUUCUUAUAAUACAUUAAUAAUAAUAUCUCUUCUCUCUAAAUCACCCUAUCAAGUUGCUAUGGUGAAGGCAACCCAAAAGGACCAUGCAUAAUCGGGUCAAGUACUUACCAACUAUAGUUACAACCUUAGACACUAAUCCAACAUGGUUUGGGAUUCAGACCUUUCUCACGAUGUGAGACAUGAGGUCUCACGACUUUAGCAACCAAUACUCGUCCCUUGUUGAGUUGUCUGAGUUAGGAGCGAGUCUUUGGAAUCGGAACGAGUGACUCUCACGACGUGACCAUGGAUUCGGCAAAAAACUGAGACAUGAUAUUUGGAUUUUUGGGCUGGUUUUCUGACUUUGGGCCCCUAAUGGACUUUUGAGUAUGGAUGGAUUUUGACAAGUUUGAGCGAAGGGUAUUUAGGUAACUUAAGUGGUAUAUGAAAUUGGUCAUUAUUUUGGUGUUUAGGUGGUCCAGUCGAGCUGUCAUUUGGAGCUGUGUUUUGCCAGAAAUUUUUUCAGGCUAAGAGAUGAAUUUUCCUCACUGUACUCAUGGGUCGAAGGCACCAAUGUCGGCCCACUAGAUUAUUUAUACUAGUUAUAGGAUAGUACCAUGCUAGUAUAUGAUUGAUUAGUAGAUUUGUAUGAUUAUCUGUAUUUGCUGGUUAUAUUUUUAUGUUUAUCUGUUACGUAUGUCGACAUAUUGUGGUUAGGUUUAGGCGCUCUUGCUUUGUACUGAAGGCCAAGACACCUGGGGCGGUCCGAAUAGGCCAUAGGCCCUACGAGGCGGUCUAGUUAGGCCGAAGGCCCGUAGAGUGGUCCAGAUAGGUUGUAGGCCCUGCAAGGUGGUCCAGUCAGGUUGAAGGCUCAUAUUUACAUGCUUUUUUUGUCAUGUUGUGUGAUCUUACAUUGGGGAAAUUCACUAAGCUUUGGCUUACAGUUUUAGUUUAUUGUUUCAGGUACUUUAGAGGAUCGUGGGAAAUCAAAGGCAUGACCGUGCACAUCCUUUUAUUUUCAUGAUAUUGGCUUUUGGGACAACUCUGAAAUGAGUUUUACUUUUGAAACAAUGGUCUUUUGUAAACAAUGACGCUUAAUGGUUAUUUUGAAAAGUUUUAAAUUUUUAUGAUUUUUGGGAUGUUGCAAGUUAGUAUUAGAGUCUUGGAUUGAGAGAAUUGGAUGAACAUUCGUGUGAAUCAAGACUCAAACUAGGGAACUGCAAAAGUUUUAACAUGUUUUUCAAAAAUUGAUUUCAAAAGUAACCAACGAAGGAUGCGAUGAGUACGAUCAACCGGAGCAAGAAAGUAUAGCCCAAGUUACCUACAUUGUUAUUUGAUGUUAUUUUUAUGGUAGAACGACAUGCUACUGGUAGGCUAGGCAUAUUCAGGAACUACAUGAUACAUGAUGCUUCAUAGCCUAAGGUUAUUUCUUAUGUGGAAUUGACAUCAUUAUUGUAGUUGCUUAGUUUAUGCAUCACAGUUGUAUAUAACUAAGAUUUUAAAGCCUGAGAAUGUUUGGUUUAGCCUUCUUUCCUAUUCUUGUUUGAUGAAGGGCUUAGGGUAGAAUCAAGUAUUCGACUGUCUAUGGGAUCAAGUGUUAUUUAUGAUUAGUAUAAGCAAGUACUACAUGGUUGGUGGAAGUUUCAAGGAUGGGUUUAUAUGUGAGUAGUUGGCCAGUUGAGGAAUGUCUAGCCAUUCUCUAGGGAGUGAGGAUAGGAUGUAUGUGUAUCCUAGUGUGCUCUUUUAGGGAUGUUGUGAUGAUCCUCUAACACAAAUACAAGUAGGUGUGGAAGGUAGUAUGGGUCCAUACUAUUGGAAACACAAGACCCGUACGCGUAACAAGGAAGUCACAACCCCUAAGGUUUUGUUUAAUAGAAUAGCUUGUGUGGUAUGUUUAUGUUUAUGCUUCUGAUAGGUACAUUAUUUGUAAAUUAUUUGCCUGCUCUUGUGUUAUUCGACUCGGGUGCGAAUCGGCUUUUGUAUCUCAGUCUUUUAGUAGGGGUUUCGAUAUGACCCUUGGAGAGUUAGAGUGUCCGUUACGGGUUUCUAUCGCCAAAGAACAUGUGAUUUCUGUAUCGAGUGUUUUCUAGGAUUGUGUUUUGGAGAUUUUUGGGGUGCCUUACUCGAUUGAUAUGAUCCCUAUUCCGAUGAGAGUUGUGUGUGUGUGUGUGAUUGUAGGGAUGGACUAGUUGAGUAGACUCAGGGCUAUAAUCGAUUGCACGAUUUAGCAGGUAGUAGUCCUAAUCCCAAGUGGGGGAGAACUGGUUAUUUAUAGAGAGGGGACCAGAUUGGGAUCAACCUUUUGUUCUGCUGCCAGGGCUCGACAGUAUAUUCAACAUGUGUGUGGGGGUAAUCUUGCUUAUGUGUUUGAUGCCAUGUUAGGAAGCAGGAUUCAGUUUCAUAUGUGCCAAUUGUCAUAGAAUUUGUUGAUGUGUUCCCAGCGGAGUUGCCUGGGGUGCCUCCAAAGAGGUAGGUUGAGUUCGGGAUUGAUUUGGUUCCAGGUGCGGUCCUAAUUGCUAAGGCGUCGUACCAAUUGGCACCGCCUGAGAUACAGGAGUUGUCUUCUCAGCUCCAAAAGUUGUUGGGCAAGCAUUUCAUCAGAUCGAGCAGUUCUCCAUGGGGAGCACUGAUUUUAUUUGUCAAGAAGAAGGAUGGUUCACACCGGAUGUACAUUGAUUACCGGGAGUUGAACAAGUUGGUGGUGAAGAACCGUUAUCCCCUUCCACAGAUUGAUGACCUCUUCGAUCAACUGCAAUUCACAUAUUGGUUCUCCAAGAUCAACUUGAGGUCAAGGUACCACUAGAUGAGAGUUAGAGAAGAGGACGUGGAGAAGACCGUGUUUCGGAAUCGUUAUAUUCAUUAUGAGUUUGUGGUGAUGCCAUUUGGACUCACCAAUGUGCCUGCGGCAUUUAUGGAUUUGAUGAAUCGGGUUUGUCGGCCGAUGCUCGAUCGAUCAUUCAUUGUGUUCAUUGAUGAUAUCUUGGUAUAUUCGAAGACCAAAGCAACAUGAGGAGCACCUUCGAGAGCUUCUAGGAGUCUUCAGGCGAGAACGACUAUAUGCCAAGUUCUCGAAGUGUGAGUUUUAGUUACGAGAGGUCCAGUUCUUUGGACAUCUCGUCAACCAAAACAAGAUUUUGGUCAACCCAGACUAGAUCGGGGUCGUGAUGUAGUGGGAGGUUCGGAAGUCUCCCUCGGAGAUUAGGAGUUUCAUGGGCCUAGUAGGGUAUCAUCGUGGAUUUAUUUAGGAUUUCUCCAAGAUUGCAUUACCCUUCACUCGUCUAACGACGAAGGACAUAGAUUUCCAUUGGGGCCUUAAGCAGCAGGUGACAUUCAAAACUCUGAGGUAGAAAUUGAGUAAGGCCCAAUGUUGACCCUCCCCGAGGGUGUUGUGUAUUUUGUGGUAUUUUGUGAUGCAUCCAUCACGGGUUUCGGUUCAGUGCUUAUGCAGCAUGGGAGGAUUAUUGCUUAUGCUUCUCGAUAACUGAAGUCGCAUGAGGUCUGCUAUCCGACUCACGAUUUGUAGUUGGGAGCAGUGGUGUUUUCUCUCAAGAUUUGGUGGCAUUACUUGUAUGAGGUUUGGUGUACUAUCUAGACGGAUCACAAGAGCUUAAGGUAUCUUACGGACCAGCUGAACCUGAAUAUGAGGCAGUAUAGGUGGCUUGAUGUGGUGAAGGAGUAUGCCAACGUGGUGGUUGAUGCUUUGAGCCGCAAGAUGGCUAGUUUUGCGACUUGAUCCCUAUGUAUGAUGAUUUUGAUUGAUUCACCAUUAUUAGAUUUGAUUAGGUAGUCUCAGGACGAGGUAGUCAAGAAAGAAAAUUGUAAGCAAUUGAGGCUUAAGGGUGAGGUUGACAGGUUUACUACCGAUAGUCAUAGAUUAUUGACCUGGUAUGGACGAGUUUUGUAACAUCUCGAUUUUCAAGUAUUCACCCAUUUAUCCCUCGUGCGGAAAUUGUUGCAUUUUGACCUUUAGGUAUGAGGAUGAUUGCAAGAUUGGCCCUUAGUAUCUUUUUGGUUAGUUUGGGAUUGAGGUUAAUACGUUGGGCGUAUGACGUGUAUGUAAGCGUACUAGGGCAGAACCUAGUACGUUGGUCGUACGUGCAAAAUGUCUAAACCCUAAAUUUUUAGGGUUUUGGACAUAUAUAGAAACUAUUAUAACUUCAUGCCUCAUAUCCUCAGUAGCCCCCCUUUGAGAAAAUCAUCUUCAAGCAACCCUAAGACAGAAGAGUCCAUUAUUAAGCCCAUAUAAGUGUUUUGGAGGUGUGUUUGAAGAAGAAGAAGAAGAAGGUGGCGAUAAGAGCUUGAAACUUGGAAGCAUUUUGUAUCUGAGAUUUCCUCCUUGUUUGCAACCUCCAGAUGGUACAAAGCUUGCAACUUUAUCACUCCAUAUAGUAGAUCUAGAUAUUUCAUUCCAUUAAGUUGCUUUUUGUCCCAAAAUGGUGAUUCUUGAGCAUAGCAUGUUCUUGACCCAUUAAUUCAUCCUUUCAGACCUUAGGAAGGGUCUUAAGUCAUAAAAAUGUGGUCUUGAUGGUUAGUUUUGCUUCAUGCAUUCUUUAGAAGGUCAUAAUGGAUUAAGAUGUUGUUUUGGGCACUUAAUGGACAUGCAAAGUCAUAAAGUUGGAAACUUUAUGACUCUUGAGGAUGAUUUAGCCUUGCAUCUAAAAGCUGGACAUAGGAUCUUAAGGAAUUAAGCUCUUAAUGAAGUUUGGGAAGUCUGGGCAUACACCCUGCAUAACCUGAGUACGCAGCGCGUAUGCGGUCAACCCUCCCGUUUGCGGUCAAGAUGUGAGUACGCCCCACGUACUCGUUCUAAGUUGACUCGGCUAAGCUAAAUUGAAUUAGUUGAUUUGUUGACUUUAACCAAGUUGAACCAAGGGUAUUUUUGGUAUUCUGGAUGGUGCUUGAGAAUUUGUGAUUUGGAUAGGUGACCUGUAUAGGGGUGUACUCAACCAGCCUUGGACUUUGACUUUUGUUGACUCCGUUGACUGUUGACUUUUUGACCAAGUUUGAAUUUAGGUCAAACUUGUGGGUUUGAUUGGUGAUUAAUAUUUUAUUAAUUCCUAAUUUAUUGAAUCUGCAUGAUCAAGCAGUGUAGCAGGGAGCGUAUCGCGGUGUUCUCGGGUUUCUUCAUUUCAGGUGAGUUUUGCCUCAUUGUACCGUGGGUCGAAGACACCAAUGUCGGCCCACUAGUUUUGGUUAAUUAUUAGUAGAGGGAUGCAUUAGGGGUUGUAUAUGAUCAUGUAGGAUAGACUGAGGACUCUUAAUCUAGGCUCUGUUACAUAUUCCUAGUUUGGUUGUGGUUCUAGAAUGGGAUCACCUAUCUGGGUGUCUAUCUCACCUUUGAAUAUAUAUGGUCAUGCAUUUCUUGGAGUAUUUCUAUUUCAUAUGUUGCUAUGUUGUAUGGAUCAGUUAGAUUUGUAUUCUGGUAUCGAGUAUGUUGUUAUGCUAUGGUCAUCUGUUAGAUCAGUAUCCUGUUAUAUAGGAUGUAGUUGUGAUGUAGUGAUUGGUUAGAUAUGUAUCUUGGUAUUGAGUAUGUAGUUGUGAUGUAGUGAUCUGUAGAUCGAUAUCCUGGUAUAUAGGAUGUGACUAUGCGGUAGCGGUCUGUGGAACUGUAUCUUUAUUUUUACUUGCUAGUUAUCAUCUAAUGGAGUGCCCUAGGGACUGUCUGUGGUCAUGUAGGAUAGCCUGGAAACUCUUAAUCUAAUCUUUCUCGCCUGUUCCUUGUUUGGUUGUGGCUCUAGAGUAGGAUCAUCUGUUCGUGUAGCUAUCUCACCUCUGGUUACUUAUGGUUACACAUUCUAUGGAGGUUAGCUGGUAGUUGGAUUGUAUGCUGAGAGAGGAUUAGUAGACGGUGGCGAGCUAUAUGAUUGUUGUUUGUCUGUAUUAUGUGCCUAUUUUUCCCUUGUUUGUUUAUAUUUCGACAUAUGGUGGUGGUGGGAUAAGGUGAUCCUGCUUUGUGCUAUACGCCAAGGUACCCGGUGCAGGCCGGUUGUAAGUCGAAGGCAUAGAGGCUCUGGAAGACCAUUUGGAUUGAGGCAAUGGGCCAACAAACCCUGUAUAUUCUAGCACAAUGGCUGAGGGGACCCGAUGCAUGCUUGUAUGUUUAUCGUAUGGGGUAUUUUGGGGGAAACUCACUAAGCAUUAUGCUUACCCAAUUGUUUAUGGUUUUAGGUAUCAUCGGUGAUUGUGGGAAGGAUAGGCUGAGGUUGUACACACUCAUUAACAACAUUGAGGAUUCCACAUUUUCAAUAAUACUCUGAUUCCACAUAAAUGUAAUUCGAAAUAAACGGUUUUCUUAAUAAUUGAAUUAUUAUCUGGCAAGUUUUACUUUAAUAAAAACAAAAAAUUUUGGUUAUAAAGAUGGAACGUUACAGGUUUGGGUGCUAGAUUUUGAUGGGAUUAGAUAGAAUGUAUUGGAGGAGGCACACAAGUCCAGGUUUUCAAUACACCUUAGAGCCACCAAAAUGUACCAAAAUUUCAUUCUUAGCUACUGGUGGUCAUGCAUGAAGAAGGAGAUAGCAUGGUAUGUUGAGAGGGGUUUGACAUGUCAUAUAGUCAAGGCUGAACACCAGAGACCGCAUGGAAAGUUGCAACCACCAGAGGUUCACAUGUGGAAAUGGGAAGAUAUUACUAGGGAUUUCAUCACCAAGUUACCUCAGACGUCUAAGGGGCACGAUGAAAUUUCGGUAAUAGUAGAUUGGUUAACCAAGAGUUCCCAUUUCUUAGCUAUUUGGGAUAGCCUGUCAGCCGAGGAAUUGGCAGAUUUAUAUGUGCGCGACAUCUUUGUUCGACAUGGAACGAGUCUCCAGUGUAUCUGAUCGUGAUGUUAGGCUCACAUCUUGUUUCUGGUAGAAGUUCCACGAGGAACUAAGUAUGAGGUUGCAUUUCAACACUACUUAUCAUCCGCACACAGACGGUCAGAUUAAGUGGACCAUUCAGACACUUAAUGACAUGUUGAGAGCUUGUGUCAUAGAUUUCGGUGGGAGUUGGGACUCUUGCCUUCCCUCGGAUGAGUAUUCGCAUAGGAACAACUACCACUUUAGUGGGUGCGCUGCCUUUUGAGCUCCUUUAUGGAAGGAAGUACCGCACCCCAGUGUGUUGGGGAAAAGUUGGUCAUUGAGUAAUGGGAAGGACUAAAGUAGUCUUUCAGACGACCGAGCUCAUCCAGCAGAUCAAACAGAGACCUCAGACAACUCAGACUCAGCAUGAGAGUUAUGCUAACAAGCGUCGAUCUGAGUUGGAGUUCCUGGUCAGGGACAUGGUCUUACUUAAUGUAUUACUCUAGAAGGGUGUAAUACGCUUCAGGAAGAGGGGAAAGUUAUGGCCCCGAUAUAUUUGGCCAUUUUGGGUGAUAUCCAGGGUUGGAAAGGUACCGUACAUAUUCGAUUUGCCUGAGGAGCUUAGCCAGAUCCACAACACCUUCCAUGUGUCUCAGCUUCAGAAGUGUACGGCUGAUGAAUCAACGGUGAUCCCUAUGGAUGAUGUUCAAGUUGAUGAUUGACUGAAUUACAUUGAGAGACUAGUGGCAAUUGUAACAUACAUGUUAUUAACCUAGUGUAAUUAUUGUAUUUUGUAAGCUUGAUAGUGAAUAUUAUUAUAUAAUAUAAGAUUUUGAGCAUUGAGUUCCAACAAGAUAGUUUUAUGAUAUUUGAAGCAAAACUAUGUUUAGAACCAUUGGGAAAGUGAUGGGAAGUCUUAUGAGAUUCCAAUCAAAAGUAAAAUAUAGAAAUUAACGAAAAUGUAAAAUUUAAGUUGGAAAUAAGUAAAACUAAUGUUAUUGAAAGUUGUAAAUUAUCUCAUUAGAAACAUUUAGGCGAGAAUCUCACUGUAAUCCGAGAUAUAACGAAGAAGUUAUGACUUAUUAAAGUUUUGCUACAGAACCAGCACGACACCAUAUGACGUAGAAAGUGAGUUUACGAUAAACUACUUUUUAGCCUUUGUGAUCUAAAUGAAAGUCGUAGUAUUCGUUAAACCGAGAACUUUCAUAAAAAGAACGUCCAAAUCUGACUUCGUAUGAGGAAGUUAUGAUUUUUCUAAGAUUCAGCAUAGUAGUGUGCAGCUCGAAAUUUGAAUUAUAGAUCGAUCAAUUUUUAGCUGACACAACGUAAAUGAUAAUCGAAGAUCUCGUCAAUAGUAGCUCAACGGUAAAAAGACAGACGAAAACGGACGUACGAUGAAGAAGUUAUGAAUUUUUGACGGACUUUUCAUGUCCCGGCCUGUUAAAAAUAUAAUAUUAAAAAUAAAAUCAAAAUUAGCCGACGGAAACUAAACAAAAGUUGUAGAGUAUAAUCUCACCUACGUGUGCAUAUAAAGAAAGUCAAAACCGGAGCCCAUAUGCGAAAGAUAUGAUUUUUUGAAGUUUUAGGCACAAACUUCGAGAAAGCCAUACGCCUAGCGUACGUACAAGGUAUGUACGCCCAUCAUACUUAUGUGUACACAGUCCGAAAUUAGCCACAUCACCUACUUCUUUGCAUGUUGUACAUGUGUUUGUAGCCUUGACGCGUCCGAGAUGAUCCCUUCCUACGCCCAGUGUAAUCGUUGUACGCCCAGCGUCGAAGUUCUCAAAGAAGUACACCCCGCGUACCAUGAAAUUAUGCCCAACGUAAUCAGGUGCUUCAGAUACUAUAAAUAGGGUGCGAAGCUACCCGAUUUAUGGUUACAAAUUUGACACUCUUUGAACCUUUACUCUCUCUCAAAUUACCCUAACACCCUCCCGAAGCCUAGUGAACUACCCCAACACUCGAAGCAAGCCCCGACACACCGAAGACCCCGAGAAAAUAAUAUUUUCAGCCAAAACUCUACCCACACAAAGCCCGGUUUUCUGCUAAAAUCCCCGGUUUCGUCAUAGAAAGUCAUAUCUAGAAACGAAGUGCUGCCCGAAUAAGCAUUUUAUCAUUCGGUUAUGGUGAGUUCAAUAUAGGGACAAUUAUAUGUUAUAUGUUCAAUGUGCUUUCUUAUGUUAUUCUGGUUUUAUAGCGUUGAUCAAGUAGAGCAUGUCUCGUAUCACUUUUGGUAUUGGCUUUAAGCCUUUGGCCAUGUAGAGCAUGUCUCUUAUUAUUCUAGUAUUGGAUUUAUGCCUUUGGCCAUAUAGAGCAUGUCUCGUAUCACUUCUGGUAUUGGCUUUGUGCCUUUGGCCAUGUAGAGCAUGACUCGUAUCACUUUUGGUAUUUGCAUCGGGCUAGGUAGGGCUGAAAUCCUAUAUAUUCUAGCAAAAUGAUAAUCAGAAAUUGUUUAUUUUCUGUUGGGCUGAAGUCUUAUUAAUGUAUAUCAUGUUGAAAUUGUUGUAUCUCAUUGAAUGUAAAUCUUUGAAACAAAUCAUUGGUUGAUAUGGAAAGUCUGUCAUAUGAUUCACAUAUGUUUUUGUUGUUCUUUGUCCCUCCUUGCUUCUGUCAUAUUUAUAUCUAUAUGGCAUAACAUNUAUAUAUAUAUAUAUAUAUAUAUGGCAUAACGUUAUAUUGUAUCUAAUAUUGAACUCACUAAGCAUCACCCGCUUAUCCCUCUCAGUGUUUAACUAUUGCAGGUGAUAAACAUCCAGUAUAGUCAUGUACUAUAAGAAGAUGUAGAAUAGUUAAUAUUAUCACUUUUGUACUUAGUGUAUAAAUUCCUUGGAAGUUAUGUAAUAUAUAAAACUUUGUAAAAAUCUUAAUAGUUGGUUUGUAUUCAGACUUUUGUAAAUUAUAUUAUGAAUAUGCAUGUAGCAGGUUUGGAGUAAUAAUAUUGUAAACUUUAGAGAAAGGAUUGUCUCAGCAAUCUUGGAUCGAAAGUCAAAGACUCUGCGAAACAAGGUGGUGGAUCUUGUUAAGGUGUUGUGGCACUCCGAAAGGGUUCAAAGUGGAUGUGGGAACUCGAUUCAGAGAUGUGGGAGAAUUACCCAAUUUGUUCAUAGCAACAAACAUCGAGGACGUAGUAUGACUCAAAUGGUGGAGAAUUGUAACAUCUAGAUCCUUGAGGUACAUAAUUCCUUGAAUUUAUAGCUUUUGGAGAGGUGGGGUCAUGACGUGUGAUAUGAUGGUCACGUCGUGAGUAUUAGUUGACCAAGUUGACCGCAUUUUUGAGUCUCACAACGUGAUACAUAAGUCUCACGACGUGAGGACAACCUGAUGACUCAAAACCCUAAUAUUUCGAGUAUUUAACGGAAUGAGAGUCUAGGGUUGCACAUUCUCAGCCUCUUUCACCCUCUAUGCCCUCUGGAAACCCUAAAUUCGACCCUCUUUCAGAUUCAUAGUGUUUUGCUUGUUUGAAGGAGAAGAACGAAAGAGAAGAAGCACCAUUGUGAACGGAGUUGUAAGGAAGCAUCAUUUUCAUCAACUCUUCUCUUGUUUGGACCAUUGUAGGUAUCAAUACUCAAGCUUUAUUUCAAUUUAUGGCUAGAUCUGGGUUUUUGGUCCCAUUUCCUUAUGUUAUAGCUUGUGGGUUUGAAUAAGAUCCAUAAAGUUAUAAACUUAUUGAUUCAAUUGGUCUUUUGAGUCUUAUAUCAUUUAGAUCUAGAAGUUGGUAGAGUAUUAGAAGCUUGCAUGAUAACUUGAGGACAUAUUUUUGACUGGUUUUCUAGGUUAUAAAUAAAAAAUUACAUGCGGUGGAAAACCACUUAAAUACUUAAGUUCACAUGCAACCUAGAAAGGAUCUAUGUUUUCUCUAUUGAUAGAAACUAACUAUGAAUAUCAAGAAAACCCUAGGAGAGAGGAUAUGAAAUCAAAAUUCAUACAUAAAAUUAGGGUCACAUACCUUUUGAUUAUUAUUGUAAAUAAUCAAAGUGGAAUCCUCCUUCUAGAUAUUGGAAAGCUAGCACCAAAGAAAUGGAUGCCUCUAAUGGCUUGUACCCAAAACCCUAGUAACAAGAAGACUUGAAGAGAGAGGAGACUAGAGCAUAAAUUCGACCCUAUGAAGAAAUUAAAGGUGUGUGGAAAAUAUGGCAUCCAUGAUGUCCUAUUUAUACUUGUUUAAGGAAACUCCCAUGGAAACCAAAGAGUUUUCUUAAUGAUUAAUUCUAAUUAAUCAUAUAAUUAAAUCGAAAUCAAUUCUAAUUAAUCAAUUAAUCAUAACUAUUUCCAAUUAAUAUAUUAAUAAAUCAUAUAUUUCAAUUUCCAAUUAGUUUAUUAUUCAUAUAAUAAACUAACAAAUUAUCCUCUAUCUCUAACUAUCAUUCUAAUUAAUUACUAGUUUUAAGGGCAACCCAAAAAGGAUUUUGCUUCCGAUUCAAGAAUAUACCAAUUUAGUUAUUGGCUUAGACACCUUAACCCAAUAUUCUACCACUUGGAUAAGUCUGUAACUACAAUUACAAGUAUAAACCUUGAAAUAAAGAGCAAAGAGUGCUUUCCAAAGCCACUGCCGAACUCUGAUUCAAAUCAACUAUUGGCCCUAAGAUUAGUGCGCAGCUAUUCCUUCAUUCUUCAGGAUAUCGUAUGAACACGAUACAUGGAUCAAAAUCAAUCUCAUUGUCCAAAAUUAUGUUUCUUGAUUUCCUGAUUUGUAAAUACUUGAUUGGACUUCAAAUUGAAAACAUCAAUUAGUCUUGGCUGUGCCCAUCACUCGAUAGUCAACAUCAAAUCAUCGAGGGGCCCAAUGAUAUCGCUUUUCCUGUUCAAACAAAAGGAACGAAUUACAUUGACUAUAUAGUCAUACAAUUCACACAUUAAAUCACACAUGGAAUUAACCUUUAUAACACCCAGUUACAAGAUGCGUUUGAGUAAACCAAGGCAUAACUAAUAUGUAAGCAAUGAACUACAUAUCUCUGGUUUAAGUGAUGGGUUAUGAGCAUAUCAACAUUCCUAUGUGUUCAUGCAACGCUAAUUGCUUUGGAUCUAAGUUUUUCAAUAAUUGAACAUGAAAAUUGAAUACCAAAUCAAUAACCCUAAAACUAGCAUAUAAUUUUGAAAUCCAUAUGAAAUUAGGGUUAGAAUAUUACCUCACUUGUUAUGGUGCAAUAACAUGAACAAUCUUGAAGAUCCUUGACUCUUGAAAGCUUAGUGCCCCACAUGUUGCACCUCUGAUGGAGUCAUAAACACCCAAUGCAACAAGAUGAGAGGAGAAACAAUGAAAAUCGGCUAGGGUUAUGAAUCUUCUGCAUAAGCCGAAAAUCCAAAGGUAUGGGGUUCUUUAUAUAGUUGUGAGCUGCUAGGAUUUCCGGAGGAACCCAUAAUUUCCUACUUAAGGCUUAAGCAACCCAUGGACCUCUUACCAGUAGGCCUUGGAUGAAAUCUAUAGGGCCUCCCUAUAGGAUUUCGUCCACUCCUAAUUAAGGAGUCCUUUACCCAGUUUUGCAACUAUCAAUGAUUUGCAAAACAACCCCUCCAUUAUUAAUCAGUUCUUUUAAUGCCAACAUUAAUACCAAAAUAAUUUCUGAUUAAAUACUAAUCAAUAAUAUGAUUUCCAAAUAAUAUAUUAAUAAAAUCAUUUUGAGUAGCAAUUUAUUAUUUCAAAUAAGAAAUCCUACUCUCUUUCCACUAGUCAUCCUGUCAAGUUGCAUGAGUGAAUGCAACCCAAAAGGACCGUGUUACUAUCAAAUCAAGUACAUAUCAAUUAUAGUUAUCGGCUUAGACACCUAAUCCAACAGUCUCCCACUUGGAUAAGUCUAAUAACUAUUAUUGCAAGUAUGACUUCUAAAUUUAAUCAACAAUCGUAGCUUUCAAAAGCCGUUGUCGAACUCUGAUCUAGUCAAUGACGCAUCCUAUAGAUAAGGGAUCAAAUAUUCCUUCGUUCUACAAGAUAUCGUAUGGACAUGAGACAUGUAUUAUAAUCAAUCUCUGUCCAAGAGUUGUUUCCCGAUUUCCGAUUUAUGACGACUAAAUAAUUGAACAAAUCAAAUUAGUCCAGGCUUGGUCAAGCGCUUCAAAUGUCAUCACUAAAUCAUCAAGGGGCCCACAGAUAUCGUUUUUAUCCCGUUUUACGGUAAAAGGAAUAGAUAAACUUUGACUCAUAUGCUUGUACUAUUCACUCAUCAAAUUACACACAACAAUACGUUUUGUAACAUCAAGUUACUGAUGCGUUUAUGUAUUACCAAUGCACAACUGACUCGUAAACAACGACUCAUAUGUCUCCAUUUCAAUAAUAUAAGAUAUUAUCGUCUCAGAAUUACUCGUGAUAAAAUCCAUGAAGUAAUUCACUGAGCGUGAGUUUAAUCCAAUACUCAAAUCCUAUUUCUAGAGUACUCAUGAAUACUGCAGCAAACAUUUGCUAUGUCUAAGCACUUAGACUAACUACAAUAGGAUUCAUGGUAGUCUUAAUUCACUACUUACUUCCAAAGUAUGAUCGAUUGUGGAUGUUUGAAUAAACCAGUUAUUUGGGAAGUAAAAGAUGUGAAGUGAAACAUAAGAAUAACCUUAUUAACUAUGGUCUCAAAAUAUUUGAAUAUAAAUAAAAGCACCUUUAUUUAAUCACCAUAUUAAUUAGACUUUACUCAUUGUAUAAUGUUUCGAGUAAUCAACUUAAUACUUGAAUUAAAACAUUAGUCAUGCCCUGCACAAAACACACACACUAUGUUUAUCUAUGGUCCUUUCUUUGUGAAACAGAUCAAUUGAACACAUUUCCAAUCAUGCUCAUUUCACAAUUCUAAAUCCUUAUUAUAAGUGUAAGAUUACCAAAUUCUUGCCACCACGAGAAUCCGUUAGAGUCUAAACUUACAUGCAAUGAUCCUUUUGUAAUGUUAAGGCACCAAAGUCACAGAGACUUUGCCAAUAAUAUUACAAAGCAUUCCAUUGGAGAUUGGUUACAAAAACAAUUCCAUGGAAAUGAAGUCUCAUAUUCAAAGAGCAUUCCUUGAACAUCCUUCUUGCAUUAAAGUUACUAAUCUUACACACCGAUUUCAACAACUAACUCCCAUUAUGGAAACAUUCCCAUAUUCCCAUAUGACUAUCAAUUCUGAACAAGAGUUACCUCUACUCAGAAUAUGUCAAUAUGGUCCUUCCAAAAUUAUACUUCCAACUGUCCACAAACAACCAAUCUUUGAUAAACCUCAGAUUGUCCUUGAUAGUUGUUUAACAACUUUAGUCAUAUCCAGUUCAAAUCAUUUUCCCUCUCAAUGCCCUAGGCAUUUGGAAAAUCAUAACACGUGAAUACUAUAGCACAUGUAAUCGAUCCUAUAUCUGAAUCAUAUAGGAUUUGAUUCGUGAUGUAUUGCAUACAGACUUGGCACUUAAUGAGUCUCUUGCUAUAAUGUUUCCCUAUAUCUAAUUUUCAAUGUUGAAUCACUUCAAAAUGAAAUUCACAUAUGUUUAUGACUAAGUUCAAUUAAAACUUCAAACUAAACUUUUAGAUUCGAAAUGAAGUAUAAGUAUCUUCUCCUUUAAAUCUUUUUAUAGCGAAACAAUUUCGAAACUCUGUAACUUUGCAAAUUGAAAACUUUGUUUCCCAUAAAUAGCAUCGCUAACUUGCAACACUCAUCACAAUGAUUAUGCUUCCACUAGCAUAACAAUUAUGUUCUUAUUAACAAUUAUGCUCCCACUAGCUUUGACAUGUUCCCAGAAAUCAACUGGACUUCUAGAAAUCAAUACCUAUUGACUUUAUUACUAAAGUUCAUAUUUAUGAUACGAGAUGCUUCGAUAAGUCUUUAUCUAGAUGUCCCAAGCUCACACACAUUUCAUUAGAUAGCUCAUGUGUGUGUCUAAACCCUUUCAGAACUUAUAGCAAUAAGUCCUGAAUGUUCAAACUAUUUGCCAUUUCUCACAAUCCUAACUAUGAAAAGGGAUGUCGUAAUCAUAAUCAAAUUUGAGAACGCAAUUAUUACAACUGCUAACACUAAUGAUUUUAAGGUGUAUGUGUUCCUAUCCAUGUGAAUUUGUCAUUUCCGAACACUAUCAUAAGACAAGGUUUAUAACAAAUUCUAACUCAUAUGGACUGAACUUGCUUAAUCUUAAUUUCUUGCUUUCCGAUAGCACAAGGGCCUACCAGUGCUUCCAAGUUAUUGAGCAGUUCAACCAUACAGAUCAAUGUACUUUCACUGAUGAAGGUGCCUCACCUUAUGCACUCAAAUGAGAACUUAUAGAACUCACAUGCAUAGUCAAAUCCAUUGGAAUGGGAAUAGAAACAGUAAUAUGUCAACAUGAUAAGUUAUCAACCCUAGGUCGUGUGCUAGUGAUAACUAAAAUGUUUAUUCUGUCAAGGAACAUUCCUUGACAAACAAAUACUCAAGAGUUAGUGUGUGCUCUUAUCAAGAAAACACUUCAUAUAAUUGGUCUUAGUUGGUCUUUGUUUUAACCAAAACAUCACAACUACCAAUUUCAAAUGUGCAAGAGUAAGAAAACAUUUCUACUCUGCAUUUCAUGAGGUUUUAUAAACCUACUUAGAACAUGUAACUCAAGGUACAACUUGGAGUAAUUAGAGUAUGACUCCAAAACUUGACUUUGGAACAAAGUAUGACUCAUCUUCUUGAUUUAACCAUUUCAACAAUUCAUGAUUCCUCUACUUAUUCAUAAAAAUGCACUAAGGUGUUCUUAGAAGGAUCAAUUGUGACAUGUGUAACAUCCCGAGUUCAGGGGUGCAAGUUCAGGGUUUAAACUGAAAUUGUGAAUGGUCAACUCGGCGAGUCCAUGGUUGGACUUAGCGAGUAGGGUCGCGAUUCUGGUCGCGUGUCAAGUGGCCAACUCGGCGAGUCGGUAGCUGGACUCGGCGAGUUGGUACGGUGUGGAGAAAACCCUAAUUCCAGGGGAUGAGCCGUAUAUAAAGGACAUAAUGCCCUCUCCCCAGCCUCUUUCCUCUUCCUUGAAGUCCAGAAACCCUAACAUUCAUUUGUGAGUGAAUUAGAGAGCAUUGGGGCCUUGAAGGAGUGUUUGUGGAAGAGAUCUUUGAAGGCUAAGAGGCUUGGAGCAAGGGGAUUUGCAAGGAUUUGGAUUAAUCUUCUGUUGGAGCUUUCUUUUGAGGUAUUAUUUCGUUGCUUGGGCUGUUAUUCAUCUAGAUUCAUCAUUUUGGAGUUUUUGGAAAGCAUAUCUUGUGAUAUCUUGAGUUUGGAGGAUAGAUCUGAGGUUGCUACCUCAGAUGUGGAAUGGAGAAGGUCUAGAAUGCAUAAAAGUCCCCGUUCUUGAGUGAUUGGUGAAGCCAUCUUGUCCCAAACCCAAACCCUAGAGUGUUAUAUGCUUAGAUCUCUUUGGAUUCACGUAAAGUUUUCCACUUUACGUGAUGGAUGGUUUGUAGAAGGGUAGAUUUAUUGUUUGGAUCAUCUGCAUGGCUUGGAAAGCCUCUGUAUGGAUUAAGGCCUAGGGGUACUCAGCGAGUCACAAGGGUGUACUCGGCGAGUUGCAUGAAGAUGGGCAGGAACUCGACGAGUUGGAAAAAUAACUCGGCGAGUUGGUUGAAGAUGGCCUUGGACUCGGCGAGUCUGGUUGUGAGGUCCUAUCCUCUUCUGGUUGAGCCGUGAAUCGGUAAGUCAAGGGAUGACUCAGUAAGUUGAGUGCAAGGGGACUCAGAGUUGUGGAACUCAGCGAGUUGACUCAGGCAGGAGAGUUGACUUUGACUUUGACCAAGAGUUGACCAGUUGACCUUCCAGGGGUAAUUUGGUAAUUAUUGGUGGGUAUUGAGUUCAGUCUUUUGGUAUUAUCAGUGGAGGAGUUCAUGUCAGUGGUCGGAGCAACUCGGUCUUAUCUUUUCAGUCGGCAAUUGCGAGGUGAGUUAUCCUCACUAUAUCGACAGGGUCUACGGCACCAAGGUCGGCCCUUUAUCGGAUUGUAUUCCGGGUAUCAUUGUUAUGUUAUUGCUUUGCUAUGUUUGCAUCCUGGUAGUUUGGAUGGUAUAUGUUAGAGACCUGGUUAUGGUCGGUAUCCUGGUGUAUAGGAUGAUGCUAUGCUAGUGACCAGUUAGGUCGGUGUCCUAGUUAGGAUGAUGUUAUGUGAUCUGCUAGAUCGGUUUGGUUGGAUGUGAAUUGUUAUAUGACUGGAUGUUUAUGUGCACAUGGUUGUUGGACUGAAGUAGGGUUGAGGUGGGUCCUGCUUUGUGCUGUAGGCCAACAUACCCAGGGCGGACCGGUUAUCCCGAAGGCCCAGCGAGCGGUCCGGAUAGGCUGUAGGCCCCAAGAGGGCGGACCAGACGUGUCGAGGCUCGGAGAGUGGACCAGGCCGACUGAAGGCACAGUGCGGGCGGACCAAUCAUAUUGUAGACUCAGAGAGUGGACCAGGUGGAUUGAAGGCCCGUUGCGGGCGGACCAAUCACACUGUAGACUCGAUGUAUAUGGCUAGUGUGACAUCCCCAAAAAUCUCGGCCAGAAAAGACCAAUUUUCAUUUAUGCUUUAAAAAUAAUUUCGGAGUAAUCCUUUUGAUUUGAAAGAGUUGCGGAAUUUGUUCCCAAAAACAAAACAUGAUAAAACAAUGUUUACCAAAGCAUUUCAUAAAAGAAAUGUAUUUUUUCAUUAUAUAAUCAAAAUUCGGGGUGUCAUGUUCUGAUACAGACCAAUAAGCAUAAACGAUAACAUUACAAGUCAUUCAACAAAUAUAUACAUAUACAAACUUGUAAACAAAACAACUUGAUGGUUCAUCCAUCUUAUGCCCUCGCGCCACUACCUGUAAUACAAAUAAAACUGAGUGGGUCAGGCUUGGGAGCCUGGUGAGCAUAUAGGGUUUUCAACCCACUAUAAAUAAUCAUAUUUAAUUUUCACCAACCAACAAUAACCCAAUUACCCAUUCCCGUUAUUCUCACUUUAUGUCCCUAAGACAACUAACAUAAGGGACCUAGUCUAAGAAUAUUUCAUCGGGGCGACAACACAUGCUUCGGGGGUUCCUCAGUAAUAUAAGUCAAAUAAGACAACCAUGAGGGGGAUGGAGUACAGCGAAUGAACACCCAAGUUCAUUAACAUCUACAGGUGGCGAACCUGCUAAUGUUUCCACAAGACUGUCUAGAAAAGUCUGUGGUCGUCAUCUAAACUCCGCUAGAUGACUAAAUCAAACAACAACGAGGCCUCUCAUCUGUUUAUUACACACCAACUAUCUACCCAUGUUCUACCCAACAUAUUAGUAGAUAAAAAUAUACAUUUUUAUACAUAGUUUAAAAACCUGUAUAGCAUGCUUUAAUCAAUACAUAUUUCACAUAACAGAUGAGGCACACACACAUAACACGUAUUUCAUAGAGAAUAUAUCAGAUCUAUGAGAUAGAAGAGAGUGAAUAUACAUUCACACAUAUAACCACAAAAUAUAUACACGUAGCACGUAUUUUAUAUUAAAUACUUCAUAAUAUUGCGUUGGAAAGAAAAUAACUACACACUCACUUGAUCAGAAGAUGAUCCGACAGCACUACGGCUUAUAGAAGUAGUAUACUUCGAUAGAUCUGGAAGAUCUUCACCAAAAUCGAACUCCUCGCGGGCAGAGCUUCGGCUCGGGAAUAACGCUCUUCGGGAUCCUCGGGGCUUCGGAUCUUGCUUCGGGGCUCGGGAAUGAUACCGGGGCUUCGGGAUAUGAUUGGCACGCAAAUCGAGGCAAAACUUAGAGAGAGGGAAGAGUUUGAACAAGAGAAAAUGGCUGAUUUCGAGUUCUAUUUAUAGGCUGAGGGUCUGGGAUUACGCGGGGCGUAAUCUCAAAUUACGCAGGGCGUACUCAGUACGCGGGGCGUACUCGGUUACGCGGGGCGUACUUUGACGUCACUGCAUGCGUCGAUCUGUGGCACUCGAGUAUUGGUCAGGCAACUUGCAUCCGCCUGAGUACGCGGGGCGUACUCAAAUUACGCGGGGCGUAAUUGACUCGUCGAACUUCUAAAUUGCGUAACUUUCGCAUACGAGCUCCGUUUUCGACGUUCUUUAUAUCCACGCGAAGGUCAGACCAUACUCUACAACUUUCAUUUAGACUCCGUCGGCUAAUUUUGACUUUUAUUUUUAUUAUUUAUUUUUAGAAGGCCGGGACAGAAAAACUUCGUUAUAAAUUCAUAACUUCUUCGUCUGACGUCCGUUCUCGCCUAACUUUUCAUCGUUUCGCUACUAACAACGAGAUCUUCGAUUCUCAUUUAGAUUGUUUCGGCUAAAAACCGCUCGAUCUCAAAUCGAGUAUUCGGGCUGCAUACUGCUAAGUCGAAACUUAGAAAAAUCAUAACUUCCUCAUACGAAGUCAGAUUUGGGCGUUCCUUUUAUGCACGCUCUCGGUUUAACGAAAUCUACGACUUUCGUUUAGAUCGCUAAGGCUAAAUAUCGCUCUAUCUUAAAUUCAUAUUUUACGUCACUCGACGUCGUGCCGGUUCUGUCGCGAAACUUCGACAGGUCAUAACUUCUUCGUUAUAACUCGGAUUUUGGCAUUCCUUAUAUCUCCGGAAUCCUUGUUUCAACCACUACAACUUUAUGCAAAGAUAUCGGGCUUAUCUCACACUUUAAUUUUGACGCUUAUUUUAUUCUUAAUUCAUUAAAUUAUAAUAAUUAAGAAAAUAAACACAUAAAUCACAUAAUUCACAUAAUUCACAAAUAAUACAUUUUUAUUAUUUCAAAUUGGGGUUACAAAGGUUAACCUAGACUAUUACAUUGCUAAAAAUGGCAAUCCCAGAAACACGGGCGUUACAAUUCUCUCCACCUUAGAAUGAUUCCGUCCCCGGAAUCACACACCAGCAAACAAAUGCGGAUAGCGACUCAUCAUGUCACUCUCCGUCUCCCAGGUGAGAUUCGGCCCAUUCGUGUGUUUCCAUCGGACAAGCACUAACUCAACCAUCUUACGUCGCAAUUUCUUAGUCUUUCGGUCAACGAUUGCCUCCGGUUCCUCAAUCAACCUUUUGUUCUCAUCGAUCCUCAACUCCGAAAGUGGAAUUAUGUCGGGAACUUCUCCCGUGAACUUCCUCAAGUAACACACAUGAAAAGUGUUAUGAAUUCCAUUCAGUUCUUCUGGUAGUUCGAGUUUGUAAGCUUGGUUCCCAAUCCUCUGAAGAACUUUAAACGGUCCAAUAAACCUUGGACUUAACUUUCCCCUUUUACCAAAUCUUAUAAGUCCCUUCCACGGCGAGACUUUAAGCAAAACCGAAUCUCCAACUUCAAAAGUCAUCGGUCUUCGCUUUUUGUCAGCAUAGCUCUUUUGACGGUCCUGAGCUGCUAACAUUCUUUCCCUAAUUAUUUUCAACUUUUCAGCAGUUUGAUGAACCAACUCCGGUCCCAUAAACUGCUUUUCCCCAGCCUCAAGCCAACAAGACGGCGUACGACACUUCUGUCCAUACAAUGCUUGAUAAGGUGCCAUCUUUAUGCUCGAGUGAAAACUAUUAUUAUAGGAAAAUUCUACCAAAGGUAAAUGUUCAUCCCAAUUACCUAGGAAUUCCAAGGUACACGCUCUCAGCAUAUCUUCAAGUGUUUGUAUCGUCCGUUCGCUCUGACCAUCAGUCUGCGGAUGGUAAGCUGUACUUAAACACAACUUGGUACCCAAUUCCUCUUGUAGACUUUUCCAAAAUCGUGAGGUGAAACGACUAUCACGAUCCGACACAAUCGUUAACGGAACACCGUGAAGCCUCACAAUUUCCUUCACGUAAGAAUUCGCAAGCUUUUCCAUAGACCAUUUCUCCUUGGCCGCUAUGAAAUGCGCACUCUUAGUGAAUCGAUCAACGACCACCCAAAUCAUGUCGUGACCAUUCUUUGUUCUGGGCAGUUUAGUGACAAAAUCCAUAGCAAUGUCUUCCCACUUACCCAUAGGCACAGGCAAUGGUUCUAAACUCCCGUACGGUUUCUGAUGUUGUGUCUUGACUCUCGCACAAGUCACACACUCGGCCACAUACUUUGCAACAUCAAGCUUCAUCGUCGGCCACCAGUAGUAGGGUUUCAGGUCCCUAUACAUUUUAGUGCUACCCGGAUGAAUCGAGUACAUGGUCUUGUGAGCUUCUUCCAUCAGAAGAUCUCUGACUCCUCCUGUCUUAGGUAUCCAAAUCCGAUCUUGGAACACCUUCAGUCCAUGACUGUUUACACCGAACACCAACGUUUUGCCCAAACGUUCCUCCUUUCUGUCAUUCUUCUCAGAAGCUUCGCUCUGAGCUUUCUUUAUACUUUCCAAAAUAGUUGAGACAACUUCAAUUCUCAACGCUCUUGGCCUUUUCCUUUCGGGAUUGACUUUCCGACUGAGAGCAUCAGCAACAACAUUAGCUUUACCGGGGUGGUAAAGUAUCUCGCAGUCAUAGUCUUUAAGUAAUUCUAGCCAGCGUCGUUGCCUCAUAUUCAAUUCUUUCUGAUUAAAGAGGUAUUGGAGACUCUUAUGAUCAGUGAAAAGUUUGCACUUCGUGCCAUAGAGGUAAUGCCUCCAUAUUUUCAGAGCGAAAACUACCGCUGCCAACUCCAAAUCAUGAGUCGGGUAAUUCUUUUCAUGCUCUUUCAGCUGUCGAGACGCAUAUGCUAUCACCUUUUCUCUUUGGGUCAAAACACAACCCAAUCCAACACCAGACGCAUCGCUAUAAACAGCGAAGUCUUCAACUCCAUCGGGUAGAGAAAGUAUCGGUGCCUCGCAUAGCUUCUUCUUUAACUUCUCGAAUGCUUCUUUAUGCUUCUCACUCCAAGCAUAAGUAGCUCCUUUGUGGGUCAAAGCUGUCAAUGGAGUAGCAAUCGAAGAAAAGCCUUGGAUAAACCUUCGGUAAUAUCCGGCUAAUCCUAAAAAGCUUCGAAUCUCCGUGGGACUUUUCGGUUGUUCCCACUUCGUCACAGCUUCGAUCUUCGCUGGAUCAACCAUUAUCCCUUCUUGGUUGACCACGUGACCCAAGAAUUGGACUUCACGAAUCCAAAAAUCACAUUUGGAGAACUUAGCAUACAGCUUCUCCUUCUUCAAGACUUCUAACACUUCUCGCAAGUGUCUGCCAUGCUCCUCCUGGCUUUUCGAGUAAAUCAGAAUGUCGUCUAUGAACACUAUCACGGAUUUAUCAAGGAACGGGUUACAAACCCUAUUCAUCAAAUCCAUGAACGCUGCUGGAGCAUUGGUUAGUCCAAACGACAUAACCAAGAACUCGUAGUGUCCAUAUCUAGUUCUGAAUGCAGUCUUCUCGAUAUCUUGCUCUCUUACUUUCAGCUGAUGAUAUCCUGACCUAAGAUCGAUCUUCGAGAAAUAGCUCGAACCUUGCAAUUGAUCAAACAGGUCAUCAAUCCUCGGCAACGGAUAUCUAUUCUUUAUUGUUGCCUUGUUCAGCUCUCUGUAAUCGAUGCACAUUCUCAUACUUCCAUCUUUCUUCUUUACAAAUAACACCGGAGCUCCCCAGGGCGAUGAACUAGGUCUAAUGAAACCUUUGUCCAAUAACUCCUGAAGUUGCAUCAUUAGCUCCUUCAUCUCCGUCGGUGCUAAUCGAUAAGGUGCUUUUGCUAUUGGCGUGGUUCCUGGUAACAAGUCUAUUCUGAACUCCACUUGUCUAUCAGGUGGUAAUCCAGGAAGAUCCUCGGGAAAUACUUCCGGAUAAUCACACACCACUGGAAUACUCUGCAUCACCUUCUUUUCUUUCUUAGCAUCAAUCACGAAUGCUAAAUAUGAUGUACAUCCCUUGGUCAAACACUUUCUGGCUUUCAUUAGAGAAAUGAUUCCAGAAUUCACUCUGCGUUUGUCCCCAUACACCAUAAACGAAUCUUUCCCAGGCGGGUUUACUUUAACUAUCUUCUUCUUGCACAAAAUUUCGGCAUCAUUGGCGCUAAGCCAAUCCAUUCCCAAGACGAUGUCGAAACCAUUUAGUUCGAUAGGCAAUAAUUCCUCGAGAAACUUAUUCCCAUUAAGGUCGAUCAAGACGUUUUUCAUACGAUGGCUAACAGGUACAAACUUGCCACUAGCUACUUCGACUAAUAAAGCAUUAUUUAGUCUAUCAACAGGCAAAGCUAGCUUUCUACCAAACUCAUGCGAAAUAAAGGAGUAGUUGGCUCCAGAAUCAAACAAUAUAUGAGCAGGUAAUUCGUUUACGAGAAAGGUACCUGAAGCGACAUCAGCUUCAUCUUUCGCAGCCUCAAGUGUCAUCUGGAAGGCUCUCGCCUUCGGCUUUGGUGGAAUGUUGGGCCUAGCUGCCUCCUUCUUCUUCGGACAGUCUUUCAAAAUAUGCCCCUCUUCAUUACAACCAAAACACAUCCUUUUGUUGUUCGGACAUUCAUUGGCAAAAUGUCCAACCUUUCCACACUUGUAGCAGGUCACAUCCUCGCUACAUUUCCCAAAGUGCUUUUUCUUACACUUAUCACACCACUUCGCUUCGCCUCCUUUUCCUCCAAACUUUUUCGAAUCAGAUUUCGAAAAUUUGCUCUUCUUACUGGAACCAGAUGUUCCUUCAAACUUCCUUUUCUCACCAACCUCAACCUUGACGGUGGUUCUCCCCUUGAUCAUGUUCUCCACAGACUUGGCAGCCCAGAUAGCUGCCUCUAGAGUAAGUGCCUGACGUACUGGCACCUCGUACUCCCAUGGAAGUCCCUUCGCAUACCGAUCCACCUUUGUCAGCUCGUCUGGAACGAUACGCAAGGCAAACUCCAUCUUAUCGGUGAAGUUAUUGGUGUAUUCAUCAACUGACAUGCUACCCUUCGUCAAUGUCAAAAACUUAUUCUCCAACUCCAACAGAUUUUGAGCCGAGCAGAACUUGCGCUUGAACUGCACCAAGAACUCUGCCCAUGACAAUUGCAGUGGCUCAUUAGGGCUUAAGGUCUUCCCUAGAGUGUUCCACCAACGAACGGCUCCACCUCGGAAUUGUCGCACGGCAUAGAUAGUCUGCAACUUGCCUCUACAGCCACAUGUCAUAAAGGCUAACUCCAUUUCGGAGAUCCAAUCCAUAACCCCAAUCGGAUCCUCCUUUCCAUUGAAGGUCGAUGGUUUACAAGUCAAAAAGUCCUUGUACUUGCAUCCCAUUCCAUCAUUCCUUCCAUCAUGGUUAUCUUGCCUAACUAUCGGUGGGUUGGCUGGACCAACAGACCCACUGAAGUUUCCACCUUCCGAGUGCCCUUCAUUCAGUUCAGGCUCUUCCACACGAAUCGACAGUUCUUCACGAUUUUGUUGAAGCAACCGUCUAGUUUCAU
rnacentral:lncRNA from 1 species